rnacentral:lncRNA from 1 species
GAUGUUGUAGCUUCUAAGCUACAGUUGUUGUGGAAAAAAAACUGUAAUUAUAAAAUAAAAGUUAGUAAUAUAUAGUAAAUGUGAAUUUUAAAUAAUAAUUUUGAUAAAAUUAUUAAAAAUAUAAUAAAUUUUUCAUUAUACAAGUGAAAAAUCAUAUUAAUAUAGCUCUCAAACUACAGCAACUAGUGUUUACCAAACACUUUAGAACUGCAGUUGUCCAACCUCAAUCCCAAACGCAUCCUAUAUCAAGCAGAUCAACAACAAUUUUAUGCACCAUGUUGAAAGUUUUCUCAUCUAGGACUGGCAAGCACCAGAAUGGCUGGAUCAUCAACAACAAUUUAUGAGCCACUGUGUCUUGGUUUCACUGAAUUGCUGGAUGAUUAGCUUGGUCUUGAAGCUGAAAUUUUCACCUAGAACUGAGAAAAUAGUUAAAUGAAAUAAUGACAUACAAUAAAGUCAACAAAAUACAAGGACAAAUAAACUUAUUUAGUAAUGUCGCAAUUAUAUUUAUUGCCAUGCUAUCACUUUCAUUGCAGACAUCAUCACCAUAAUACUAGCAGUCUAGCACUAAUAGCCAGAAUAAUAAUAAUAAUAAUAAUAGUAGCACGAUUUUUGAAAUUUCUGUAGAGUAAGAUCUAAAAAUGCCAAAAAUAUCAUAUGAAAAAAAAAAAGGUCCAAGAAUUCAAGGAAAGAAAACUCAUUAACAAAGAACCUAACUUUUUAAUCAUGUUUAAUAAACUAAGUUCUUAUGAUUUUCCAUUAUUAAGACAAUUGGUUUCUGCUUUCUAAUGUUUCAAAGCAUACCAAGAAAUAUUAACAAUUACCAAAUCAGUAAGCAGCACAAUUACUUGAUAAGACGUUUGACUUGUCUAACCCAAAAUUGUACCCAAUUCUACACUCUACUAUAAAGCUAAUGAAGCCGAACUUACUUUGACCAAACAACACUAUUAGCUCAGUUAAAGGAAACCACAACUGAAUAAAGAUCAGCUGAAAUAACUAAAUUGAAAAAAGUUCAUAAAACUAAAACUAACUUAUAAUAGUCUAUUAAAGACAUACAAAACAGGAAGAUAAAUAAACAUAGGUCUAUUUUCUUGACACUGCCAAGUUUUGGUUUCAAAAUCACCAUAUUGCAAUAAUAAAUUGUUGUGAUUCCUAAGAUACAAUAUGUAGCAGCUUAUAUGCUGGCAAUCAUAGUCAAAGAAGAUGGUUGUCAAACGUCCUCGCAAAUCAAGAAGCUAAUAAAGACCAGGUCGCGCAACAUUAACAUAUAUCAGUUCUUUGAUAUAAAGAUAUUGAAUGUUAUACACUUCUAAUCCCAAGUCCUGAAACAUAAAACAAAAGUUCACUUCACACAUUCAUAAGGCUAAAGUACUAGAGAAAUGGAGAAUAGACAUGGAUAUGGGUCAAUAAACUAUUAAGCUAAUUAAUGCACACGACGGAAUCUGUUAGAACUAGUUAAAUAGCCCUUACAGAGAACUAGCAGAAGCAUCCAAUUUCCUAAAAGGAGAUAACAGCAAUACUCAUAAAAUAGCUUCACUUACCAUUAAGCAAUAUGCUAGUAUUAACUCGCGAGAUAACAACUGAUGAUUGAUUCAGUUGCACUUACAUAUGCCUAAAGUUUUAACUUUCAAAUUGAUUGCUCCUUGCUCCUUUAUCUAGAAACAUAUUUGACGGUGAUUAAUCCUGACCUCUACCAUGCCAUUCAAUUUUCAUAUUCUCAUAAUCGUAAAUUCAUUUUUAGGAAUAUCAACUCCAUUAUUAAGAGCCCAAACUUGAUCAAACAGAACUAUUAGCUCAUAACUUCAUCAAUUGGAUAAAUAAAGUCACAAUAACAAUGCCGGCGGCUGCUUCAAUACAUCAUCAACAAACCCAUUUUCAUUUAAUCAACAAAAAACCCCGACAGCAUUUUCAACACAUCAACAAACCCAUUUUCAUUUUAAUUGAUAAAACAACGCCAGCAGCAGAGCAACUUCAUCAAAACAUCAACAAACCCAUUUUCAUUUUGUGAAUAUUAUUAGAGUGUAUAUUUUCUUAUUUUCUACCUUUAAUUUAACAAAGUUGGAUAUCUCUUAUAGAGAAAUUAUUAAUUAAUUUUUGUCUUCAUUCAAGAUUGCCCCGUAGAUCGAACCAGCGUCAGUUAACAGACGCUACCGUUGUUCUUAACUAAUAUGGAAGCAGCUUUAUUUGGAGGAUAUGCUGUACUUAUGAUUUAGCUCACGUCAUUAACAAAGAAUUUAGUGGUCCAAGUUUUUGCAGUAGAGUAACUAAACAGCAGUGAUGACCCAGUCAAGUCAAUGUAUAAAUAUUGAAAUGACUAUUAAGGCCUGAGAACCGACCUCAAUUACCUCAAAGUUUUCAAAAAGAAAUUGGACCACCAAAAAAUUUCCCACUAAUAACUACCGAUUGCAACUUGUAGAUCGCAAUUUAUAGACAGAUUUAUAUUUUUUUAAAAAAGUGUUCCAAGUCCUCUCUGAGGUUCUCACUCGGUUCUACAUGUAAUGUAAGAUAGAAAGAUUCCAAUCAAAAUUUUGAUUCUUGUUCAAACAUAACUACGAUAUCCACGAAGUCUGUGUUGCCACAAGUAGGGAUGGGCAUGGGUUGGUUUGGGUUGGAUUUUAAGUCAACCCAAAUCAAACCAUAAAAAUUUAGAUCCAACCCAAACCAAACCAAACCAUUUGAGUUUGGUUUGGGUUUGGUUUGAAUUUUAUUAUCAAAAUAAUUUUUAUUUUAAUAAAAUUUAAUUAUAUCAAAAUUAUAAUAAUUAUUAAUUGUUAUUAAUUAUUAAAUUGAUAUUAAAAUAUAAAAAAUAUAGUGGAUAAAAAUUAUAAAUUUUACAAUAACUUAAUCCUUAAAUUAAAGAAUACUAGAAAAUCAAAAUAAAGUUUAAUCACAAAAAUUAUUAUUUCUCAAUAAAUAAGAACGUACACUUUAAUAAUAAACUUUCACAAACAUGACAUUAACAAUCUAAUAAUAAAUUUUGCCACUUUGUUAUUUAUUUAAUUAUGCAAUAUUUGUUUUUAUUUAUCGUUUUGGCAGUUUUGCGUUAUGUUGUCUACUUAUAUGUUUAAUUUUAGGGAGAUUGCCAGUUUCCCCCCUACAGUAAUCAACAUAUAUUAUUUUUCCCCCUUCUGCUUUUAUAAAAACUCCUCUAAUAAUAUAAGUUUACAAUAUUACCCUUAUUUUCAACUACUCUUUUAUUUAUAUUUAUUCUAAAUUAAAUAAAUCACAUGAAUAGAAACUAAAUAAAAAAUAAAGCAUUAAAAAUAAGAAAUAUUUGUUUUGAUAUGAACAAAAAAAUUAAUAAUAAAAUUUUUUUAUACUUAUUUAUUUUUUGAAAAUUUUCUUAUAAUAAAUAUAUAAGAAAAUUAUUAGUCAAAUGAUAAAAAAAAUUAUUAUAAGAAAACUUGAUUGAAAAAUAAAAAUUUAUUAUAAGAUAAAUAAUAAAAUAUUUUACCUAUACUUUUUACAUUUAAUUUUAAAAUAUUACAAAAUAUUUAUUAUAAGAAAAUGUUCACAAAAUAAAUAAUUACAAGAAAAAAUUUUAUUAUUAAUUUUUCUACUCAUAUCAAAAUAUAUAUUUCUUGUUUUAAUACUUAAUAUGGGCAUUACAUUCAAUUAUUAACCAAAAAUUACUCGACAUCUAGCAUAUCGGACCCAGUCCAAGCCGAGUUAUUAUUGAUCAUUAAUAGAGUCUCCUGCUCUUUCUAUGAUGAUCUUUCCAUGUGGGAGNNNNNNNNNNNNNNNNNNNNNNNNNNNNNNNNNNNNNNNNNNNNNNNNNNNNNNNNNNNNNNNNNNNNNNNNNNNNNNNNNNNNNNNNNNNNNNNNNNNNNNNNNNNNNNNNNNNNNNNNNNNNNNNNNNNNNNNNNNNNNNNNNNNNNNNNNNNNNNNNNNNNNNNNNNNNNNNNNNNNNNNNNNNNNNNNNNNNNNNNNNNNNNNNNNNNNNNNNNNNNNNNNNNNNNNNNNNNNNNNNNNNNNNNNNNNNNNNNNNNNNNNNNNNNNNNNNNNNNNNNNNNNNNNNNNNNNNNNNNNNNNNNNNNNNNNNNNNNNNNNNNNNNNNNNNNNNNNNNNNNNNNNNNNNNNNNNNNNNNNNNNNNNNNNNNNNNNNNNNNNNNNNNNNNNNNNNNNNNNNNNNNNNNNNNNNNNNNNNNNNNNNNNNNNNNNNNNNNNNNNNNNNNNNNNNNNNNNNNNNNNNNNNNNNNNNNNNNNNNNNNNNNNNNNNNNNNNNNNNNNNNNNNNNNNNNNNNNNNNNNNNNNNNNNNNNNNNNNNNNNNNNNNNNNNNNNNNNNNNNNNNNNNNNNNNNNNNNNNNNNNNNNNNNNNNNNNNNNNNNNNNNNNNNNNNNNNNNNNNNNNNNNNNNNNNNNNNNNNNNNNNNNNNNNNNNNNNNNNNNNNNNNNNNNNNNNNNNNNNNNNNNNNNNNNNNNNNNNNNNNNNNNNNNNNNNNNNNNNNNNUUAUUUUUCUUACAUUUACAUUAUCUUUGGUGGGACUCCACUUUUUAUCGAAGAUUUUUUUGUGUCUCGUUGCCAGGUGUUUAGGUUGUCAUUUUCUCUUUUCUUUCUCAAAAACUUUUUUUUUUUUUAACCAUUGAUUCGGUGACUUCAUGAAUCCGACGGUUUCCCUUUUUUUUUUGCAUAUAUAUAUAUAUAUAUCUCUCUACUGAUGCAUCGAUGCAUCUAAUCUAGUGUACAUUGAUGUUGUGGUCAAAUGAAAGAUCGUGUAACAUUGCCUACAAGAUUUUAUAAUCAUAAUCUUCUUCAUAUGUUCAUAGAGAUCUUGAAGUUUCAGGUGCAAGUCAUUGUUUUUCAAGGUCCCAUCACUUUACAACAUUAUUUAACUACUUCGAAAGGGAAUUUGAGCCUAUGCAGGCGGAACAAGCCAAAUUCGGCUACAGGCACUGACCUGAAGGUCAAUAUGAUCUUCCAAUCUAAAUAAGCAUUGACCUCACUCCAAGAUAGAUCAUUAAUUAGGGUGUUUAUAUGUAUUUAACCUGUGAGCGAGAUCUAAAUCUAAAUAGUAGAAAUCAAUGGAUGCACUUUCGCUUUUGUUAAUCUGUUGCAAGUUACUAAUCUUUUCUGAAUUCUCAUUUGCAUCAGAUGUCCUUACUUCGUCUCAGUCUCUUAGUGAUGGAAACACCUUAAUAUCAAAAGGUGGAAGCUUUGAGCUUGGUUUCUUCAGUCCCGGUAGUUCCGAGAAUCAUUAUGUGGGAAUUUGGUACAAAAGUAUACCAGUUAAAAUAGUUGUUUGGGUUGCAAACCGCCUCAAACCCAUCAAUGAUUCUUCUGGCUUGUUAACGAUAAACAGGACAGGCAAUCCUGUUUUAACAAGCCUGAGCAUGGGCAUAGUUUGGUCAGCAAGCUUGAGCAAAGAAGUGCAGCAGACUCCAGUGGUAUUACAGCUACUGGAUUCAGGAAAUCUUAUCCUCAGAGGUGAACAAGAUGGUGAUUCUGAAAAUUAUUUUUGGCAAAGCUUUGAUUAUCCUUCUGAUACAUUGCUACCAGGAAUGAAGCUCGGAUGGGAUUUAAAGACUGGUCUUGAGCGGCGCGUAACAUCAUGGAAGAGCUCAAAUGACCCGUCUCCUGGAGACCUUAUUUGGAAAAUUGAACGACAAGGAAAUCCUGAGCUAGUCAUGUGGAAGGGAUCAACAAAGUUCUAUAGGACUGGCCCAUGGAAUGGCGUCACAUUCAGUGCUUCAUCAAUAAAGCUUAACCCAAUCUUUAACUCAAGCUUUGUCUCUAAUGAGGAUGAGCUCUACUACACAUACAUCCUCGUAGAUAAAGCUGUUUUCUCAAGGACUCUCGUGAACCAAACACUCUCUUUACGUCAACGAUUCGUGUGGAGUAAAGCAACUCAAAGUUGGGAGCUGUAUACAAGUGUGCCAAGAGAUCAGUGUGACACUUACAAUCUCUGUGGUGCCUAUGGCAUUUGCAGCAUUAGCAAAUCGCCUGUUUGCCAUUGUUUAAAAGGUUUCAAACCUAAAUCAGAGGUUUAUGUGGAACGGUCUCAAGGGUGCGUACGUACUAAGCCGUUAAACUACUCUCGACGUGAUGGUUUUGUCAAAUUUAAUGAUCUGAAAUUACCAGAUUCUACUUCCUCUUGGGUUAGCAAAAGUAUGAAUCUCAAUGAAUGCGAGGAGAAAUGCUUAGACAACUCUUCUUGUAUGGCAUACACAAAUUCAGAUAUCAGAGGAGAAGGCAGUGGCUGUGCCAUGUCGUUUGGUGAUCUGAUUGACAUCAGAUACUUCCAAGAUAGUGGGCAGGACUUGUAUAUUCGAAUGUCUGCUUCAGAGCUAGGUAUCCAUAUACUUAUUUAUGUCAUUCCAUUAUGAGAACUUAGGAGUACCACUCCAGUUAGACUAGUUCCACAAUUUUAUUGUGCAAUUUAGUAUUGAGUUCUGAUUGAGAAGCUCCUUUUGCAUAAAGCAGUUUCUCGGUAUAGCUUCUAUGCAUAGAAUUUUGCUGCUAUUUGAAUCCUUUUUUCUUAGCUAUAUGAUUAUUGACCUGCUUUGCUGUAUCUGAAUACGCUGAUCAAGAAGCGAAAGGUGAGCCUACGACAAAGAUAGUGGUGAUAGUCAUUUCUAGUGCUGCUCUGCUAGUUGUGGUGCUUAUAGCUGGCUACUUGAUUCACAAACGCAGGAGAAAUAUAGCAGGUAUAAUAGCACUCCACUUUCCUUCACAAAUUUAUAGCCAUUUGCUUGCAUUUUUAUGAUAGCCGUUUCCUUUCAAUCAAUAUUUAUAUGAGUUCAAUUUUUCUGUAUCAAAUCUUCAAUAAAAUCUUUCACCAAGUAGAAUAAGUUUUUAUAUGCAGCAAUAACUGUACGUUUGUUUCAAGAUGAAGAGUUAACAGUGCAUAUCAUUUAUUUACUUGCAUUUAGUGUUAUAUUAAUACAUGCCUCUUUUUCACCUAUGGUUCUCUAUUUACUUGCACUUUCAUAUUGACUGGAAAAUAGCUUUAAUACAAAUUUACAGAUAAAGAACCUUCUCAUCAAGAAGAUGAAAAUUGUAGUUACUAGUUAGUAGUUUGUCCAUUAUACGUACUGCAUAUGCGCUUUGAGCUAAUAUUGUCCAAUAUUUCGGAGAAAACAGAAAAUGAUCAUAUUCAAAACAUAGACUUGGAGCUACCAUUGUUUGAGUUAGCUACAAUUGUUAGUGCCACCAAUAACUUUUCAAUCAACAAGAAGCUUGGACAAGGUGGCUUUGGACCCGUUUACAAGGUAAACUUGAAACUUGCUAGUCAAAAAUACUUAUUUUACUUGGUAACUAAAUUCACGUAUAUGGCUUGACAGGGCACGCUAGUGGCUGGACAGGAAAUUGCUGUGAAGAGGCUUUCGAAGAUUUCUGAGCAAGGAUUGAAGGAGUUAAAGAAUGAAGUUAUACUAUUUUCCAAAUUACAGCACAGAAAUCUUGUAAAGCUUCUUGGCUGCUGCAUUCAGGGAGAGGAGAAAUUGUUGAUUUAUGAAUUCAUGCCCAACAAAAGCCUGGACUCUUUCAUUUUUGGUCUGGGUCCCUAUAACCUUAAAAUAUUCGGCUAGCUUGUGCCUUGAUUAUAGACGUUUCUUAUGUAUUUUCAGAAAAUUUUGUACUAACCUUAAUGUGGUAAUUUGUAGAUCAAGAAAGAUGUAAGAUAUUGGAUUGGUCCAAGCGUUUCCACAUUAUUUGUGGGACUGCCAUGGGUGUUAUGUACCUGCAUCAAGAUUCUAGAUUGAGGAUUAUACAUCGAGAUCUCAAAGCAAGUAAUGUGCUACUCGACCAAGAUAUGAACCGAAAAAUUUCGAAUUUUGGUUUGGCUAGAGCUUUUGGUGGAGACGAGACAGAAGGAAACACAAACAGAGUAGUUGGAACAUAGUAAGUACUUUUUGUCAUGUGAUCUUUACGAUUCACUUGCACUGAUUAAUGAAAAUUAACUUAUAUAUUUCACUCUUUUGAAGUGGUUAUAUGGCACCGGAAUACGCUAGUGAUGGGCAAUUCUCAGUAAAAUCCGAUAUCUUCAGCUUUGGAAUUUUAUUGCUGGAGAUAAUAAGUGGAAAGAAAAAUAGAGGAUUUUAUCAUUCCGACAACAAGCUUAACCUUAUAGGACAUGUAAGUAAAAUGCAUACGGCAUUUUCUAACAUAGUUUGAACUAAUAAACUAUAGAUGAUAAAAGAGAUUUAAUAUGUUGUAGGCAUGGAAGUUGUGGAACGAAGGCAUGCCUUCACAAUUAAUCGAUUCGUGUAUUCAAGGCUCAUUCAAUCUUGCUGAAGUGAUACGAUGCAUCCACAUCGAUUUGUUAUGCGUGCAACAGCAUCCAAAGGACAGGCCAAGCAUGCCCUCAGUGAUUUUGAUGUUGGGCAGCGAGACUGUGUUGCCUCAGCCAAAGCAACCCGGUUACUUGGCGGACAUGAAUUCUACCAGACUAGAUUCUUCAUCAAGCAUGCCUGAAUCAUCUUCAACUAAUACAAUUACGAUCUCUGAGUUAGAGGGUCGGUAGAGAAUCUAUUUGUGGUAUCAAGUCUUAUUCUACAUUGUCAAGUGCAAAAGCAGUAAUGUCUCAACCAAAUGGAAAGUUCACAUAAAUGAUUGGAUAAAAAAUUAUGAGGAUCCUCCAAUGAUUGCAUGUUGUGGAUCUAAAUAGAAUGUUGACUAAUGUUUAUAUAGAAAUUGUAAAUUAGGGUACCGUGAGCAGUGUUGGAUCCAAAAAAAAUGAUUAACCGAGAAUUAAGUUAAAUAAAAGCAGUUAUAAUUUUUUUAAUAUCAAAUAUUUGCUAAUACAUUUAUGAGAAUAUCUUUGGUGCUUUUGGAGUAUUUUUAUCUAUUCACUAUUUAUCAUGUGUGUGUAUAUGUCAUCAUGAUUUGUAGAAGCAUACACAUGACAAAGAGUGAAUGAAAAAGGAGAAGCUCUCUAAGAGCACCAAGAUUUUUCCUACAUUUUGAAAACCUUGUGCAAUAUACUCAUUAUCAAUACUAUUAAGUACAUCCUUUUCUACAUAAACAACAAAAUUAAUAUUCAUUCAUUCAUCUCUCAUCGGAUUUCAAAGUUGAUUGUUCAUGAACUUAAUUGUGGAAAAUGUUCUCUCUACUGUGGCUGUGGGAACCAGAAGAAUUAAAGCUAAGUGUCAUCAACGAAUAUACUAAUUCUGUAACUAAUACGCUUUCAUCUUUUUUAGUCUCAAAGUAUUCUUUUAGCAAAUCACUAAUUCCCUUCAUUCUUGCAAACCCGCCUACUUGUUCUUUUCCGAAUAUAACCCAAUCCCUAAUUUUCUUUUAAGAACAAGAAAGAUAAAAAUUUGUAAUUGAAGGAGUGGAUAAUUAUUAUUUUUAAUAAAUUUGAAUACAUUUUUUGCAAUAGAAAAAUGGUUGUGGGUUAUUAUUAUUCUUAAAUAAAGUGUGAGUUUUAUAAUUCAAGUUAAAAUUUAAAUUUUAUAGGUUUAUGAAAGUAUAGAGACUAUUUUAAUAUAUUGAUGAAGGUUAAUUAGAAACCCAAAUAAUUUUCUCUUUUAUUUUUAUUUUUAUUUUUUAGGUAGCUUGAGACUACUUUAUUUUUAUUUUUAUUUUUAUUUUUUUAAUUUAAUAUUUACUCUCUGCUCAGAAGUUGCUAUAUCCUUGCUUGGUAAGAUGCUCUGUUCAGGCUUCAAUGUUGUUGGCUUGAAUUGGCAACUGAACUCGAAUCAAUUCUCAUGCAUGGGUUGGGGAAUUUGCUCAACUUAUAAUUGGUAGGUUUAUGCCUUUGGGAUCAAACUCAUUUCGCCUCUCCAAGAAUCUGCAAAAUUAAUUGGUGUUAUCAUGUCGGCGCUGCUUAUAAUUAGUAGUGCUUGCAUUGCCCUGAAUUCAGGCAUUGCUUGAGUAGAGUUGGGCUUGCUGAUUCAUUUUAGUGACAAAUGAAAACAUUAAAAAAAAAAAAUCAGGACUUGUUCGUCCAAAUUUACAGAUAUUUUGUUCUUUAAUUAAUUUUAUUAUAAUAAACAAUAGGAUAGCAGUGUUGUUUAACCAGUUGCUUACACCUUGGCAAUAUAGCUUUGUGUUUUUUUUUUUUUUAAUAGUCUGUGAGAUGGCCAGUGAUAUAUACGUCUUUUUAAAAUUUUCAAUUAUUGGGGCAACGAACAUGUUAAAUAAUUUGCGGUGGAAAAGGCACCAAUAUUGACUCAAUAUGUCGAAUUUCUAGAAAAUUUUAACAUCAAAUGCCUUGUUUCCAUUGUUGUAAGUAUAAGUCAAAUUUCUUGCAAAUUUUCUAUGGGUGUGAUGAUUUUUUUUUUUUUUUUGAGUGCAAACGGCUCACCCUUCACAUAUUCAUAGAGAUGUCAAAUUCUCUAUCUUCACCAUGAUUCUAGAUUGAGGAUUAUACAUAGAGAUCUCAAAGUAAGUAAUGUGUUACUUGAUAAUGAGAUGAACCCAAAAAUUUUAGAUUUGUGUGAGAUGACAUUGUUCACAUUAUUUUUUUAAUUUCUUUAAUUAAAAUAACAAAACUAAGUAAAAAUGUAUAAUAUUUAAUAAAAUUAAAAAUUCAAGUAUGUUGCCGCUAGUGCUGAUGAACUACUAGCGAAAGUUCGACGGCGGCUAGCCACAUGUGGCUACUGCAUGACAUCAUGUUUUACCCUAAAAUUUGGUAUCAUUAAAAUUCUCAUUGUCGAGGCUUCACAGUAGUGCCAAAACCUUGACUGUAGAUCGAUGGUGAAUGAAAAUUCAUUUGCCGAUGAUAGUUGACCAUUGCAUAGCCCUAAUAAUAAUUAUUCUAAUGGUAUCAAAAUAUAGUUCAAAUGGUACUAAAGUAGGAUGGUCAACGGUGAAUUUUUUUUAUUUUGAUUAUAAAAUUUAAAAUUAUUAAUUGAAUAUAAAUAAUAAUAGAAUAUAAAUGAAACUUUGAUUAUAAUUUAAUAUAAAUAUUAAAAUAGAAAUUAUUAUUUUAAAUAAUACAAUGCAAGCUACAUCAAACACCAUAUUGUAUUACAGCUUAAUACAAUAUAAUAUAAUACAAUACAAUAUGUCAAACGCAACUAUAAAAAAAAAGUCAAAAUCACAAGAUUUAUUUGGUGGGCCUUACCUGCAUUAUCCUCAGUUUACUUUUUGAGUCAAAUAAACAAUAGGCGCCAGAGACUUUUUUGUUCAUCAUGCUAUUACUUUCGGUUUACAUACAACUACAUUGAUCUUGGUAAAGAGGACAGUUUACUUUUUGCGUCAAAUACUAUGUUGGGAUUAAUUUUUUUAUAAAAUUAGUCUAUUCCAUUGUCUUUAACUGCAUCCAAACAUACCCCAAUGGUUAACUAUGAGAAAAUUUUAAUAAAGACUUGCAAUUUGUUUCCUUGGAAUUGGAAUGGACAAAAAUUGCAAUGAGCUGAAAUCAGAACAAGCGGGAAUUGAUCACAUGAGGAAUAAGAAUCAAAGUAAGUUGUAUACUUGAAUCGAAAUCAACAAUAUUCCAAUUGAUGUAUUUACUUAUGUCUUGUAAUCCAAAUGAGUUAUCACAAGUCAUAAAAAUGUCCUUAGUUCCACUCUUGCUAGACGUCAUGAUGAUAUACGUUUCAUCCAUCUGGUAAGCGAAGGAGUUAUUACAAGUUAAAAAAAAUGUCCUUAAUUACAAUUAUGUAUUUUUCUAUGUAAAAUAAAUAAGCAAACAUUUUUAAAGAAAACAUUGGCAUAUUUAUUAUAAUAUUGAGUGUAAUACAACGAGUUUUUGAGUAAACUAGUUGUUGUUGUUGUUAUUUUAUAUUGAUAAUAACUACUAUUAAUAUUAUUAUUGUAGGGAAAUUAAAGCCCUAACUUCCUAUUAAUUUAAUUCCCUCUUAUUACUAUAAGGGGAACCAAAGUUCAAAUACCAAGUUUUUGUUGUUGGCAGGACUCAACUUUCUAGGUAUAGGUUCUCCCAUUAGAUUACAAAGUCGGCUUGUGUUAUUGUUACUACUAAUACUAUUUUUAUUAUAAUUGUUUAUUUUCUUAUUAGUAUAAUUAAUAUUAUUAAGAUUAUUUAAUUAUGUAAUAGGAAUAAAAUCAAAAUUUCAAAAAUUAAGGGAUGGUAAAAUAAUUAGUUCAGAAAAUGAAAAUCGUAUUCCCACCUUCCCAUAGAAAUGAGAUUCUCAUUUCCACUUUCAAAAUUUGGUGGGUCUCAGAAAUUUCAUUCACAUUCUCAAAUAUCAAAUAAGCAAGUAAACAAUGAAAUCAUUUCCAUUCCUCCAUUCUUGACUCCUAUUCCAAGAAGUUAAUAACCUUUAAUAGAACGUUCAAAUGAAAAGACUAGCCAGGCCCUGAGAACUGACAUCGAUCAAUUAUCUCUUCCGUGUUAGAAUUAUACGUUAUUUGUUUUGUCUUUUUUUUUUAAUUCAUAUAUUGUUGAAAAGUCAAAAUUGGUGAUUUGUUUAUUCAAAUUGGUUGAAAAAGAAGAGGUGAGCCACAUGCAUAAUUGACUUUUGGAGGAGUUAGGAACCGCAUGCAUGAUUUCUUUAAAAAAUGAAGAAUUUUUACAGCUUUAUGAAGACUUAUUUGAUGCAAUUGAAGAGUUUUUCAAAAGGUAGAAAUGGUGGCCAAAAUCAUUGAAAUAAUUGCAUGCAAAUUGGAUGUUAGGUGCAAGCUUGGUGCCUAUAAAUAGAGGGCAUUUCUUCAUUCCAUUUCAUCCCAAAAAUUUGAGAGUUUAAGAGAAAUUGCAAGUGAAGUAAUUUUAGAGUUCUGAGAGUGUGAGCAAUUGGAGAGUGUGUGUGAGAGUACUGGGUGUAUUUGGAUUUUUGGAAAGUGAGGUUUCUCUACUCAAAUUUGUACUCUAAUAAUUGUCAGUAAUACAAUUAUUUUUCUCCUGUUCCCGUAGACGUAGUCAUACUGCCGAACCACGUAAAAUUCUGUGUCCUUUAUUUUUCUGUGAUUAUUUGGUGCGCUUGAUUUUGCAUUCCGCGCACAACAUAUAUGAUUACUCUUAAAUCUCAAAAAGCAAAAAAAAAAUCCCAUUAAUAAAGAUCCAUUGCAACUUGUAGACAAAUACAAAACAGAAAAAUUAGUAUUCCUAGUCCUCUGCCACGCUAAGAGACUAUCAUUUUUCUUACCUAUGAUCGAAGCUUCAUUUGGAGGAUAUGCUGUAAAAAUGAUUUAGCUCAUGUGAUUAAUUAAUAUAUACGAUCAUAAUUAAUUUCCAGCUUCUGGGGAAGUUAAAAUCCUUAUUUUUCCAUUUGUGUUUUAAGCAUGAUUUUUUACAAUUUUAUAUUUAAGUUUAAUAAAUUGAAUAGUACGUGUGUAUCAUUUCAUUAUGUUUAUGUUUAUGUAUCUAUCUUUAAUUUUAAGGAAGCUAUAUAUAUUAACUCAUAUUUCCAACAUGAGUUUCUUGCAGUAGGGUUCGAAUAGGAUGACGAUGGGAGCAAGAAGACAUGAUUUUUAUUAGAGCAUAUUCGACUGAUUUCUAAAAUUAUACCAAUAUAAAUUCAUUAUUAGUUAGAUGAGAAAUAAGAAAUUUAAUUCUAUAAAUUAACUAAUGUACAACAAAUUAUUUACAAGGAUGACCCAAGUAAACUAUCAGUCAAAGUCAAUGAAUAUAUGCUCGUGGCAAUGUAUAUUCUAUAAAUUAACUCGUGUCACCGUUUCGUCACUAUUAUUUUUUCGGCUCAAUUAUGAUUGUUGAGUACAUAAAGGCACCAGGUCGGCCAUGCUACUGGUUCCGCCCCGGCACGGAUCGUUUCAGCUAUAUGGUACGAGCAGAACACGGGGUUAAACAAGAGGCGACCCGAGAUGAAUGCGACCAGGAAAACAUACCGACCAGAAGUAUACACCGAGCCGAUACUCAUCCUCAAGAAAGCAGGAACACGAUCUCACAAAAUCGCGGUAGUUGCGCUUCUCCCAGAACGGUUGAAGGACACGCGAGAUCCACGACUGCCCGCAAUCUAACAGUUAGAGUCCCAUGAGGGGCUACCACCACCCGAAAAAGGAGGGAUAAGGGGCAAACGAAAAACGUGGGACAAAGGGCGGCUAUAAAAGAGAAAGACAUCGAAGAAGACAAAAAAGAGAAAAGAGAAGAGAGGGAAAACGCUGCCAAAUUGUAACGAGACUAUUUUCUUACAGAUCUCGAACAAACUUCUUGAACCCAAAUUAUAUUGUUUUUCCGUAAACACCUUGUGCUAACUUAGGCAUCGGAGAGUUUACGCCGGCAAAACCACCGGCGUCUCUGAUCCAUUUUUGGUGAACGCAGGUCUAGUGAGAGAAAGGAGGGUGAUCCCGGCCUUAGUGGUUCGAGCAACAGUCGAUAACUUAAGCGUUGGUGAAAGGAUCUGGUCGGUCCAAGGACGAGCAGAUCUCAGCAUCAACAUUUUGGCGCCGUCUGUGGGGAGCUGAAUAAAAAGCUACCACCAAGUUAGUAAUUACCUGAGAAGUAGCGAACGAUUGGAUAUGGAUGCGUCAAGAAAGGAUACUUUAAGGGAGGAUAAUGAAAUGGUGGAGACAAUCACUCUACGGGAGAUUGCAAAUGAAGCCCGAGAGAGGAUGAUGCAAGAUAGACUGGAGCGGAUGGAGAAACAAAUGGAGACUCUCGCGGCCGUAUUGUUUGAGCUGAGGGACGAGCGGAGAAGGGAUUAUGAAACCCCCGUGGGAAGAGAUGGAGUUGGAGCAGAACCCAGUCUCCGGGGGCGUAGGGUCGGGGAAAUCCUUCCACCCGCAGACCAACCUAACGGAGUGCAUCCCCACCGAAGUACUGGCCGGGUCCCAGGGGAACACGUGGAUGAAGGGAGAGACCAACCUCGCCUCGGGCGGGUACUGGAAAUAAAUGGCCGAGGGGCCAGUGUUGAUGAAGGAGAGCUCAGACAGCGGUUGCAGAACGUUGAGCAGGAGCGAGACCAGAUAGCUGCACGUGAUCCUGAUCGCGCUAUAGAAUUGGAGGGGGAGGUGCGCAGAUUGGCGCAGGUGAUAGAGGAGAUGCAGGGCAAGAGAAAGCCCCCGAGCUGGAGGAUAAUGCUAGAUGAAGAAUCUCCGUUAUCAAUUGAGAUCAUGAGCACCAUAAUCCCAAGAGAUUUCCGCUUCCCUGACCUCAAAUACUCCGGGCGAAGUGACCCGUUGGUGCACAUUGAGCGUUUCAACGACAUGACGGGUGUGCAGGGGCUGACACCAGCUCAGAGAUGCAGGGUGUUCCCGUUGACACUAGAGGGACGAGCCCGAGAAUGGUACCGCAAGCUGCCCCGAGGAGGAAUAAAGGGGUAUGAGCAGAUGUGCCAGGAGUUGGCCGAGCAAUUCCGAGGGGCGGUAGCCCCAGAGGAUGACAUGAUGGAGCUGAUGGGGAUGAAGCAGGAGGAGCAUGAAUCCCUUCGCUAUUUCGUAAAACGAUAUCACCGAGCCGUGCUGGAUUUGGGAGCUUUUAAUCACCCGUAGGCGUUGAGGGGAUUAAAAGAAGGUGUAAGAAUCGGCCGAUUGUGGUAUAACUUAAGAAGCCCCCUCGUACAGAAUUACUCGUCGGGGUAUGAGCAAGCGAAACGAGAUAUAGAAAUCGAAGAGGAAAAAUCAGCAAGAAUUAAAAGUGAACAGCUGGAAGAGCUGAGGCGAAGAGAACGGAGAGCCCCGAAAGGGAGCGGGUCGGGAAAGCGAACUGGAGAAUCUUCGGGGAUGGGCGGAAUAUCAGCUCGGUCUCGCCCUUACCCCAUAGCUCAGAGAGCACAACAGUUCCAACACAGCCGGGCUCAACCUCCGCGCCCCCCGAUCCCAGAGCGGCAGCGAGAAUUCAGGCAGGUGACUGCCCACCCUUACCACCGCACUCCCAGAGAGGUAAACGCGACCAAUUACAGGUCUGGCCGACCAGAGCAGUUACCAGCUAUACCAGCCCGAAGUGACGUCCAUGAUAGCCGAGCAGUUCAGUUGGUUGACCAGAGCGCGGCAUAUAGACGAUAUACUCCUUUAAAAAUCUCUAUGGAGGAACUAUAUGAAAGGAUCGAGGGACGAGGACUGCUGUAUACUCCGGCCCCUAUAACGAAACCCGCUCACCGGCGUGAUAAGAGCAGGUUCUACAAAUUCCACAACACUCACAGUCAUACUAUCGGCCAAUGCCGUGACCUAAGGAUUCAGGUGGAGGAUUUGGUGAGGAACCAAUACUUGGAUGAGUACGUAGAUGGAGUGUUCCCCGUCAGUGAGUCGCAAUAUGCACAGGAUGAAGGAGUUGAAAGGGGUUUGGAAUAAGAACAGCCGACUAUCCAAGUUAUAGCAGGAGGGCCAACAUUGGCCGGGGAUUCAAACAGGGCACGGAAGAACUAUGGGAGAUACGCCCUGACUAGCAAAGAAGUGCUUUUCAAUUUGCCAGCAGCCAAGAGGGCAAAAGUGCGGCAAGUUCCUAUUAUGUGGACAGAGGACGACGAAGAAGGCAUUUUAUACCCUCACGAGGAUGCGCUGGUGAUUAAAGUAUUGGUGGCCAGUACAGAAUUGCGGCAAAUACUGGUAGAUACGGGCAGCUCAGUAGACACUCUGUUUAAGUCGGCCUUAGAUGAUAUGGGGAUUUCAGAUUUAAAGCUGGAGCGAACGAAUACAUCCUUGAAGGGAUUUGGAGGGGGACGGUUAACUCCCAUGGGGGUCAUUGAACUCCCAAUUACUGUGGGGAUAAAGCCCUUUGAAAGAACGAUAAUGCUGGACUUUGUCGUGGUAGAGGAAAGAAGUCCUUACCAGAUGAUAUUGGGGAGACCCUUCAUGAGGAUAAGCCAAUGUGUAAUGUCCACGCAUUAUCUGGCGUUGAAAUACAGAAUAAAUGGAGUUGUGGGUGUAGUAAAGGGCGACCAGAGAAUGGCCAGGAGCUGCUAUGCUACAGCGGCCAAGGACACGCUGCAGGUUACCUCACUAGAUAACCGAGGAGAUUCAAGAAAUGGUCGCCAGGAACCUGUUGAGAAGCUGGAGGAAGUUGUUGUAAGCAGGAGUGACCCUAGCAGAGUUGUUAAGGUCGGAUCAGAAUUGGGCGAAGCAAUAAAGGUCGAGCUGGUGAAGUGUCUACAGUCCCAUGCAGACAUAUUUGCCUGGUCUCAUGAGGAUAUGCCAGGUAUUGACCGCGGGAUAGCUUGUCACAAGCUGGCGGUUAAGAAAGGGGCAAGGCCAGUGAGGCAGAAAAGGAGGUGCUUUAACCAUGAAAGGUACGAGGCCAUAAAUGCCGAGGUGGAAAAGCUGCUGAAAGCAGGAUUUAUAAGGGAAGCCAAGUACCCGGAGUGGAUUUCCAAUGUGGUACUGGUAAAGAAGGCCAAUGGGAAAUGGAGAAUGUGUGUAGACUUCACGGACCUCAAUAAGGCAUGCCCGAAGGACAACUUUCCCCUACCAAAAAUAGAUCAGCUGGUGGACUUAACCGCGGGUCAUAGUCUGCUCAGUUUCAUGGAUGCCUUCUCCGGAUACAACCAGAUACCCAUGAACGAGCAGGAUGAGGAAAGCACCACCUUUAUAACUAACAUGGGUCUGUUUUGUUACAGGGUGAUGCCUUUUGGCCUGAAAAACGCAGGAGCUACCUAUCAAAGGUUAGUGAACAAGGUCUUUAAACCAUUGAUCGGUCACACCAUGGAAGUAUAUGUGGACGAUAUGAUCACCAAGUCGAGGGAACCGAGAGAUCAUGUGAAGCACCUGGAGGAGACUUUCGAAUUGCUGAGGAGGUACGAAAUGAAGCUGAACCCGGAGAAAUGUGCAUUUGGGGUCGGCUCGGGUAAAUUUUUGGGGUACCUGGUGAGCCAUCGGGGAAUUGAAGCCAACCUAGAAAAAAUACGGGCGGUAAUAGAAAUGAGGUCCCCACGAACAGUUAAGGAGGUGCAGAGCCUUACGGGGAAGUUGGCAGCGUUGAACCGAUUCAUUUCGCGAGCCACUGAUAAGUGCCACCCUUUCUUUCAAGUCAUAAAGAAAAGGAAGAAGAUGGAAUGGACACCGGAAUGCGAGGGGGCAUUUGGACAGCUGAAGGAAUACCUAGCCCGCGCCCCGUUACUGUCAACUCCGAGAGAGGGUGAUCAGCUGCUCUUGUACUUGGCAAUCUCUAAGCAGGCUACCAGCUCGGUCUUAGUCAGGGAAGAAGAAGGGAAGCAACACCCGGUAUACUACACAAGCAAGGCCCUGGUGGACGCAGAAACCAGAUAUCCGCUAAUGGAGAAGUGGGCGCUGGCUUUGAUAACGGCAGCACGCAAACUUCGACCAUACUUCCAAGCCCACCAGAUUGUUGUGAUGACUGACCAGCCACUUCGACAAGUGCUUCAAAAACCAGAUGCGUCUGGUCGGUUAGUAAAAUGGUCUGUAGAGCUGAGCAAAUUUGACCUGUCCUACAGGCCCCGAGGAGCAAUCAAGGCCCAAGCCCUGGUAGAUUUCAUGGUGGACCGUGUUGAACCAGGGGAAGAGGUCCAAGAGAAACAACCAGCAGAGCAAGAGGAUUCAAAAGGGAUAUGGCUGGUAAUGGUUGACGGAUCAUGUAGUGAGCAAGGAUCCGGAGCAGGAGUUGUAAUACGGAGCCCAGAGGGAACCGAGAUAACAUAUGCGGUGAAGUUCGAAUUUCAGCUCACAAACAACCAAGCUGAAUAUGAGGCCUUUCUCACCGGGCUCGGACUUGCACACGCUCUAAGAGCAGAGAGGGUAGAAAUCCGAGCAGAUUCCCAGCUGGUGUGUAAUCAGCUCAAUGAUCAGUUCCAAGCAAGAGGAGAGAAGAUGGGUCUUUAUUUAAAAAAGGCCAAGCAGAUGGUUAGGCUUUUCCAAGCAGUGGAGGUAAAGCAGAUAUCCCGGAAUGAGAAUUUCCGAGCCGAUAUGCUGGCUAGGAUGGCAGCCGUUGCAGAUCCCAAAUUACCGAAGUCAGUUCCACUAGAGGUAAGGACCUCACCAAGUAUUGAGGAAGAAGCAGAGGUGAUGAGAGUAAGCAUUGGAGAAUCCUGGAUGGACCCGAUUCGCGCAUAUGUCCGCGAUGGAGUUUUACCAGAGGACAAAAGGCAAGCAAGAAAAUUAAAAUGCCGAGCAGCAAGGUAUACGCUACUGGAUGGAGUGCUGUACCGCCGAGGGUUCACCUUGCCCCUUUUGAGAUGUUUGGAUAACGAGAAGGCGGAUUAUGUGCUGAGAGAGAUUCAUGAGGGAAUAUGCAGCAAUCACUCGGGAGCAAGAGCUUUAGCCUUCAAGGCACUCCAGCAAGGAUACUUCUGGCCAACCAUGCACCAGGAUGCCAAAAGGAUGGCCAAGAAUUGUAAAACAUGCCAAAGCUUCUCCGAGGUUCCUGCACAACCACCAGAGAAACUGACGGCUAUGACAUCCCCAUGGCCUUUCGCUCAAUGGGGAAUCGACUUGAUUGGUCCAUUACCUAAGGGACGAGGAGCGGCGACACAUGCAAUCGUGGCAAUAGACUACUUCACCAAGUGGGUGGAAGUAGGAGUCCUCAGCCAGAUCACAGAGAGGAAGACAACAGAUUUUAUUUGGAAAAACAUCAUCUGCAGAUAUGGGAUCCCCUACGCCAUCAUCACAGACAAUGGGAGGCAAUUUGACAACGGCAACUUCAGGGAAUUUUGCCGAAACCUGGGGGUGGACCUGAAGUUCUGCACCCCCGCACACCCCCAGGCAAACGAGCAAGUGGAAGCAGCCAACAAGGUGAUAAAGAAGCUCCUAAAGACUAGAUUGGGGGAGAAGAAGGGAGCUUAGGUUGACGAGCUACCAGGGGUACUGUGGGCCUACAGGACAACUCACAAAACCGCCACAGGAGAAACACCGUUCGCUUUAGCUUUCGGUCAUGAGGCGGUAAUCCCAGCAGAGAUUGGAGUGGGGACACAUAGAACGGAACAUUUCGUUGAGGAGCAAAAUGACGAGCAGAUCUGCUUAAGCCUAGACCUGCUGGAGGAGAAAAGGGAAGGGGCCUCGCAGAAAGUGGCCCAAUGUCAGCAAAGGGUCAUACGUUAUUACAACAAGAAUGUACGCGUGAGGCAGUUCCGAGCAGGAGAUUGGGUACUUAGGAAGGUGAACCAGAACACCAGGAAUCCUAACCAUGGCGCUCUUGGCCCAAAGUGGGAAGGCCCAUACCGAGUGAUACGAGCCACUGGACCAGGAGCAUAUAAAUUAGCGUGCCAAGACGGACGAGACGUGAAGAGGUCAUGGAACGCCGAACACCUGAAGAAGUAUUUCCAGUAAGCAAAAUGCUCUAUUAAAUCCUCACUCCGGCAAGUUAUUUCUGUUACAAUGCCUGAUGGCCUGUCGCACAUGCAUAUAUUCUAUGUUUUUGUAAUACAUUCAAAUUUCAAUAAAGAUGAAUUCAGCAUGAAAUCCCCCUGCUAGCAAGAUCAAUAAAAAUUUCACUAAGACAAGUGCCACUUCUGCUCGGUCAACGAAGACCAGCAGCUAAAUUCUCUAAAUUUCACUAAGGCAAGAGCCUACUUCUGCUCGGUCAACGAAGACCAGCAGCUAAAUUCUCGAAAGUUCACUAAGGCAAAUCAGUGCCUACUUCUGCUCGGUCAACGAGUGACCAGCAGCUAAAGCUACGGACACUCUCCUAGGGCAAGUGCCUACUUCUGCUCGGUCAACGAAGACCAGCAGCUAAAUUCUCGAAAGUUCACUAAGGCAAAUCAGUGCCUACUUCUGCUCGGUCAACGAAUGACCAGCAGCUAAAGCUACGAACACUCUCCUGAGGCAAGUGCCUACUUCUGCUCGUUCAACGAAGACCAGCAGCUAAAACUUCGAAAAUUCUACUAAGGCAACAAAGUGCCUGUUUCUGCUCGGUCAAUGAAAGACCCGCAGCUAAUUCUACGAGAAGUUUACUAAGGCAAGUAAAUACCUACACCUACUCGGUCCACUAAGGAACCAGCAGGCAAGAUUAGAUAAGUUGUGCAAUUAUUUUGCAGAAACAGUCUAUGAAUAGACAUUAGACAAGGGAGCCAAUAAAGAGCAUCUGAAAAUUUAUUAAUGUUCAGUUGGUUACAAAACUAAUGAAAAUCUAAAGUCUAUACAAAAAUAGACCUAAGGAUUAGAAGGGUCAACGGCUUCAGCAGGUGAAGGAUCAGUUGUCCCAGGAGGUGAAGGAUCAGCAAUACUGGGAGGAGGCGGCAUGGAUCCUUGUCCCGUUUCAAAAGCACGUCCCCCAGCUCCCCCCUCCUGCACCUCAUAUAAAGGAGCCUCCACCUGAUUCUGCUCACCUUGCUCCUUAUCUCCCUGGCCGACCCCAGCCAUGUACCUCUCCACUCCAGCCUCCAGCUUGCUCAUUUCCAGCUCGGGAUAUUCUUCCUUAAGCAUAGACAUGAUGCACUUAUAGGAGAAGGCAACCCCAGAGUCAUACUCGGCAUCCAGCCGAUCGUCCACAUCAGCAGAUUUGCCUUUCUCCUCAGCCAGCUGCUCACCCAAGGAUUUGAUUUCCCCCUCAAGGGCAGCCCUCAGAGUAUCCCUUUCAAUUUGAGUAGCCUGAAGAUCAGAUCUCAGGUCACCCAACUCGCCCUCAAGCUUGGAGGAAGUGGACUCAGCAACAACAACUUUCUCCUCAAGCUCCGUAAGCUGUUUGUUCAGCUCGGCCAGUUUCUCCUUGGAGCGGUCAGCAGAUUCAACUUUCUUUUUCAACUCUUGGUUAUCAGCCUGGAGGAGACUCUCUGAACAGAAGCGGCCAACUCGGAGAGGCUCAUGCUCUCGAUGUCCUUCACCAUCUUGGGCCCAACCGACUUUUUAUAAUCCUUCUGAUAUGGGAUCAGGUAGUCACCUUGAUCCCGAGAUGGAAGAGGAGAAGAUCGGUCCCCAGACUGCAAGCUGACCUCAGGAUUCUUGUCGGAAGUUUUCUCCCCACCACUCUUACGAGAUGGAGGAGGGGGCAGAGCAGGAACAAGCGCCUUGGAAGGACCGACGCUGGGUUUCUUCGGAGGAGGAGGAGGGUUGCUGGAGCUACUCGGGCCUCGACCACGCUUCCUGCUCAUCGCGCUGAGGAUCUUGUUAUCCAUCCCGGUAGCUAUAUCCACUAAGCCCGAGCCGACCAAACUUGUGGGUGACAGGAGGUCUUGGCAGGUAGACGCGUUCAAUAGAGCUGUUUCCACCUGAAGCAAAGGCCGAUCUUCAAGCCCCCCGAUCAGACCCCACGACUCUGAAAUAGCACAGAAGGUUAAAGAACUCAAUAAGUAGCAAUCUAAUUAAGAAUACAGGUAAAAAUGAACGACCUGGGGUGACAAAAUGGGUGGGAAGAUAAAUGUCCCCACCAAGCGACCGAACCGCUGGACACCAGUUCCCUCCAGCAAAGAAGAAUUUAUUCUUCCAAUUUUUACAUGAAGAUGGAAACCCAGUGAUCGGUUUCCUCUUUGCGGAACUGGACAUGAAAUAGUACCAGCCUGCCUCCUUCGGGCUACUCCGCAGCUGGUACAGAUGCUUCACUUCAACAAGAGAAGGCUCCUCCGACCCGCACCUCUCCCACAACACAAACAUUGCCGAGAGAACCCUCCACCCAUUUAGGUGUAGCUGACCUGGGGCCAGGUGCAUACCGCCCAGUAUCUUGGCAAAGUAGGAUGGGGCAGCCGAGCUCCUAGUCUGAAACUCUCCAAGUGCAUCGUCACAUACCCAUUCGGAGGACGACUAGGGACAUCACCUUUUCCAGGAACUACAAGAAGAACCUCGUUGGGGAUGUUAUAGAGGUUCCUAAGUUUAAAUAGAUCAGUGGGUGUGGUAGCACAAGCCAUGAAAUCAAUAGGGUAGGAAUCAGCCUCCACCCUAUGGCCUAGGUUCCUUUUCUGAGCAGGUCUGCUCGGUCCAGAACUGCUCCCCUCACCAUCACCAACUCCUUCAGGGAUCCCAACCCCACCAAAGCUGUGGUUCUCACCAGAGCCCGACGCAGGUCCACCCCUAUUCCCUACAAGCGCCAGUUCGGGGGAAGGAGAGAUAACCAAAGGGCGUGGGUAUUCAAGGGUAUCCUUGCCAUGGGGAGGACCUACACUACUGGAGGGGCCUAAGUAAUCAGUGGGUAUUGGCACAUUGAGGCCCGAGUCCCCUGACUCUUCAUCACCCUCAUCAACAAGUAACUUUCUUUUCCGAUUUGACAUAUCGGAAUUUCAAAAGAACACCAAAACAAACCCAAGUGCACGGAUACAAAAAGGGGCAACACAGGACCCAAACAACAACAGCCAAAGAAAAGGUUAAAGGCUAUACCUGGAAUAGACUGACACUGAUAGCGCUGCCGCGAUAAAGAAAACACCCAGCAAAUGGACACUCCGGACGCUAGAAAUAGUGAGCAAAGUUCAGAGAAAUUUUGGUUAACGGCGGAGAAAACGAAUAACAAGAUGAUGAUGACUCCAGUCUAGGGAUUUGAAACGAAAAGGGGGAAAUGGAAGCAUUUAAGUGAUGGGAUAUGCCAGCUCACCCCCCCAUAUAUCGAGGACGGAUAGCCCGUCGUUUCAAAUUUCAAAUACGAAGAGUCUGGAGAUGCCACGUCACCAACCGUUACAAGAGGCCAGGUUAGAAGUAAGCCCAGAUAUGCUAUGGGCAGGUUCACUUAGGCCCACGCUCAGGUCGGAGUCUCCUCAGUAGAGAAAUGGUACAUCAGGUCAGGCCCGUCUCAAUAAAAAGAGGAUCAGAUGAGAAGCUCCCCGGGCUGGUGAGAUUUGACCAUCAGUUUCUACUCUUAACUCAUUUCACUCGCCAGACCAGAAACUAGGGGACUGGUGUUGAGUACAUAAAGGCACCAGGUCGGCCAUGCUACUGGUUCCGCCCCGGCACGGAUCGUUUCAGCUAUAUGGUACGAGCAGAACACGGGGUUAAACAAGAGCCGACCCGAGAUGAAUGCGACCAGGAAAACAUACCGACCAGAAGUAUACGCCGAGCCGAUACUCAUCCCCAGGAAAGCGGGAACACGAUCUCACAAAAUCGCGGUAGUUGCGCUUCUCCCAGAACGGUUGAAGGACACGCGAGAUCCACGACUGCCCGCAAUCUAACAGUUAGAGUCCCAUGAGGGGCUACCACCACCCGAAAAAGGAGGGAUAAGGGGCAAACGAAAAACGUGGGACAAAGGGCGGCUAUAAAAGAGAAAGACAUCGAAGAAGACAAAAAAGAGAAAAGAGAAGAGAGGGAAAACGCUGCCAAAUUGCAACGAGACUAUUUUCUUACAGAUCUCGAACAAACUUCUUGAACCCAAAUUAUAUUGUUUUCCCGUAAACACCUUGUGCUAACUUAGGCAUCGGAGGGUUUACGCCGGCAAAACCACCGGCGUCUCUGAUCCAUUUUUGGUGAACGCAGGUCUAGUGAGAGAAAGGAGGGUGAUCCCGGCCUUAGUGGUUCGAGCAACAGUCGAUAACUUAAGCGUUGGUGAAAGGAUCUGGUCGGUCCAAGGACGAGCAAAUCUCAGCAUCAACAAUGAUUACACUUGGAAUCUCCCCAGCAAAAAAUUUCCCGUUGAUGACAACCGAUUGCAACUUACAAACAGAUACCGAAAAUAUAAUUAGUAUUCAAUGCCCUUUCUCAAGUUCUACACGUAAUUUAGCGAUUUCACAUACAAGUGGGGCUUAUCUGCUCAUCAUUGCUCUGCUCCUUUUUGUUUUUAUUUUUAUUUUUUUGUUUUUUGUUUUUAACUGCUGCUCAUAUCUGCCGGCGGGGUUUUUCGAAAUUAUUGAUUAUUCUUUCCUUUGAAAUUAAUAUAAAAAAACAGCUCCAUAAUUUUUCUGUGUAAUUUAAAACUAUUGCAUGACGUUUUCUAUUUGUCCAUCCAUUAUUUAAUUGAUAACGGCCCAGCAUGCAUAUGCCUAGAAAUUCUCUUCUUCUAUUCUAAUUAAGUUUCAUGUAAAUUUUUCUCAGUUCUCAGUGUUUGCAGAUAUAUUGAAGACCAUAAUAAUGAUGAUGAUGAUGUAUUACAUCUCAAAUUGCCUUCGUUAUAAUAUUUGGCCCUAAAGCUAAUAAAAUAAAAGAGUUAUACCAUUGCAUAUGAAAAUCAUUUGCUGGUAAUAAUUGUACCAUUGCAUAACCUAAAUAAUAAUAAUUUUAAUGGUAUCAAAAUCUAGUUCAAAUGGAACUAAAGUAGGGCGGUGAAAUUUUUUUAUUUUAAUUAUAAAAAUUUAAACUAUUAAUUGAAUAUAAAUAAUAAUAAAAUAUAAAUGAAUCUUAGAUUAUUCCUACAAUUUGGUGGGUCCCGACAUUAUGCGGAAGUGUACGUUGCCACAAGAAGGCAAGAACGACUUUGGUGGGUCUCGACAUUAUUCCUACAUUUUAAGUCUUCGGCUCAUUUAUAUCCCAUUUUCUUUUUCUUUUUCUUUUUCUUUUUCAUAAACAUAUUUUCUAACCAUUGGUUUUUAUUUCUUAAAUACAACGGUUUGACUCCAGAAGCAUUGACUUUCAGUUCAAUGCCGUUAAAGAUGGAUCAUUUUUUUUAAAAAAAAAGAUGGAUCAUUUUUUUAAAAAAAAAAGAUGGAUCAUCACUCACGGUAUUAGCAUCUAUAUAAAUCAAUACACAAAUCUUGUCUUCACAACCUCAUGAUAGAGAUCGAAUUUUCAACUACCAGUCACUGUUGUUCAAGUUUCCACCACUUGCAACACUAAAUAGUUGCGUUCUCGCAAGGGAAUUGGAGUCCAGAAGCACUCACUUUUAGUUCAAUGCCGUUAAAGAUAGAUCAUUAGUCAUGGUAUUAGCAUCUAUAUAGUUUGUUAGAGAGAGAUCUAAACCAAUACACAAAUGGGUGUACUUUCAUUUUUGUUCGUCUGCUGUAAGUCAUUGUGUUUAAUUAUAUUUAUUUAAUUUGUUAGAGAGAGCUCUACGCCUAUAGAGUAUAACAAAUGGAUGCAUUUUUGUUUUCCUUCAUCUGUUGUAAGUUACUGUUUUUCUUGUCUGAAUCCUCUUUUGCUUCCGACACCAUUACUUCAUCUCAGUCCCUCAGCGAUGGCAGGACCUUAGUUUCAAAAGAUGGAAGCUUUGAGCUUGGUUUCUUCAGUCCUGGUAGUUCCAAGAAUCGUUACGUAGGAAUUUGGUACAAAAAUAUGCCUGUUAAAACUGUUGUUUGGGUUGCAAACCGAAUCAACCCCAUUAAUGACUCUUCUGGCUUGUUAGUUGUAAACCAGACGGGCAAUCUUGUUUUAACAAGCCAGGACAAGAGUGUAGUUUGGUCAGCAAACUUGAGUAAAGAAGUCCGGACUCCAGUUGUAUUGCAGCUACUAGAUUCAGGAAAUCUUGUCCUCAGAGGUGAACGAGAUGGUGGUUCUGAAACUUAUUUAUGGCAAAGCUUUGAUUAUCCUUCUGAUACAUUGCUACCGGGAAUGAAGCUCGGAUGGGAUUUGAAGACUGGUCUUGAGCGGUGUAUAACAUCAUGGAAGAGCCCAGAUGACCCGUCUCCUGGAAACUUUAUUUGGGCAGUUGAACGACAAGAUAAUCCUGAGUUAAUCAUGUGGAAGGGAUCAAGAAAGUUUCAAAGGAGUGGCCCAUGGAAUGGCCUUCAAUUCAGUGCUACACCAUUGAGGCCAAACCCCAUUUUUAACUUCAGCUUUGUCUCUAAUGAGGAUGAGCUGUACUACACCUUCGACAUGAGAGAUAAAGCUGCUUUCUCAAGGAUUGUUAUGAACCAAACACUCUAUUUACGUCAACGAUUCAUAUGGGAUAAAGCAACUCAAAGUUGGGAAUUGUAUUCAAAUGUGCCAAGAGAUCUAUGUGACACUUAUGCCCUUUGUGGUGCCUAUGGCAUUUGCAUCAUUAGCGAUAUGCCUGUUUGCCAAUGUUUAAAAGGUUUUAAACCAAAGUCAAGGGGAUAUGUGGACUGGUCUCAAGGGUGUGUGCGUUAUAAGUCGUUAAACUACUCGAGACAAGAUGGAUUCAUCAAAUUCACUGCGAUGAAAUUGCCAGAUGCUACUCUUUCUUGGGUGAGCAAAAGUAUGAAUCUCAAUGAAUGCCGGGAGAAAUGCUUAGACAACUCUUCUUGUAUGGCAUACACAAAUUCAGAUAUCAGAGGAGAAGGCAGUGGCUGUGCCAUGUGGUUUGGUGAUCUGAUUGACAUCAGAUACUUCCAAGAUGGUGGGCAGGACUUGUAUAUUCGAAUGUCUGCUUCAGAGCUAGGUAUCCGUAUACUUAUUUAUGUCAUUCCAUUAUGAAAACUUAGGAGUACAAGUCCAGUUAGACUAGUUCCACAUUUUUAUUGUGCAAUUUAGUAUUGAGUUCCGAUUGAGAAGCUCCUUUCGCAUAAAGCAGUUUCUGGGUAUAGCUUCUAUCCAUAGAAUUCUGCCGCUAUUUGAAUCAUUUGAUUAUUGACUUGCUUUGCUAUAUCUGAAUAUGCUGAUCAAGGAGCGAAAGGUGUGCCUAAGACGAAGAUAGUGGUGACAGUCAUUUCUACUGCUGCUCUGUUAGCUGUGGUGAUUGCAGCUGGCUAUUUGGUUCACAAAAGAAGGAGAAAUAUAGUAGGUAUAAUAUUGCUCCAUUUUCCUUCAAAACUUUAUAGCCAUUUGCUUGCAUUUUUAUGAUAGCCGUUUCCUUUCAAUCAAUAUUUAUAUGAGUUCAAUUUCCCUGUAUCAAAUCUUCAAUAAAAUCUUUCACCAAGUAGAAUAAGUUUUUAUAUGCAACAAUAACUGUACGUUUGUUUCAAGAUGAAGAGUUAACAGUGCAUAUCAUUUAGAUCAGGGGCAAGGUAAUUAAACUUGUAAAUUUUUGGUUGGAAUAGCAGGUUUACUUACUUGCAUUUAGUGUUAUAUCAAUACACACCUCUUUUUCACCUAUGGUUCUUUAUUUACUUGCACUUUCAUAUUGAAUGGAAAAUAGCUUUAAUACAAAUUUACAGAGAAAGAACCUUCUCAUCAAGAACACGAAAAUUGUAGUUACUAGUUAGUAGUUUGUCCAGUAUACGUACUGCAUAUGUGCUUUCAGUUAAUAUUAUCCAAUAUUUCAGAGAAAACAGAAAACAACAGGGAAACUGAUCAGGUUCAAAACAUGGACCUGGAGCUACCACUGUUUGAGUUAGCUACAAUUGCUAAUGCCACCAGUAACUUUUCAAUCAACAACAAGCUUGGAGAAGGUGGCUUUGGACCUGUUUACAAGGUAAACUUGAAACUUGCCAGUCAAAAAUAAUUAUUUUACCGGGUAACUAAAUUCACAUAUAUGUCUGGGCAGGGCACGCUAGUGGAUGGGCAGGAAAUUGCUGUGAAGAGGCUUUCGAAGAUUUCUGAGCAAGGAUUGAAGGAGUUAAAGAAUGAAGUUAUACUAUUUUCCAAAUUACAGCAUAGAAAUCUUGUAAAGCUUCUUGGCUGCUGCAUUCAGGGAGAGGAGAAACUGUUGAUUUAUGAAUUCAUGCCCAACAAAAGCCUGAACUCUUUCAUUUUUGGUCUGGGUCCCUAUAACCUUAAAAUAUUCGGCUAGCUUGUGCCUUGAUUAUAGACAUUUCUUAUGUAUUUUCAGAAAAUUUUGUACUAACCUUAAUGUGGUAAUUUGUAGAUCAAGAAAGAUGUAAGAUAUUGGAUUGGUCCAAGCGUUUCCACAUUAUUUGUGGGACUGCUAGGGGUGUUAUGUACCUUCAUCAAGAUUCUAGAUUGAGGAUUAUACAUCGAGAUCUCAAAGCAAGUAAUGUGCUACUCGAUCAAGAUAUGAAUCCAAAAAUUUCGGAUUUUGGUUUGGCAAGAGCUUUUGGUGGAGACGAAACAGAAGGAAACACAAAAAGAGUGAUUGGAACAUAGUAAGUACUUCUUGUCAUGUGAUCUUUACGAUUCACUUGUACUGAUUAAUGAAAAGUAACUUAUAUAUUUUAAUCUUUUGAAGUGGUUAUAUGGCACCGGAAUACGCUAGUGAUGGGAAAUUCUCAGUAAAAUCCGAUGUCUUCAGCUUUGGAAUUUUAUUGCUGGAGAUAAUAAGUGGAAAGAAAAAUAGAGGAUUUUAUCAUUCCGACAACAAGCUUAACCUUAUAGGACAUGUAAGUAAAAUGCAUACGACAUUUUCUAACAUAGUUUGAACUAAUAAACUAUAGAUGAUAAAAGAAUUUUAAUAUGUUGUAGGCAUGGAAGUUGUGGAACGAAGGCAUGCCUUCACAAUUAAUCGAUCCGUGUAUUCAAGGCUCAUUCAAUCUUGCUGAAGUGAUACGAUGCAUCCACAUCGGUUUGUUAUGCGUGCAACAGCAUCCAAAGGACAGGCCAAGUAUGCCCUCAGUGAUUCUGAUGUUGGGCAGCGAGACUGUGUUGCCUCAGCCAAAGCAACCCGGUUACUUGGCGGACAGGAAAUCUACCAGACAAGAUUAUUCAUCAAGCACGCCUGAAUCAUGUUCAACUAAUACAAUUACGAUCUCUGAGUUGGAGGGUCGGUAGAGAAUCUAUUUGUGGUAUCAUACCUUAUUCUACUUUGUCAAGUGCAAAAGCAGUAAUAUCAGUGGCGGAUUUAGAAAAAUAAUUUAUCGGGGGCUAAAUUAGAUAAUAGUAAAAUAUAAAAAAUUAAAAUUUUGAAUAUAUAAAAUAUUUAUAAUUAGUCUCUACGUAUUUUUAUAUUUUAAAAAUAUUAUGCAAUAUGUUCAUUAUCAAUAUUAUUAAAUUUAUUAUUUUUUAUAUAAACAAUCAAACUAUCACGUAUCUCAUCUGAUUCUAAAGAUGAUUCUUCAUGAGUUUUAUUACUGAAACUGUUCGUUCUACUAUUAUUAUAUAAACUGAAAGAAUUAACCAUAUUUUUUAGAAUAAAAAAUUUUUGAGUAGUAGGCUAUCAUUAUUUUUAAUUAAAAUAUAUAUUUUUAUAUUUUUUAAAAAUCAAAGUUUAAAUUUUAUGGGGUUUAUAUUUUCUAGUGACUAUUUUAAUAAAUUUAAUGAGGCUAAUUACAAAAUUAAAAAAAUUCUUUUAUUUUUAAAUUUUUUUUUUUGGCCAGUGGGGGCUCAAGCCCCCACUGGUCAUGUGCUGCAUCCGCCUCUGAGUAAUAUGUCAACAAAAUGGAAAGUUAAGAUAAAUGCUUGGAUAAAAAAUGAUGAGGAUCAUCCAGUGAAUGCAUGUUGUGGAUCUAAAAGUUCAAAGGACGAGCCAAUUUUGCAGCUGACUACUUGGCCAAAAAUGCAGGCUCUAUACCUCUCGGAUUUCAUGUUUAUCAAGAACCACCAAAUGGAAAGUUAAGAUAAAUGAAUGGAUUAAAAAUGAUGAGGAUCAUCCAGUGAAUGCAUGUUGUGGAUCUAAAAGUUCAGAGGACGAGCCAAUUUUGCAGCAGACUAAUUAUAUUUAUUUAAUUUGUUAGAGAGGGCUCUACGCCUAUAGAGUAUAACAAAUGGAUGUAUUUUUGUUUUCCUUCAUCUGUUGUAAGUUACUGUUUUUCUUGUCUGAAUCCUCUUUUGCUUCCGAUACCAUUUCUUCAUCUCAGUCCCUCAGCGAUGGCAGGACCUUAGUUUCAAAAGAUGGAAGCUUUGAGCUUGGUUUCUUCAGUCCUGUUAGUUCCAAGAAUCGUUACGUGGGAAUUUGGUACAAAAAUAUGCCUGUUAAAACUGUUGUUUGGGUUGCAAACCGAAUCAACCCCAUUAAUGACUCUUCUGGCUUGUUAGUUGUAAACCAGACGGGCAAUCUUGUUUUAACAAGCCAGGACAAGAGUGUAGUUUGGUCAGCAAACUUGAGCAAAGAAGUCCGGACUCCAGUUGUAUUGCAGCUACUAGAUUCAGGAAAUCUUGUCCUCAGAGGUGAACGAGAUGGUGGUUCUGAAACUUAUUUAUGGCAAAGCUUUGAUUAUCCUUCUGAUACAUUGCUACCGGGAAUGAAGCUCGGGUGGGAUUUGAAGACUGGUCUUGAGCGGCGUAUAACAUCAUGGAAGAGCCCAGACGACCCGUCUCCUGGAAACUUUAUUUGGGCAGUUGAACGACAAGAUAAUCCUGAGUUAAUCAUGUGGAAGGGAUCAAGAAAGUUUCACAGGAGUGGCCCAUGGAAUGGCCUUCAAUUCAGUGCUUCACCAUUGAGGCCAAACCCCAUUUUUAACUUCAGCAUAGUCUCUAAUGAGGAUGAGCUCUGCUAUACCUUCGAUAUGAGAGAUAAAGCUGCUUUCUCAAGGAUUGUUGUGAACCAAACACUCUAUUUACUUCAACGAUUCAUAUGGAAUAAAGCAACUCAAAGUUGGGAAUUGUAUUUGUUGAUGCGAGAUUCUGGUUACGCCUUCCAACGACCAGGAUGUCUGCUCGAUCAACCUCACCUCGAUCAGGAUCUCUCCUCGUACGCUUUUUUCCCUAAGUAUCCCUGCGUCCACAGAAACAAGUCAGAGCAUGCCGGUUGUUUUCCCGGCGUAAACCCUCCGACGCUCAAGUCAGAUAUGAAGGCUCUGGGAACGCUUGCCACAAAUCUUAUGGCUUUUAGGUUGUUUUUUUCUCUUUUAGAAUUUCCUUUCUCUCUGUUAUAAUCUCCAAAUUGCUAACCCUUUUACCUUCGUUGGCUACCUUUUUAUAGGCCACUUCUGAACUCAGGCCUUUCCUCCCUUUGCGCUCGCCAUCCUCCCACUUCUCGAAAGUGGAUGCUCCACUGCCGUAGUCAUGGGUGGUUGCGUGGCCCUCGCGCCUUGAUUCUCGGACUAGAGAGCAUGUCUCGCCAACUGUCGUUGACCGGGUCUCCUCGACCCAACCGUUAGUAGGAAUAUAGCAGGAACGGCUUUAUGCUCCCAACAGGAGACUGACCUCGUGGAUGCCGUACUCAUGGACGAGCAGGAUACUCCUGCUCCUGCUCCCCCGGCUACCAGACUUUUGCAAGAUAUACCUAUUCGAGGAACCCUGCUACCAGGCGCCUGCUCAUCACUGCUGGUCAUCGUCGAAACAUAUCCCCCAAACACCAGUCCCCCAGUUUCUUGUGUUGGGUAGCGUAGUGAGCCAACAGUAGAAACUCGACAGUUCUUGCUCGCGCAGGAUAGGAAAAGGCUACCAAGAGUCGUGUCGCAUUUAAUUGCGGAUGAGGUGAUGUGGCGGAGAUCCACCCCUCCAUUUGAAUUUCAAACCGACGGUUACGAGACCCUCGGGAUUCGGUGCUAUUAAAUGCUGGCUAUCCAAGAGUUUUUCUUCCAAUAAGAUAACCCAAAACCUCUCGAAGGGAAAUUAGCCAUUUCCACCGUCUAUGUCCUUGUCUCUCCGGCGAAGAAGUUUCAGCAUAAAAGCCCCCAUCUUUGCCUUUCUCCGACUGAAACAGUACUUCAGGUAUUACUUCUUUCUCCUCGGUCUCGGAUAGUUUGUAGAUAACUUCUUUUUUCUUUGCUUUGUUUGGGGUAGUAGUUGGUGGUGGUGUUUUGGUUAUUACCUAGGGAAUGUCGAAGGGUAAGGAGAAGGUCGUUGAGAUUGAUGACGACGAACUAGGUUUCUUGCCUAGUCUGCUCGCUGAUUCUGCUUUUGACCCCGGGAUCCCCUUAGAACCCACUAGGUCUAGCGUCGGGACUAGCGCUAGGAGGAUGUCCCCCCAAACAACCUCCACGAGCGGAAGUAGUGGUGAGGAGGGACCUUCUGGCUCGGAAGACACCCUAAGUGAGGAUCAAGGAGGUGAUUCUGGUGAGGGAUCUUCACCAGGAACACCGCGACCAGAAGGGCGUAGUACAGUAGGAGGUAGAGCCUUGUCGCGGGAUUAUGCUAUUGAUUACAUGACCUGCACGACCACAUUCAACGAGCUGGAUGACCUCCGGCUUAGGUAUAGCAUUCCUGGUGAAAUUCCUCUCAAGAUCCUAGGAAAGAAGGAUACACCUAGCCGGCCUCCUAGGGGAUAUGUUACCCUGUUUCUGGAAAGCUUUAAGUUUGGGCUGAGGUGUCCCUUGCAACCCUACUUUGCCCGGAUACUUAACGGGCUGAAUCUGGCUCCUGGUCAGCUGAACCCCAAUGGUUGGAGAGUGCUCUCUGGUCUGUUCAUAUUGUGGGACAGAUGUUGCCAAAGCGAGCCCAUGGUUGAUGAGGUGAAGCACCUAUACCAGCUAAAGAGCAGCCCUAAAGAUGCCGGCUGGUACUACUUCCAAUCUAGUACCAAGAGCAGGAAACCCAUAACUGAUCUUCCAACUGGUGGUGGUGGGACUUGAAAGAGGAAAUUCUUUUUUGCUGGGGGUCAUUGGGGUCAAGUUGCACAAAUUGACGGGAACGAUUAUCGCGUCCCACCCCGUUUCGUGGUCCCAGGUUGCCUGCUCGCUUUAGAUGCCUCGUAUUCAUAAUUGUUCUCGCUUUAUUGGUUUGUUCUUAACCAAGUGUCUGUUUGCGUUGCAGGUUCUUGGGGUGUUCACUUCCCGCUUAAACCUGACCAGCUCAAACGGGUCGAGGCCGUAUUGGUUAAUUCUUGCCCGAGUCGAGAGCUGAUAACCACCUACAACCUGCUCGAGUCUCGUUUGGUGCCCCCCGGCCAUAAGAUGGAGGACGCAGUGAUUGGAGCUCUGACCGGGAAACGUUCUCGGCCUCCAACAACCAAACGGGACCAGAACAAAGAUGCUCCUGCUACGAAGCGAAAGAACAUCGUGCAGCAGGUUCCUCCCUUACAGACUCUUCCUCCUGCUCCUGCCAAGGUCGGGGAAACUAGUGGAGCAGCCACAGAUCCUGCUUCUUCUUCUCCUCCUGUCGGGCCUCGGUCUCGCUUACCUGACAGCCGAGCAGAACACUUGGUCCCCUAUCUCAAUGAGUUAUCUAAACUCGUGAGCAAGAAGGACUUGGAGGACUUUGACGGCUGCACCUUGGGUGAACUGGUGGGAGCCAUGCAGUAUAGCGCUUUCCACCUCAGCUGCAUGAUCACCUAUUACAAGGCUAAGGUUGGCCGCUACAAUCGGCAGAUGAAGGAGGACAUUCAGUCAGCGACUACCAGAGCUGACGUUGCCGAGAAGAGAGCAGGGGAGCUGAAUGUUGAGAACCUUAAGCUGAUGGAGCAAGAAUCUCUUGCUCAAGCAAAAGCCAUUACCCUGGAGGAGGAGCUGACCAAGGUCAAGGAGGAUCUGCUAAGGUAGAAGGCUAUGUAUGAGGCUCAGCUCGAAUUUCUACGUGAUUCCCACCGGGCUCAGGUUGAGAAUUUGGAGAGGGAGGCCGACAACCAGUACGACUAGGGACUUCGGCAUUCCUAUCGUUGCAUCAUGGCCGUCCUCGGGAAGCAGCAUCCUGAUCUGAAGAUGGAUGACCUUGUAGCUGGUGUUGCUCAACAUAUGGACGAGGAGGCGGCCAAGAAAGAUGCCGAAGGGAUAGAGCCGAUCGUGAUUAAGGAGGAAAAUUCUCCUCCUCGUGCGGUCCCUGCUGACGUUGGCGAGGCGAGCACCCGUGCUGCCGUUGCCGAGGCGAGCACCCCCCGGACGCAACUGGUGAUACUCCCCCUGCACCUGAGGAGGUCCAGCCAACCGAUGCUGCUCGGCUUACUGAUCCGCCAUCUUCUUGAUAUAUUUCUUGUAUUGUAAUGAACAACGUUUAUGAAAUUUAUCUCCUCUGUUAAUUAUUAACACAUUAAUAAAAAUAUUUUUGAUUACUUUCUUGUGUUGUAAUCAUGAGUUAUUUUUCGUUUAAGAAUCUGCUCGCCUUCGUCUGGUUGAGCAGGUUCUGGCUUGGCAUAUGGUUUUGCCACAUGCCUUAGAAAAAUUUUUCAAUGCUUGGGCUUCUGCUCGCCUUUACGCGGUCGAGCAGAUCCUAGCAUACUUGGCUUCUAUCUCGCCAUAAACAGGCUUUGAGACUUGGUGAGCCUUUGCAUGCCUUAGAGAUUUUUUCGAUGCUUGGGGAUUCUGCUCACCUUCGCGUGGUCGAGCGGAUCCUGGCACGCUUGGCUUCUGUCUCGCCAUAAACAGGGUUUGAGACUUGGUGAGCCUUUGCAUGCCUUAGAGAUUUUUUCGAUGCUUGGGGAUUCUGCUCGCCUUCGCGUGGUCGAGCGGAUCCUGGCACGUUUGGCUUCUGUCUCGUCAUAAACAGGCUUUGAGACUUGGUGAGCCUUUGUAUGCCUCGGAAAUUUUUUCGAUGCUUGGGGAUUCUUCUCGCCUUCGCGUGGUCGAGUAGAUCCUGGCACGCUUGGUUUCUGUCUCGCCAUAAACAGGCUUUGAGACUUGGUGAGCCUUUGCAUGCCUUAGAAAUUUUUUCGAUGCUUGGGGAUUCUGCUCGCCUUCGCGUGAUCGAGCAGAUCCUAGCACGCUUGGCUUCUGUCUCACCAUAAACAGGCUUUGAGACUUGGUGAGCCUUUGCAUGCCUUAGAAAUUUUUUCGAUGCUUGGGGAUUUUGCUCGCCUUCGCGUGGUCGAGCAGAUCCUGGCACGCUUGGCUUCUGUCUCGCCAUAAACAGGCUUUGAGACUUGGUGAGCCUUUGCAUGCCUUAGAAAUUUUUUCGAUGCUUGGAGAUUCUGCUCGCCUUUGCGUGGUCGAGCAGAUCCUGGCACGCUUGGCUUCUGUCUCGCCAUAAACAGGCUUUGAGACUUGGUGAGCCUUUGCAUGCCUUAGAAAAUUUUCACAGUUUCAAGUGAAUAAGAUUCCUCGACGUUCCAUUAAUUGCAGGAUUCAACUUACAUGAAAUUGUUUGGUUAUAAAAUAAAUAACAGCAAAUACGAACAGAAAGAACUUGAAAAUAUUAACGACUCUUACUGGAAAUAUUUCCUGAGAUGUGCUGCGUUCCACGGGCGCUUCACCUCGUGGCCAUCCGUGCGAACCAGCUUGUAAGCUCCUGGUCCAACUAGCUGCUUGACUCUAUAUGGCCCCUCCCAAUUCGGACCGAGCACUCCUUGAGUCGAGUCUUUGGUGUUCUGGUUCACUCUCCUUAACACCCGAUCUCCGACCUUGAACUGCCGUAUGUUCACCUUCUGGUUAUAAUACCGGGCAACCCUCUGCUGGUAAAUGACUAAUCGCUCGGCUGCUUGCUCCCUCUUUUCGGUUAGCAGAUCAAGAUUCAAACAUAUCUGCUCGUCGUUCUCCUGCUCAUUGAAAUGAUCUGUCCGGUGCGUGGUCGUUCCUAUCUCAGCUGGCACGACCGCUUCGUGUCCGAAAGCCAAGGCGAAUGGUGUCUCCCCAGUUGCUGUUUUGUGGGUUGUUCUGUAUGCCCAUAGCACACCUGACAGCUCAUCAACCCAUGCACCUUUUUUUUGCUCCAAGCCUGGUUUUCAAAAGCCUCUUGAUUGUCUUGUUGGCUGCUUCUACUUGUCCAUUCGAUUGGGGGUGAGCAGGCGAGCAAUACUUCAGCUCUAUCCCGAGGUUCUGGCAGAAAUCCUUGAAGUUGUGAUUAUCGAACUGCCUGCCAUUAUCCGUUACCAGGGCAUAAGGGAUCCCGUAUCGACAGACCAGGUUUCUCCAUACAAAGUCUGUUGUUUUCUUCUCUGUGAUCCUGCUAAGGGCUUCUACUUCUAUCCAUUUCGUGAAGUAGUCUAUAGCAACUAUUGCAUGUGUUGCUGCUCCUCGUCCCUUUGGUAGCGGGCCGAUCAGAUCAAUUCCCCAUUGAGCAAAUGGCCAAGGGGAGGCCAUAGAGGUGAGCUUCUCUGGUGGUUGGUUGGAGAAACUUUCAAAACUCUGGUAGUUUACACAACUCCUGGUCUUCUCCUGUGCAUCCUGGUGCAUUGUCGGCUAGAAAUAUCCCUGCCUUAGAACCUUGUGGGCCAGGGACCUCCCAUCACCUCAACUACUUCAAAUUUCCCCAUUAUCUGCCUGACUAUCUUCAGGUACUGCUCCAUCUUCUCCUCUCUUGGUUGAAAUAUUUCACUGACAUGAUUCGCAACCAGCUGGGAAUCAGUUCGGAUCUUCACUCUGACUGCUUUCACGGCCUUAGCCAAUUCCAAACCUGCUAUCAAGGCUUCAUACACUGUCUGGUUAUUUGUGGCUGCAAAUUCUAACUUUACAACAUAAGAGAUCUCCUCCCCCUCCAGGCUUCCAAGACAAUCUCUGCUCCUGAACCCUGCUCCCCUGAUGACCCAUCCACAGACAUAUGCCAUACUUGAGCUUCGUCACUGUCUGUAACUACAUCUCGUCGAUUUAAACAUACUUCGGGCUCUGUGAAAUCAGCUACGAAAUCGGCCAUUGCCUGAGCCUUUAUCGCUGCUCGGGGUUUGUAGUCUAUGUCGAACUCGCUCAGCUCUAUAGCCCACUUGACUAGCCGACCAGAAGCAUCUGGCUUGUGCAGAGUUUGACGCAAUGGCUGGUUUGUUAUUACCGAGACUGGGAAUACUUGAAAAUAUGGCCUCAACUUCCGAGCCGCAACUACAAGAGCAAGUGCCCAUUUCUCCAACGAUGGGUAUUUGGUCUCAGCGUCGAGCAGGGCCUUGCUGGUGUAGUAUAUCGGAUACUGAACUCCUCCUUCCUCUCUCACCAGAACAGAACUGGUGGCCCGAUCCGAUACCGCCAAAUACAGAUACAACUUAUCCCCAUCCCUCGGUGUGGACAACAGUGGAGCUUGCUGCAAGUAUUGCUUUAAGUUCUGGAAGGCUUCCUCGCAUUCUUGUGUCCAUUCUGUUUUCUUUCCCCUCCUUAUCACUUGAAAGAAUGGCUGACACUUAUCUGUAGCCUUGGAUAUGAAUUUGCUCAACGCCGCCAACCUCCCUGUGAGGCUCUGCAUCUCCUUCAGGUUACGAGGAGACCUCAUCUGCACAAUCGCCUAGAUUUUCUCGGGAUUUACUUCAAUCCCCCUAUGGCUCACCAUGAAUCCAAGGAAUUUUCCUGACUCGACCCCAAAAGCACACUUCUCCGGGUUGAGCUUCAUCUUAUACUUUCUCAAAAGCCCGAAUGUCUCCUCGAGGCGUCUGACAUGUUCCUUCGGGAUUUUGGAUUUAAUGAUCAUGUUAUCCACGUACACCUCCAUGGUUUUCCCAAUCAACGGCUUAAAGACUUUGUUCACCAGCCUCUGAUAGGUGGCCCCAGCAUUUUUGAGACCAAAUGUCAUUACCCUGUAACAGAACAAACCCUGGUUAGUGAUGAAAGUCGUGCUCUCCUCAUCCUGCUCGUACAUGGGGAUCUGGUUGUAUCCCGAGAACGCGUCCAUGAAACUAAGCAGACCGUGUCCAGCCGUUGAAUCUACCAGCUGAUCGAUCUUUGGUAAAGGGAAGCUGUCUUUUGGGCACGCCUUAUUAAGGUCUGUGAAAUCCACACACAUCAUCCACUUGUCAUUUGCCUUCUUUACUAACACCACAUUCGAUAUCCAUUCAGGGUAAUUGACUUCCCGAAUGAACCCUGCUCUCAAGAGCUUCUCCACCUCGCCAUUUAUAGCCUCAUACCUCUCAUGAUUAAAGCACCUCCUCUUCUGCCUUACUGCCCGAGCACCUUUCUUUAUUGCCAGUUUAUGACAUGCUACCUCAGGGUCAAUCCCUGGCAUGUCUUCAUGUGUCCAAGCAAACACAUCUGCAUGAGCCUGUAAGCAUUUCAUCAACUCCUGCUUUUGCUCUCCCUUAAGUCUCGACCCGAUCCUGAUCGUCUUUCCCGGAUUCUCUGGUCCCAGGCUUACUGUUUUCAGAUCCUCUACAGGUUCUUGCCUGCCAUUCUUGUUUUCUACUCGGGUAUCGAGGGAUGUUAUCUGCAUUGCUUCCCUUGCUGCCGAGGAGUAGCAGCUUCUUGCGAUCCUCUGGUCUCCUCGUACCACUCCAACUACCCCAUUCACCCGGUACUUCAAAGCCAGAUAAUGGUUGGACAGCACCGCUUUGCUCAUCCUCAGAAAUGGCCGGCCUAGGAUCAUCUGGUAAGGUCCUUCCUCAUCCACUACCACAAAGUCUAGUAUCAUUGUCCUUUCUGUCGGGGAGCUCCCAAUCGUGAUAGGCAGCUCGACCACGCCCAGAGGGACUAGCUUUCCUCCUCCAAACCCCUUCAAGGAGGUAUUGGUGUAAUCCAACUUCAGGUCUGCUAUUCCUAUCUCCUCCAGGGUUGACUUAAACAACACAUCAACUGAACUCCCUGUAUCAACCAGUAUCUUGUCAAACUUCUUGCUAGCAACAGUGGCCUUGAUGACCAGAGCGUCCUCGUGGGGGUAUAAGAUCCCUUCUUCAUCCUCAUCUGUCCACAUGAUUGGCACUUGCCUAACUCUUGCACGUUUGGCCGCUGGGGUGUUGAAGAAUACCUCCUUGCUGGUCAUGGCGUAUCUAGCAUAAUUCUUCCUCGACCUGUUGGAAUCUCCGGCCAAUGUUGGGCCCCCAGCUAUAACCCUUACUGCAGGUUGCUCUCGCCUCAAGUUCCUGUCACUCUGCUCCCCUUCACUUGUUGAGGCUACCGUUGGGAAGGUCCCAUCUACAAACUCGUCCAGAUACCGAUUUCUCACCAAAUCUUCAACCUAGGUCUUAAGAUCUCUGCAAUCUGUUGUAGUGUGGCCAUGAGUGCCAUGGAACUUACAAUAGCGUCCCCUAUCUCUCCUGCUGGGUAGCUUUGUUAUUGGAGCAGGGAGGUAUAGCAACCCCCGAUCCUUUAUGGCCUCGUACACCUCGUCCAGGGACAUCUUCAAGGAAGUGUACCGCCCAUAGUCCUAGUUCUAGUCGAUCAGGUGCACUGCUCUUUCUCUGUUUGCUCCGUUCUAAGUUGGGGGUAUUGGCAGUACUUCUGGUCUGCUCCCUCUGCUACUGUGGGAAUAUUGAUGAAGACCCCCAUAUGCUGAAUCAUGCCUUCUCCAAGGCUCCCUAGUUGAGGAACGAGGAGGUUGCGCCCUGCUGCGCAGAUACUGUGGUGGCCUCUGAUGAGGCUGGUAAGCAGUUACCCGACCUCCUGCUCCACUACCCGAGGUCUGGUGGUCCCUCCUCCUGAUCGGCCCAUUCCCUGGUAAUGCUUUCUUCUCUUUCCUCCCCAACCAUUCUAACUAGUCUGUCUUAAUCCGUGCUGCCUUCUCCUCUUCAAUCUCAAUGUCUCUCUUAGCCUGCUCGUAUGCGGCCGCAUACGUCUGGAUAACUGGGCUUCUCAAGUUGUACCACAACCUUCUUAUCUUCACCCCUUCUUUCAAUCCCCUUAACGCCUGAGGGUGGUUGAAGGCUCCCAAGUCGAGGACAACACGAUGAAACCUCUUGAUGAAUUCCCGAAGGGUUUCUUGCUCCCCCUGUUUCAUGCUUUUCAGCUCCAUCAUGUCAUCUUCUAGUGCCAUUGCCCCACUAAACUGCUCUGCAAAUUCCUGGCACAUCUGCUCGAAGGUUUUAAUGCUGCCCUGAGGAAGUUUCCUGUACCACUCUCGUGCACGUCCCUCAAGGGAUAGUGGGAACACCCUGCACCUUUGGGAUUGAGAUAAUCCUUGUACCCUAGUUAUGUCGUUGAAGCGCUCUAUGUGUACCAGCGGAUCAGUUCUUCCCGAAUAUCUAAGGUCUGGGAGGCAGAAAUCUCUCGGAAUAACUGCCCUCAUGAUCUCUGCUGCGAGCGGUGAUUCUCCGUCCAGCAUUAUCCUCCAACCAGGAGCUCUGCUCCUUCCUUGCAUGUCGUCAAUUAUCUGCGCUAGUCUGCGCACUUCCUCCUCCAGCUGCACUGCACGACCAGGGUCACGUGCUGCAACUUAAUCCCGCUCUUGCUCUACAUCAUGCAAAUGUUGCCUCAGCAUUGUUUCCUCUGCAUUCGCCACCCUAUCGUCCUCGUCAAAAAUCUGUCUUACCGGGGACUGCUCUUCCUCUCUAUGGAAUUCUCCCCGCAGGGGUAUGUUACCUCUUUCACCACCAAAUCUCCCGGUGGUUUGACUUCUCCUCGUACUAUCGGGACCUGGUGCCAUUCCACCACCUCUCACCCUUUCUUCCUGGGUUACCCUUCGUUCGCUCCGCAGCUCAUGCAGGAUGGUUGUAAAGGUCUCCAUCUGCUUUUCCAUCCGUUCCAUCCGGUCGAACAUGGCUUUUUCCCGUGCUUCACUGGCUAUCUCCCUCAGCGUCACGGAAUCGUUAAGCCUCAUAUCACCCCCUUAUGCACUACUUCCUCCUGUCUCCAUUGCUUUUCAGUUGCUUCCCUUCUCUUCUUGCUAUCAACAGAAGCUUUUUGCUCAGCUCCCCACAGACGGCGCCAAAAUGUUGAUGCGAGAUUCUGGUUACGUCUUCCAACGACCAGGAUGUCUGCUCGAUCAACCUCACCUCGAUCAGGAUCUCUCCUCGUACACUUUCUUCCCUAAGUAUCCCUGCGUCCACAGAAACAAGUCAGAGCACGCCGAUUGUUUUUUUGGCGUAAACCCUCCGACGCUCAAGUCAGAUAUGAAGGCUCUGGGAACGCUUGCCACAAAUUUUAUGGCUUUUAGGUCAUUUUUUUCUCUUUUAGAAUUUCCUUUCUCUCUGUUAUAAUCUCAAAAUUGCUAACCAUUUUACCUUUGUUGGCUACCUUUUUAUAGGCCACUUUUGAGCUCAGGCCUUUCCUCCCUUUGCGCUCGCCAUCCUCCCACUUCUCGAAAGUGGAUGCUCCAUUGCCGUAGUCGUGGGUGGUUGCGUGGCCCUCGCGCCUUGAUUCUCAGACUGGAGAGCAUGUCUCGCCAACUGUCGUUGACUGGGUCUCCUCGACCCAACCAUUAGUAGGAAUAUAGCAGGAACGACUUUAUGCUCCCAACAGGAGACUGACCUCGUGGAUGCCGUACUCAUGGACGAGCAGGAUACUCCUGCUCCUGCUCCCCCGGCUACCAGACUCUUGCAAGAUAUACCUAUUCGAGGAACCCUGCUACCAGGCGCCUGCUCAUCACUCCUGGUCGUCGUCGAAACAUAUCCCCCAAACAGUAUUCAAAUUUGCCAAGAGAUCUAUGUGACACUUAUGCCCUUUGUGGAGCCUGUGGCGUUUGCAUCAUUAACGAUUUGCCUGUUUGCCACUGUUUAAAAGGUUUUAAACCAAAGUCAAGGGGAUAUGUGGACUGGUCUCUAGGGUGUGUGCGUGAUAAGUCGUUAAACUACUCUAGACAAGAUGGCUCCAUCAAAUUCACUUCGAUGAAAUUGCCAGAUGCUACUCCUUCUCGGGUGAGCAAAAGUAUAAAUCUCAACGAAUGCAGGGAGAAGUGCUUAGAAAACUCUUCUUGUAUGGCGUACACAAAUUUAGAUAUCAGAGGAGGAGGCAGUGGCUGUGCCAUGUGGUUUGGUGAACUGAUUGACAUGAGAGACUUUCCAGAUGGUGGGCAGGACUUGUAUAUUCGAAUGUCUGCUUCAGAGAUAGGUACCCGCGGACUUGUUUUUGUCACUCCAUUAUGGGAACUUACGAGUACCACUCCAGUUAGACUAGUUCCACAUUUUUAUUGUGCAAUUUAGUAUUGAGUUCUGAUUGAGAAGCUCCUUUUGCAUAAAGCAGUUUCUGGGUAUAGCAUCUAUGCAUAUAAUUCUUUUGCUACUUGAAUCAUUUGAUUAUUGACUUGCUCUGCUAUAUCAGAAUACACUGAUCAAGGAGCAAAAGGUAAGCCUACAACAAAGAUAGUGGUGAUAGUCGUUCCUACAGCUGCUCUGUUAGCUGCGGUGCUCAUAGCUGGCUACUUGAUUCACAAAAACAGGAGAAAUAUAGUAGGUAUAAUAGCACUCCAUUUUCCUUCACAAAUUUUCAUUGACGACUUGAUGUAGGGAAAUCAAACUCUUAUAAAUAUUAAAUUUAUAAGAGUACAUUAAAUUUUUAUAUGCAGCAAUAACUGUAUAUUUGUUUCAAGAUAAAGAGUUAACAGUGCAUAUCAUUUAGAUCAGGGGCAAGGUAAUUAAACUUGUAAAUUUUUUGUUGCAAUAGCAUAUUUACUUACUUGCAUUUAGUGUUAUAUCAUUACACACCUCUUUUUCACCUAUGGUUCUUUAUUUACUUACACUUUCAUAUUGACUGGAAAAUAGCUUUAAUACAAAUUUACAGAGAAAGAACCUCCUCAUCAAGAACACGAAAAUUGUAAUUACUAGUUAGUAGUUUGCCCAGUAUACGUACUGCAUAUGUGCUUUCAGUUAAUAUUAUCCAAUAUUUCAGAGAAAACAGAAAACAAGAGGGAAACUGAUCAGGUUCAAAACAUGGACCUGGAGCUACCACUGUUUGAGUUAGCUACAAUUGCUAAUGCCACCGAUAACUUUUCAAUCAACAACAAACUUGGAGAAGGUGGCUUUGGACCUGUUUACAAGGUAAACUUGAAACUUGCCAGUCAAAAAUAAUUAUUUUACCGGGCAACUAAAUUCACAUAUAUGUCUGGGCAGGGCACGCUAGUGGAUGGGUAGGAAAUUGCUGUGAAGAGGCUUUCGAAGAUUUCUGAGCAAGGAUUGAAGGAGUUAAAGAAUGAAGUUAUACUAUUUUCCAAAUUACAGCACAGAAAUCUUGUAAAGCUUCUUGGCUGCUGCAUUCAGGGAGAGGAGAAAUUGUUGAUUUAUGAAUUCAUGCCCAACAAAAGCCUGAACUCUUUCAUUUUUGGUCUGGGUCCCUAUAACCUUAAAAUAUUCAGCUAGCUUGUGCCUUGAUUAUAGACGUUUCUUAUGUUAUUUCAGAAAAUUUUGUACUAACCUUUAUGCGGUAAUUUGUAGAUCAAGAAAGAUGUAAGAUAUUGGAUUGGUCCAAGCGUUUCCACAUUAUUUGUGGGACUGCUAGGGGUGUUAUGUACCUUCAUCAAGAUUCUAGAUUGAGGAUUAUACAUCGAGAUCUCAAAGCAAGUAAUGUGCUACUCGAUCAAGAUAUGAAUCCAAAAAUUUCAGAUUUUGGUUUGGCAAGAGCUUUUAGUGGAGACGAAACAGAAGGAAACACAAAAAGAGUGAUUGGAACAUAGUAAGUACUUCUAGUCAAGUGAUCUUUACGAUUCACUUGUACUGAUUAAUAAAAAUUAACUGAUUUAUUUUCAUAUUUUGAAGUGGCUAUAUGGCACCAGAAUACGCUAGUGAUGGGCAAUUCUCAGUAAAAUCCGAUGUCUUCAGCUUUGGAAUUUUAUUGCUGGAGAUAAUAAGUGGAAAGAAAAAUAGAGGAUUUUAUCAUUCCGACAACAAGCUUAACCUUAUAGGACAUGUAGGUAAAAUGCAUACGACAUUUUGUAACAUAAUUUGAACUAAAAAACUAUAGAUGAUAAAAGAGUUUUAAUAUGUUGUAGGCAUGGAAGUUGUGGAACGAAGGCAUGCCUUCACAAUUAAUCGAUCCGUGUAUUCAAGGCUCAUUCAAUCUUGCUGAAGUGAUACGAUGCAUCCACAUCGGUUUGUUAUGCGUGCAACAGCAUCCAAAGGACAGGCCAAGCAUGCCCUCAGUGAUUUUGAUGUUGGGCAGUGAGACUGUGUUGCCUCAGCCAAAGCAACCCGGUUACUUGGCGGACAGGAAAUCUACCAGGCAAGAUUAUUCAUCAAGCACGCCUGAAUCAUGUUCAACUAAUACAUUUACGAUCUCUAAGUUGGAGGGUCGGUAGAGAAUCUAUUUGUCGUAUCAUGCCUUAUUGUACGUUGUCAAGUGCAAAAGCAGUAAUAUGUCAACCAAAUGGAAAGUUAAGAUAAAUGAUUGGACAAAAAAUGAUGAGGAUCAUCCAGUGAAUGCAUGUUGUGGAUCUAAAAGUUCAGAGGACAGGCCUAUUCGGCAGCUGACUACUUGGCCAAAAAUGCAGGCUCUAUACCUCUCGGAUUUCAUGUUUAUCAUGAACCUCCUGUAGGUCAUGAUCCUUGGCUUUGUUAUGAUAUGUAUGGGACAAUGAUUCCCCAUUCGGUUGUGUCUUAGCUUGGCUAAGCCUUUUUUUGGUAAAAAAAAAAAAAGAAUGUAGACUAAUGUUCAUAUAGAAAUUGUAAAUUAGAGGUACUGUGAGCAGUGUUGGGUCCAAAAAAAUGAUUAACCGAGAAUUAAAUUAAGUAAAAGCAAGACAUUAUUGAUUCCCUUCAUUCCUGUAAACCCGCCGAAUUGUUCUUUCCUAAAUUAACUCAAGCAUUAAUUUUCUUUUUAGAACAAGAAAGAUAAAAUUUGUGAUUGGUGGAGUGGUUAAUUAUUAUUUUUGAUAAAUUUGAAUCUAUUUUUGAAAUAGAAAAAUGUUUUGGGUUGUGGGUCAUUAUUAUUUUUAAAUAAAGCGUGAGUUUCAAAGUUCAAGUUAAAAUUUAAAUUUUGUAGAUUUAUGAAUGUAUAGAGGCUAUUUUAAUAGAUUGAUGAAGGUUAAUUAGAAGGAAAAAGCUAUUUCCCCUGAAUUUAAUCCGGAAUUGCGCCCCGAAUUAGAAAAACGACGUCGUUUUGAUUCAAUUGAAAACGCUGCAUCAGAAACCACACUCACGCAGUCUCUUAGGGUCCGUUUGGUAUUGUUUCUGAAUUUGAAUUUUCUAAGAAUAAAAAUGAAAAUGAAAAUAGUGUUUUGCAGUUGUUGUAUUUUGAAUUUAAAUAUGCGUUUGGUAUCAUUUUCUGUAUCCUAUAUUUCUAAACUGAAAACAGUAAUAUGCGUGUGGUAGAUAUAGUUGAAAAUGAUAAAACCAAAUAAUAUGCGUUCGGUAAUACCUUUUUCAAAAACAGUUUUUACUAAGCAUUUUAAGUUAUAAUUAUAGUUAGAAAAUAAUUGUGACAAUAUUACAUACACGAAUAUACCAUAAUAAUUUAAGCAAAAUUAUUAUAAAAAAUUAAAUAAUGAUAAAGUUUUAUAAUUACCAUUAAUUAAAAAAAAGUUUUACAUUGUCAUUGUUUUUAUACUAUAAUUAAGAUGUAUAUUGCAACACAUGAUUUAAACAAAAUAAUUAUAAAAAAUUAUAUAGUACACAUUAUGCAUUAUGUGUAAUCGUGCCUCAUAGAAGCUGCAAUCUCAUCUCUUAUAGCAUUCAUCUCUGCGACAUUAGCUGGUAACCAAAUCUUGCUAUCCUCACCACCAACAUCAUGUGGAUCCAUAUCUUGUUACUAUAAAAUUAGAAAAAAUAACAUAUAUCAAAUAUUAAUGAAAUUAAAGAAACUACUUCUAAACAUACAUAGCUCAAACUUUUGAAAUUAAUCAAAUUCAACAUAGCAUGAAAGCCAUUUUACCAAUAUGUCAUAGAUUAAAAAUUCAACAGUCCAAAAUAAAAAAUAUUCCAAUACAACUUCACCAAUUCAAAUUAAUGGCAUAAACAAAAACAGAUAUAUGUAUUCUGCAUCCUUAACACAAAUACAAUGCUAUUCGGCAAUCAUCAUUUUCCCCAAAUAUAUUUAUCUGAAAUUACAAUUUCCAGCUUGCAUUUCGAUUCAAUGACAGAGAGAAAAUAUUAAAACUCAUAAUGACCAAGCACACAAAGCAACAACAUAGCAACAAUUAAAGCAGCAAGACAAAUCCCCCAAUUCCAGUUCAUCGCUGCCUUUUUUUUUCAUUCUGCAAACAAAAUCAAAGUGUACCAAAAAUAUUUUUACACGGUUUUGCUUUCAAAUCAACACAAUUACUCAUAAUCUAAAAUAAUUACUCAAAAUUAUUAAAACUCAUAAUAACAAAGCACACGAAGCAACAACAUAACAACAAUUAAAUCCCCCAAUUCCAGUUCAUCGCUUCCUUUUUUUUCCAUUCCGCAAACAAAAUCAAAGUGUAGCAAAACUAUAUUCACACGGUUUUGUUUUCAAAUCAACACAAUUACUCAUAAUCUAAAACAAUUACUCAAAAUUAUUUUGGCUUGAAUAGAGGGAAUACACAAUUAACAUGCUUUAAAAAAAUCUCGCAAAAUUAUUCAAACAAUUACUGAAAUAAAAAAAAUUACCAGCAAGCUGAGAGAGAUGCAGCAGUUCAGUCGAUCAAGUAGGAGCGGCGGUGGCUACACGGAGAUGGACAGCAGUGGCUAUGCUCAAACGGAGCAGCAACGGCCACGACGGAGAGAGAACGGCACACCAAAGGACAACCGCGGUAGAGACGAAGUUGCAGCGGCGGCAGAGAAAGUGUUGUUGGAGGGAGAAAAGGAGAGAGAGAGCGGGUAGAGAGAAGACUGCUACCGAAGAAAAGGAUGAGGAGAUAAGGAGAGAGAAAAUGUUGUUGGAGUAAGAAAAGGAGAAAGCACUGCUGCCGUGACUAGAUCGAUAACGAUGGCAGGGAGGGGGGGGGGUGACCAGAUCGAGAACAAUGAGAGGGGGGAGAGGGUUGCUGCCGAAGAGAAUGAGUUUUGUUUCUUAAUCUAUUUUUGAGUUUAGUUUGUAAUAUUUAGGAAACAUGUUAAACACAUUUUCAUGUUUGUAGUUAUAACACUGGAUCUGAAUUUGUUAUUUUGUGAUUUGUUUUUUGAAUCCAUCUCACCAAACAUAUAUUAUGUUUGUAUUAUGAAAACAAAAAUGAAAACAAUGGGUAAAAAACGCUACCAAGUUACUUUCCUUUUGACAAACCAAAGACUCCAACACAAAUAGCAAUCACACCCACAAAUAGCAAUCACCCAACGGCCACGCGAACAGCCGGUACAGACGACAGACCACCGCCAUCACGUGAUCGAGGGAGUAGAACUCACGCGGUGGUGCGUCCAAACUCCAACGAAAUCGACGGCGACGGAGGUAGUUAGAGCCACGGUUCUUUCGAGCUAAAUCGCAGGUGUUCCUAUUGGUUUUCAGCGACGAGGAUGGCAAGGAAACGAUGGCCAACUUCCAAUCUUCAGAUCAAUACCUUGAUCGGCCGGUAGAGUGGUCGGGAUCGUGAAAUCCAACCGGGUCACGUUUGCAGGUCAAGUCGGGUUUGCGGGUCAACUUCUCUCCCUCCUCAUCCACUCACAAAGCGCCACACGACUCCCCUUGGCCAGGUUGUUGCUGCUGGAAUUUGUUUUGCUGGAACCAUUACUGGUGCUAGAAUUGAUGCUCGAGUUGUUGCUGCUAGAAUUGUUUUUGCUGGAAGUGUUACUGGAAUUUUUUUUGCUAGAAGUGUUACUGGUGCUGGAGUUGGUGCUCGAAUUGUUGCUGCAAUUUUUUUUCUUUUUUUUGUGUUUGUGUGUAUGAACUAGAGGUGGCAAAAAUAUAUGCCCGGUCUAGACCCGGAUCAUACCCGAGCGUUGUUAUUCGGCCCGGGUAUAAAGUUGGGUUGAUCUUAGGUAUCACUUGAUAAACCCGGAACCUGGAUUUUAUUAAAAAAAUUAUAAAAAUAUAUUAUUUUAAAUAUUUAUAUUUAUUUGACUCAUUUAUUAUACAUAUAUAAAGUUUUAAAUACUUAAAAUUUAUAUUUUCAUGUUAAAUUUUAUUGAAAUAAAUUUAAAACUUAUAAAAUUAUCAAAAAAUAAAAAAUAUAUACACAUAUAAUAUUAAAUAUAUAUAUAAAAUUCGGGCACUAGAAUUAAAACCCGACCCGGACCCAAACCCAGACCGAUUGCAUUCGGGCAGGGUCCGGUCAUUGCAAUACCCGGACCCGGCCCAGGGUUUUGCCAUCCCUAGUGUGAACUCCUGAUUGUUUUUUAUUAUCUUGGGCACUUGUUGCUGCUGAUAUGUGUGUGUGAAAUUGCUUCAAUGAAUUGAAUACAACAAGUGCCCAAGUCUUGUUGGAAUCAACAAGUCUUGCUGCUGGAAUUGUUGCUACCGUUAGUGUUGCUGCAAUGAAUUGAAGAAGCAACGUCGUUCGGUUUAAGUGACCGUUUUAAAACUCACACACAUGUGCUGCACAGUUGCAAUUAAAAAGGAAAAGUGACCGUUUUAAAACACAGCGUUUUGGCAAAUUCAUAGUUAAGUUCGGGGCAUAUAGCAGCGCUCUAAUUAUAAACCCAAAUGAUUUUUUCUUUUAUUUUUUUUGUCUUUCACAUGCUAAAUCCACCACCCUUACCGAUAAAAAUUGGGAUGAUUUAUUUUUAUCCUAAUGAUCAUAAUAAAAAUUUUAAAAAUUUUUUACUAUUUUAUCAAAAUUAUUAUUUAAAAAUCAUAUUUACCCCAAUUUUUUUUUUAACUACAAUGUUUGAGGGUGUAUUAUGAAGUGACCAGCUAUACCCUAAACGAGAAGUCGACCUUCUUAUAAGUGAGCAGACAUGUGAGGUCUGGUAUCAGGUAGCCAAAAGCAGGCAUUUUCUGCUCGAUUACAAGGACACCCUAUGCUAGACCGUAGCACGAGCAGGAUUCCUGCUAGAAACCGAGAGCCUUCCUGCUGGAGACCGGGGUCGACAGACCCAGUCCAUAACAGUUAACGGGUGUGCACUUCUAUUCGAAAAUCUAAGCACGAAAUCCACUCGGCCGCAACUACAAUAUUCAAGCAUCCACUUCUGAGAGCUGGGGAGGUGGUGAACGUGGGUCAUGGGGGGCUAAAUUUAUAGGAAGACUAUAAAAGAGGUAAUCAACGAAGGUAAAAAGGUUAAGCACUUUUACAUAAAAAUUAAGAAAAAAAAAGCAUUCUAGGAAAAACCUGUGAAAAGCUCAUAGGUAUUUUAUUGCCUAGGGAGCCACGAGAUCAGUGGCAGAAUUUCUUAAAAAGUCAACCCAAAUUUCUAAUUUGAGCGUUGAAGGGUUUACACGGAGAAAACUUCCAGCGUGCUCUGACUAAUUUGUGUGCACAGGAGUUCGUCGAGAAGAAGUUGCAAGAGGCAUACCUCUAUUCGCCUAGAAGAGUAACAUGAAGUAUACUCGGUAGGCUGCAAGUUUAAGAGUUAAAAAGAGAUCCUGAUCGUAAAUGAGCAGACACUAAAAUCUCGCAUCAAUAUAUAUAUAUAUAUAUAUUUUCACCACGACUAUAACUUUUAAUAUAACUUAGGUUAUCAAAAUUUUGAGCUUCAUUCAACCAACCAUAAAUCAUGAUUAAAGUCUACGUUGCGUAAGUCAAGAAAGACUUUAAUGGGAGAGAGAUCAUCUUUAUUAUCGACACUACAAAUGGACCCCAAUUAUAUCUAAAGUCUUUGGGCUCGUGUCCCGUUGUCUUCUUCUUUUUCAAAACCCUAUUUACUAACCAUUAAUUCGGUUGGUUGAUGAAUCCGGCGGUUUCUGAUUUUCUUAUUUAUUUUUAUGCGAGUGACCCCGUAACGAUAGCAUCGCAAUCUCAUGAAAAAAAAUUUUCCAAACGCAUGAAAAUUGGACACCCAUCAAGAAAAAUCUUUUUGUUACAGUAUUUACUGUACUUUCAAAAUUUUAAACAUGACAAAAAUUAAGUAAUCUACUUAUCAUAAUAAUCUAUGACCAAAAAUAUUGAACAUGUAAUUUUUUUUUUUUUUGUAAUUAUACACGCACAUCACUCUUUUACGAUUAAUUGACUAAACAAGUAUGAUAAACGAUUUUAUAAUGGAUUGUCUCAUAAUCUAAAUUUAUCAAAUAUUUUAAUGGUGAGACUAUUCGAAUUGAAUCCAUAAAAUUCUUUUAAAAUUUUCUUUACAACUUAUAACAUACUUUUUAGAAAGUCUAUCGAGUACUUAUUUAAAAAUUUUAUUUCAAUAGAUAUCAAGAAAAAUUAUUUGGUUAAGAGAAAUGAGCCCCUUUUGAGUUGGUGAAGCAUGAGCUCAUCACUAGGCAAUCCAUCAAAUUAUUCAAUAAACACAUUUACCCCACACAUCUAUAAUUAAUUAGAGGGAUGGAAUCAUUUGAACUUAUUAAAUUUCUCUUAACAUCCAUUUAUUUAACAUAUCCCCUAUCAAAAUCUUAAAAUUAAAUUUUAAUUCUAUAAACCUCUUAAUACCCCACAAAUAACCGUUUUAUGGUUGGUGCAAUAAUUUAGAUAAUUAAAUUAUUUAUUGUUUUUGGUAAUUUUUAUUUAAGAUUAUUUUUGUAAUAAAAUUUUUUAUUUAAAAAUAGGUCUAAGGUGCAUUUUUAUGGGGCCCAAACGACCUUAAAAUUAGAAAAAUUAAAUUUUACCAUAUAAAAGCAAAACCUCUUGUACUUCCUAAAGUAUCCUUGAUUAGAUUUCUUUUUUUAAUUCUAUUAUUUUCUCUCUCCUAAAGAAGUUGCUGUAUCCUUUCUGGUAAGAUGCUCUGUUCAGGCUUCAAUGUUGUUGGAUUGAAUUGGCAACUGAACUCGAAUCAAUUCUCAUGCAAGGGUUGGGGAAUUUGCUCAACUUAUAAUUGGUAGGUUUAUGCCUUUGGGAUCAAACUCAUUUCGCCUCUCCAAGAAUCUGCAAAAUUAAUUGGUAUUAUCAUGUCGGCGCUGCUUAUAAUUAGUAGUGCUUGCAUUGCCCUGAAUUCAGGCAUUGCUUGAGUAGAGUUGGGCUUGCUGAUUCAUUUUAGUGACAAAUGAAAACAUUAAAAAAAAAAAAAUCAGGACUUGUUCGUCCAAAUUUACAGAUAUUUUGUUCUUUAAUUAAUUUUAUUAUAACAAACAAUAGGAUAGCAGUGUUGUUUAACCAGUUGCUUACACCUUGGCAAUAUAGCUUUGUGUUUUUUUUUUCUUUUUUCUUUUUUCUUUUUUUUUAAUAGUUUGUGAGAUGGCCAGUGAUAUAUAUGUCUUUUUAAAAUUUUCAAUUAUUGGGGCAACGAACAUGUUAAAUAAUUUGCGGUGGAAAAGGUACCAAUACUGACUCAAUAUGUCGAAUUUCUAGAAAAUUUUAACAUCAAAUGCCUUGUUUCCAUUGUUGUAAGUAUAAGUCAAAUUUCUUGCAAAUUUUCUAUGGGUGUGAUGAUUUUUUUUUUUUUUUUUAGUGCAAACGGCUCACCCUUCACAUAUUCAUAGAGAUGUCAAAUUCUCUAUCUUCACCAUAAUUCUAGAUUGAGGAUUAUACAUAGAGAUCUCAAAGUAAGUAAUGUGUUACUUGAUAAUGAGAUGAACCCAAAAAUUUUAGAUUUGUGUGAGAUGGCACUGUUCACAUUAUUUUUUUAAUUUCUUUAAUUAAAAUAACAAAACUAAAUAAAAAUGUAUAAUAUUUAAUAAAAUUAAAAAUUCAAGUAUGUUGCCGCUAGUGCUGAUGAACUACUAGCGAAAGUUCGACGGCGGCUAGCCACAGGUGGCUACUGCAUGACAUCAUGUUUUACCCUAAAAUUUGGUAUCAUUAAAAUUCUCAUUGUCGGGGCUUCACAGUAGUGCCAAAACCUUGAAUGUAGAUCGAUGGUGAAUGGAAAUUCCUUUGCCGAUGAUAGUUGACCAUUGCAUAGCCCUAAUAAUAAUGAUUCUAAUGGUAUCAAAAUAUAGUUCAAAUGGUACUAAAGUAGGAUGGUCAAGGUGAAAAUUUUUUAUUUUGAUUAUAAAAUUUUAAAUUAUUAAUUGAAUAUAAAUAAUAAUAGAAUAUAAAUGAAACUUUGAUUAUAAUUUAAUAUAAAUAUUAAAAUAGAAAUUAUUAUUUUAAAUAAUACAAUGCAAGCUACAUCAAACAUCAUAUUGUAUUACAGCUUAAUACAAUAUAAUAUAAUACACUAUAGUAUGUCAAACGCAUCCAUAAAAAAAAAUUCAAAAUCACAAGAUUUAUUUGGUGGGCCUUACCUGCAUUAUCCUUAGUUUACUUUUUGAGUCAAAUAAACAAUAGGCCCCAGAGACUUUUUAGUUCAUCAUGCUAUUGCUUUAGAUGUAAAUACAACUACAUUGAUCUUGGCAAAGUGGACAGUUUACUUUUUGCGUCAAAUACUAUGUUGGGAUUAAUUUUUUAUAAAAUUAGUCUAUUCCACUGUCUUUAACUGCAUCCAAUCAUACCCCAAUGGUUAACUAUGAGAAAAAUUAAUAAGACUAGCAAUUUGUUUACUUGGAAUUGGAAUUGACAAAAAUUGCAAUGAGUUGAAAUCAGAACAGGCUGGAAUUGAUCACAUGAGAAAUAAGAAUCAAAGUAAGUUAUAUACUUGAAUCGAAAUCAACAAAAUUCCAAUUGAUGUAUUUACUUCUGUCUUGUAAUCCAAAUAAGUUGUCACAAGUCAUAAAAAUGUCCUUAGUUCCACUCUUGCCAGAUGUCAUGAUGAUAUACGUUUCAUCCAUCUGGUAAGCGAAGGAGUUAUUACAAGUUAAAAAAAUGUCCUUAGUUACAAUUAUGUAUUUUUCUAUGUAAAAUAAAUAAGCAAACAUUUUUAAAGAAACCAUUGGCAUAUUUAUUAUAAUAUUGAGUGUAAUACAAUGAGUUUUUGAGUAAACUAGUUGUUGUUGUUGUUAUUUUAAAUCAAUAAUAACUACUAUUAAUAUUAUUAUUGUAGGGAAAUUAAAGCCCUAACUUCCUAUUAAUUUAAUUCCCUCUUAUUACUAUAAGGGGAACCAAAGUUCAAAUACCAAGUUUUUGUUGCUGGCAGGACUCGAACCUACGCCCCUCAACUUUCUAGGUAUAGGUUCUCCCAUUAGAUUACAAGAUCGGCUUGUGUUAUUGUUACUACUAAUACUAUUAUUAUUAUAAUUGUUUAUUUUCUUAUUAGUAUAAUUAAUAUUAUUAAGAUUAUUUAAUUAUGUAAUAGGAAUAAAAUCAAAAUUUCAUAAAUUAAGGGAUAGUAAAAUAAUUAAUUUAGAAAAUGAAAAUCACAAUCCUACCUUCCCAUAGAAAUGAGAUUCUCAUUCCCACCUUUAAAAUUUGGUGGGCCUCGCAAAUUUCAUUCACAUUCUCAAAUAUCAAAUAAGCAAGUAAAUAAUGGAAUCAUUUCCAGUCUUCCAUUCUUGACUCCCAUUCCAAGAAGUUAAUAACCUUUAAUAGAACGUUCAAAUGAAAAGACUAGCCAGGCCUUGAGAAUUGACAUCGAUCAAUUAUCUCUUCCGUGUUAGAAAUAUAUGUUAUUUGUUUUGUCUUUUUUUUUUUUAAUUCAUAUAUUGUUGAAAAGUCAAAAUUGACGAUUUGUUUAUUCAAAUCGGUUGAAAAAUAAGAGGUGAGCCACAUGCAUAAUUGACUUUUGGAGGAGGUAGGAAUCGCAUGCAUAAUUUCUUUCAAAAGUGAAGAAUUUUUGCAACUUUAUGAAGACUUUUUUUAUGCAAUUGAAGAGUUUUUCAAAAGGUAGAAAUGGUGGCCCAAAUCAUUGAAAUAAUUGCAUGUAAAUUAGAUGUUAGGUGUUGGUGCCUAUAAAUAGAGAGCAUUUCUUCAUUCCAUUUCAUCCCAAAAAUUUGAGAGCUUAAGAGAAAUUACAAGUGAAGCAAUUAUAAAGUUCUAAGAGUGUGAGCAAUUGAAGAGUGUGUGUGAGAGUACUGGGUGUAUUUAGGUUUUGGGAAAGUGAGGCUUCUCUACUCAAAUUUGUACUCUAAUAAUUGUUGGUAAUACAAUUAUUUUUCUUUUGCUUCCGUGGACGUAGGCAUAUUGCCGAACCACGUAAAAUUCUGUGUCUUUUAUUUUUCUGUGAUUAUUUGGUGCGCUUGAUUUCGUAUUCCGUGCACAAUAUAUAUGAUCACUCUUGAAUCUCAAAAAGCAAAAAAAAAAAAAUCGCAUUAAAAAAGAUCCAUUGCAACUUGUAGACAAAUACAAAACAGAAAAAUUAGUAUUCCUAGUCCUCUGCCACGUUAAGAGACUCAUUUUUCUUACCUAUGAUCGAAGCUUCAUUUGGAGGAUAUGCUGUACAGAGUAGUUUUCCAAUCCAGUAUCUUGGAUUGGAGUUAUAAUCCGGGGGACAAUUUGUAGCCGUCGGAUCAAAUCCAAUGGCAACUUAUAUUUUUAUUUCAAAUAUUGAUUCCGACAGUAGGGCCCACAUGCAGACUUUUACAAUUUUUAAGGGUUCAGUUAUGUUGCAAGAGUUGUAAGGACCUCAAUUUUUAUCAAUUGUGAUUUAACUAAUGUAAAAUUUAACAGAACACCUUAUACUCUAUUUUAUUCAUAAAAUAUUAACAAAUAUUAUGAUAGCUUUUACUUACAUACACUAUUAAAAUUCUAUUUAACACCUUACACUCUUUUUAUUUAUUAUUUUCAUAAAUAUUAAAGUAUUUAUUUGUUUACAUCCAACACUAAUAUCAACAAAAAGACAACAAUACCCUUAAAUUUAUAAACUAAAAAUAAAAUUUUAGAUUUGGAGCCAACAAGUUUAAGGGACUCCAAAUCCAAGAUUGUGACUCUCUGUUGGUGCCUUUGACUACAAGUAACGCCAUGCCAUUGGCAGAAGUGGAUGGAUUCAUUCGACGAGCCUAAAGCACCAAGAGGAUCAUGGGUGAUCUUGGACUUGAAUUCAAGCAAGGCUAAUCGAUCUGUCCCGUUCCCAACAACUUCAGAAGCCCUCACACCAAGGAUUUCAGGAAUUAGAAUGGCGUGGAAGCUGAAGCAGAAUACAAGGACAGCAUACGCAACUAAAAAAGAGCAAGGGCAAGGCACUCUUAUGCUCAUGUUGAAUGGAAAAUUUUUAUCUCGGAGUUGCAGGUAAAUGGUGGAAUGGAUUUGUCAAAAUUUAAGGUUCAACAAUCAAGAAUAUAGACAAAUGUAUUCACUCAGCAAGGCUCUAUCUGUAAUUAUUAUUAUGAUAAUAAUGUAACAUUCAUAAUUUUGUCAAACAGCUUUCGGAGGGUUUAAUAUUCAUUUAAGUUCGUAAAAUCUAAAGUUCAUAAUUUUGUCAAACAGCUCUAUUUGUAAUACACUUGACUUGUUCUGGGAAAUUUCCCAGCCAAAGAACUUGCUUGUAAAAAUCUAAAGCAGCCUUAGCUAAAUAGUGAGCAAUAAAAUUACAGCUCCUAGAGACAUAUGUAAUUGAGGCCGAUGUCUGGACUUUCAUUUUUUCUUGAAUCUCUGCAAUUCUCCACGAAAUUUCAGCCUUGCUGCUCUUCUUACUUAAGGCUAGUUCCACCACUUCCUUUGAGUCUGAUUCAAGGAUCAAAGGGAAGCAAUCUGCUUGUUGAGUACUUUGAAAACCGAGCAGCAUAGCUUCAGCUUCCAUACAAGCUGCAUUUUCUUGAUAUGGGAUUCCCUGGACUGCUGCAGCAACAACUUUGCCUCUGCAAUUUCUAAUAACUGCUCCCAGCCCUGCUUUUUGUUUUGAGACAUUGAUUGCCGCAUCAACAUUACUUUGAACCACCCAUUUGGAGGAGUAGUCCAUUCCAACUUUCUGUUCUUGCUGUGCUCUGGAAUGGCUUGGGCAUUUGGGAUUUAAUUCGUCAGUAGGACUCCACUAUAGCUCCUGCUCUGGCAAAAGAUUGCUUCGGAUCUUCAUCCUUCCCUUAAAAAAAAAGCGAUUUCUGGAAUACCAGAUAGCCCAGCACACAGCAACAAAAAACUCCAGAUCCUUCUUUCUUCUCUUCAAAGCUACAUCUUGAAUUACACUUAACAUGUCCUGACGAGCCAACUGUUUAACUUCCUCAUCAAGAUCUGUAAAUUUCCAAAUCCUCCUCGCUGCUUUGCACUCCACUAAAGCAUGGAAAACAUCCUCACCUCUGCACUUGCACCUUUGACAAAAGGGAUCCGACACUACUUUCUUCCUCCAUAGAUUAUGCAUUGUUGGUAACAAUUCUUUCCGUCCUUGACGACCAAGAUCAGUCGGUAAUUGGUGCCGGAAACCAUCUUAGUCUCACCCUUCUCCACGCUCUUGAACUUGAACUCGUUCUUUGACUGUUUUUUUUGUACUCAUCACUGCAAACCGCCCGAUCUCUGUCACGUGCGGCUUGCUGAGGUCUUCUUUCGACUUCCAUCCCCCAACUAAGACUCCUUUACGAUCGCCGGCGGCCAGGAGAGGGGUUGUUGCCACGGCUUUUCACGACCACAAAAUACGUAAUCCCUGCACCUUGGGACAAUUGUGGGGGAUGUACCCCAUUCCCUUCAAAAUACCCAAUAUAUACCUAAAAUUAUAACGCUCUUAAAUUUUACAUAUAUAUACUCUAAAAAACUAAAAAAAGUACAAAAAUAACCACAACUAAAUCCUCAUAAAACUAAACCCAACUUUUCGAAGUCUGGUAAAUAGUCGAGAAUACUCGACUUCAACCAAACCAUACACAAUUAGUAAUUCAGCAUAAAUUCUCGACUUUUUCAUGUUAGUCUGGUAAAUAGUCGAGAAUACUCGACUUCAAUUAAAAUAAAAAAUUAUUUAAAAAAUUUUCAAUUUUUUCAAGUAAGUCGAGUAAAGAGUCGAGAAUACCCGACUUUAAUUUAAUCUUACCCAAUAUUCAUUCAACAAAAAUUCUUGACUUUUCAUUGAAGUUCGGUAAUUGGUUGAUAAUACUCGACUUAAAUUGAAAUAAAAAUUUUUCUUUUAAUUAAGUCAGGUAAAAAGUCAAGUAUACUCGACUUUGGUUGUGUUUAUGAGAGAGGAAGAGAGGAAGUAAACGUAAAUAAAUGAUUUUUUUAUGUUAUUUUUUACUUUUUACACUUUUAAGAGGUAUAUGUAUGUAAUGGGGUAUAAAUUUAGCAUUUAAGGACAAAUGGGGUAUAUUUAAAUAAAAAACCCCUGCACCUUAUCCAUUUUCUUCUAUCACUUGUCAAGAAGGGUAAUUUUAUCCUUUUAAGAUUUAUAAACAAAAUAUAAAUAAAAUUAGUGCAGGUGUUCAAGUAAAUUUGACAACAUUUAAAUUAUAAAAGACAAAAGUUAGGGUACGACAGUUGCAACUUGCAACAUAGCCGAGUCCAUUUUUAAUAUUAAAAAGUAAAGCUGCUUUUAAAUAGAGAACUGAUAUUCCCUCCCCAGAUUCUUCAUCAUCUGACUAAAGCCAAAAAGAACUGAUACUAACAAAUCACCAUUUGGGAUUUCCACUUUUUCAUUAUCCAUUUUAGUACAACUUAAAUCAAGGGGGGAAAAGGAAUAAAACAAGCAGAUGAUUACACAUGCACACUGAUUUCCAUUUUGUCACCAUUUCUUGCCGAUGUUGCCGCCGUAAUUCUUUUUUUUUUUGGUUUAUCUCAAACUUUGUAAUUUUAUUAAUAUUGAGAGCAUAAAAAACAACGAGUUCAUGGUCCAUCUGAUUUUAGUAAAUCAAUCAGGUGAGCUUUGCUAUUAACUUUCCUUCACUCCAGUCAGGCAUCAACAUCCAUCAAAAACUCACAAAACUUUCUCUCUUAAUCGCCUUUACAGACUCUUCCUUUCUCAUUUUUCUCGCUUUCUUCUUCUUCGAAAGCAGCGAGCCCUUCCAAUCCCUUCUUUUGUGGCUCUCCAUUUCCCUCUUCAUCCGCCCCUUCGCCAUCGCUCAACUCACCUGCGGUCACAGCCCAAUCAUUGAAACCCCUCAUAUCCAGAUCCAAAGAUUAAAAGGAAGCCUUAGAAGUCGCAAAAGAACCGAUCUUUAAACCCCCCACAGUUCGGUUCUGAUCGUUAAAAACUCAAAUGUGUCAAUUCGAAUUGAGUAAAAAGAGAAGAAAUUUGAAGUCUUGGAGGAAUGAAAUGGAGAGGAUAUUCAGAUUCUGAAAAGCAGUGAUGAAGAAACCGACGGGGAAGAUCAGUUCUCUCUCUAAAAAUUUUAUUAGGCAACUUUAUUUUUUUAAUAUUAAAAAUUAAAAAAAUCUGCAUGUGGGCCCUUAUGUUGGAAUCAAUAUUUGAAAUUAAAAUAUAAGUUGCCGUUGGAUUUGAUCCGACGGCUAAAAAUUGUCUCCCGGAUCCUGAAUUGGAAAACUACGCAUGCUGUACAAAUGAUUUAGCUCAUGUGAUUAAUAAAUAUAUACGAUCAUAAUUAAUUUCCAGCUUUUGGGGAAGUUAAAAAAUCCUUAUUUUUCCAUUUGUGUUUUAAGCAUGGUUUUUUACAAUUUUAUAUUUAAGUUUAAUAAAUUGAAUAGUAUGUGUGUAUUAUUUCAUUAUGUUUAUGUUUAUGUCUCUAUCUUUAAUUUUAAGGACGCUAUAUGUAUUAACUCAUAUUUCCAACGGCCGUACUUUAAUAGGAACAAGAAGACAUGAUUUCUAUUAGAGCAUAUUCGACAGAUUUCUAAAAUUAUACCAAUAUAAAUUCAUUAUUAGUUAGAUGAGAAAUAAGAAAUUUAAUUACAACAAAUGAUUUACAACGAUGACCCAAGUAAACUAUCAGUCAAGUCAAUGAAUAAAUUAACUCGCGUCACUGUUUCGUCACUAUUAUUAUUUUUUCGGCUCAAUUAUGAUUACACUUGAAAUCUGUAAGCUACAGACUGCAGCAUCAGCCGUUGGAUGUGGAGUGAGAAACUAAACAAUAGAAAAUGGGAUGGUGGGAGAUGUUUGUUGCAGAAUCUGUACCAUAGACAGAUAAAGCCUCUGUAAUGAGUAUUUUUUUCGGCUCAAUUAUGAUUAUUACAGUUGGAAUCUCGGACCCAGCAAAAAAUUAUCCGUUGAUGACAACCGAUUGCAACUUAUAGACAGAUACCAAAAAUAUAAUUAGUAUUCAAUGUCCUUUGUGAAGUUCUACACGUAAUUUAGCCGGUGGGGUUUUUCGAAAUUAUUGAUUAUUCUUUCCUUUGAAAUUAAUAUAAAAAAACAGCUCCAUAAUUUUUCUGUGUAAUUUAAAACUAUUGCAUGACAUUUUCUAAUCGGCCAUCCAUUAUUUAAUUGAUAACGGCCCAGCAUGCAUAUGGCUAGAAAUUCUCUUCUUCUAUUCUAAUUAAAUUUCAUGUAAACUUUUCUCAGUUUUCAGUGUUUGCCGAUAUAUUGAAGACCAUAAUAAUAAUAAUAAUAAUAAUAAUAAUAAUAAUCAUGAUGAAGAUGAUGUAUUACGUCCCAAAUUGUCUUCCUUAUAAUAUUUGGCCCUAAAACUGAUAAAAAUAAAAGAGUUGUACCAUUGCAUAACCGUAGAUCUAUGACGAAUGAAAAUCAUUUGCUGGUAAUAGUUGUACCAUGUCAUAACCUAAAUAAUAAUUAUUUUAAUAGUAUUAAAAUCUAAUUCAAAUGGCACUAAAGUACGGCCGUGAAAUUUUUUUAUUUUAAUUAUAAAAAUUUAAAUUAUUAAUUAAAUAUAAAUGAAUCUUAGAUUAUUCCUACAAUUUGGUGGGUCCCGACAUUAUUCCUACAUUUUAAGUCUUCGGCUCAUUUAUUUCCCAUUUUCUUUUUCUUUUUCAUAAACAUAUUUUCUAACCAUUGGUUUUUAUUUCUUAAAUACGACGGUUUGACUCCAGAAGCAUUGACUUUCAGUUCAAUGCCGUUAAAGAUGGACCACUAGUCACGGUAUUAGCAUCUAUAUAGUUUGUUAGAGAGAGAUCUAAACCAAUACACAAAUGGGUGUACUUUCAGGUCAGUGCCCUCCAAUAUGGAUUAUCAGUCAUGGUGUUUAAUUAUAUUUAUUUAACUUGUUAGAGAGAGCUCUACGCCUAUAGAGUAUAACAAAUGGGUGUACUUUUGUUUUCGUUCAUCUGUUGUAAGUUACUGUUUUUCUUGUCUGAAUCCUCUUUCACUUCCGACACCAUUACUUCAUCUCAGUCCCUCAGUGAUGGCAGGACCUUAGUUUCAAAAGAUGGAAGCUUUGAGCUUGGUUUCUUCAGUCCUGGUAGUUCCAAGAAUCGUUACGUGGGAAUUUGGUACAAAAAUAUGCCAGUUAAAACUGUUGUUUGGGUUGCAAACCGAAUCAACCCCAUUAAUGACUCUUCUGGGUUGUUAGUUGUAAACAAGACGGGCAAUCUUGUUUUAACAAGCCAGAACAAGAGUGUAGUUUGGUCAGCAAACUUGAGCAAAGAAGUCCGGACUCCAGUUGUAUUGCAGCUACUAGAUUCAGGAAAUCUUGUCCUCAGAGGCGAACGAGAUGGCGGUUCUGAAACUUAUUUAUGGCAAAGCUUUGAUUAUCCUUCUGAUAAUUUGCUACCGGGAAUGAAGCUCGGAUGGGAUUUGAAGGCUGGUCUUGAGCGGCGUAUAACAUCAUGGAAGAGCCCAGACGACCCGUCUCCUGGAAACUUUACUUGGGCAGUUAAACGACAAGAUAACCCUGAGUUAAUGAUGUGGAAGGGAUCAAGAAAGUUAACUAGGAGUGGCCCAUGGAAUGGCCUUAGAUUCAGUGGUUCAUCAUUAAGGCCAAACCCCGUUUUUAACUUCGGCUUUGUCUCUAAUGAGGUUGAGCUGUACUACAAAUUCGACAUGAGAGAUAAAGCUGCUUUCCAAAGGAUUGUUAUGAACCAAACACUCUAUUUAGUUCAACGAUUCACAUGGAAUAAAGCAACUCAAAGCUGGGAAUUGUAUUCAAAUGUGCCAAGAGAUCUAUGAGACACUUAUGCCCUUUGUGGUGCCUAUGGCAUUUGCAUCAUUAGCGAUAUGCCUGUUUGCCAAUGUUUAAAAGGUUUUAAACCAAAGUCAAGGGGAUAUGUGGACUGGUCUCAAGGGUGUGAGCGUGAUAAGUCGUUAAACUACUCUAGACAAGAUGGAUUCAUCAAAUUCACAGCGAUGAAAUUGCCAGAUGCUACUCUUUCUUGGGUGAGUAAAAGUAUGAAUCUCAAUGAAUGCCGGGAGAAAUGCUUAGACAACUCUUCUUGUAUGGCAUACACAAAUUCAGAUAUCAGAGGAGAAGGCAGUGGCUGUGCCAUGUGGUUUGGUGAACUGAUUGACAUGAGAGACUUUCCAGAUGGUGGGCAGGACUUGUAUAUUCGAAUGUCUGCUUCAGAGAUAGGUACUCGCAAACUUGUUUAUGUCACUCCAUUAUGAGAACUUAGGAGUACCACUCCAGUUAGACUAGUUGCACAUUUUUAUUGUGCAAUUUAGUAUUGAGUUCUGAUUGAGAAGCUCCUUUCGCAUAAAGCAGUUUCUGGGUAUAGCUUCUAUGCAUAGAAUUCUGCUGCUAUUUGAAUCAUUUGAUUAUUGACUUGCUUUGCUAUAUCUGAAUACGCUGAUCAAGGAGCGAAAGGUGAGCCUAGGACGAAGAUGGUGGUGAUAGUCAUUUCUAUUGCUGCUCUGUCAGCUGUGGUGAUUGCAGCUGGCUACUUGGUUCACAAAAGAAGGAGAAAUAUAGUAGGUAUAAUAUUGCUCCAUUUUCCUUCACAAAUUUUCGCUGACGAUUUGAUGCAGGCAAAUCAAACUCUUAUAAAUAUUAAAUUUAUAAGAGUAGAUUAAAUUUUUAUAUGCAGCAAUAACUGUAUAUUUGUUUCAAGAUGAAGCGUUAUCAGUGCAUAUCAUUUAGAUCAGGGGCAAGGUAAUUAAACAUGUAAAUUUUUCGUUGGAAUAGCAGGUUUACUUAUUUGCAUUUAGUGUUAUAUUAAUACACGCCUCUUUUUCACCUAUGGUUCUUUAUUUACUUGCACUUUCAUAUUGACUGGAAAAUAUCUUUAAUACAAAUUUACAGAUAACGAACCUUCUCAUCAAGAACAUGAAAAUUGUAGUUACUAGUUAGGAGUUUAAUAUUAUCCAAUAUUUCAGAGAAAACAGAAAACAACAGAGAAACUGAUCAGGUUCAAAACAUGGACCUGGAGCUACCACUGUUUGAGUUAGCUACAAUUGCUAAUGCCACCGAUAACUUUUCAAUCAACAACAAGCUUGGAGAAGGUGGCUUUGGACCCGUUUACAAGGUAAACUUGAAAGCUGCAAGUCAAGAAUACUUAUUUUACUGGGUAACUAAAUUCACAUAUAUCUUCCCAGGGCACCCUAGUGGAUGGACAGGAAAUUGCGGUAAAAAGGCUUUCGAAGAUUUCUGAGCAAGGAUUGAAGGAGUUAAAGAAUGAAGUUAUACUAUUUUCCAAAUUACAGCACAGAAAUCUUGUAAAGCUUCUUGGCUGCUGCAUUCAAGGAGAGGAGAAAUUGUUGAUUUAUGAAUUCAUGCCCAACAAAAGCCUGAACUCUUUCAUUUUUGGUCUGGGUCCCUGUAACCUUAAAAUAUUCGGCUAGCUUGUGCCUUGAUUAUAGACGUUUCUUAUGUAUUUUCAGAAAAUUUUGUGCUAACCUUAAUGUGGUAAUUUGUAGAUCAAGAAAGAUGUAAGAUAUUGGAUUGGCCCAAGCGUUUCCACAUUAUUUGUGGGACUGCUAGGGGUGUUAUGUACCUUCAUCAAGAUUCUAGAUUGAGGAUUAUACAUCGAGAUCUCAAAGCAAGUAAUGUGCUACUCGAUCAAGAUAUGAACCCAAAAAUUUCAGAUUUUGGUUUGGCAAGAGCUUUUGGUGGAGACGAAAUAGAAGGAAACACAAACAGAGUGAUUGGAACAUAGUAAGUACUUCUUGUCGUGUGAUCUUUACGAUUCACUUGUACUGAUUAAUGAAAAUUAACUUAUAUAUUUUAAUCUUUUGAAGUGGUUAUAUGGCACCGGAAUACGCUAGUGAUGGGAAAUUCUCAGUAAAAUCCGAUGUCUUCAGCUUUGGAAUUUUAUUGCUGGAGAUAAUAAGUGGAAAGAAAAAUAGAGGAUUUUAUCAUUCCGACAACAAGCUUAACCUUAUAGGACAUGUAAGUAAAAUGCAUACGACAUUUUCUAACAUAGUUUGAACUAAUAAACUGUAGAUGAUAAAAGAGUUUUAAUAUGUUGUAGGCAUGGAAGUUGUGGAACGAAGGCAUGCCUUCACAAUUAAUCGAUCCGUGUAUUCAAGGUUCAUUCAAUCUUGUUGAAGUGAUACGAUGCAUCCACAUCGGUUUGUUAUGCGUGCAACAGCAUCCAAAGGACCGGCCAAGCAUGCCCUCAGUGAUUUUGAUGUUGGGCAGCGAGAUUGUGUUGCCUCAGCCAAAGCAACCCGGUUACUUGGAGGACAGGAAAUCUACCAGACAAGAUUAUUCAUCAAGCACGCCUGAAUCAUGUUCAACAAAUACAAUUACGAUCUCUGAGUUGGAGGGUCGGUAGAGAAUCUAUUUGUGGUAUCAAGUGCAAAAGCAGUAAUAUGUCAACCAAAUGGAAAGUUAAGAUAAAUGAUUGGAGAAAAAAUGAUGAGGAUCAUCCAGUGAAUGCAUGUUGUGGAUCUAAAAGUUCAGAAGAUAGGACAAUUUUGCAGCUGACUGGUUGGCUAAAAAUGCAGGCUCUAUGCCUCUCGGAUUUCAUGUUUAUCAAGAACCUCCUGUAGGUCAUGAUCCUUGGCUUUGUUAUGAUAGGUAUGGGACAAUGAUUUCUCAUUCGGUUGUGUCUUAACUUGGCUAAGCCUAUUUUUGGUAAAAAAAAAAAAAAGAAUUUAAACUAAUGUUCAUAUAGAAAUUGUAAAUUAGAGGUACUGUGAGCAGUGUUGGGUCAAAAAAAUGAUUAACCCAGACUUAAAUUAAAUAAAAGCAAGACAUUAUAAUUGUUUUGAUAUAAAAUAUUUGCUAAUACAUUUAUGAGAAUAUCUUUGGUGCUUUUGGAGCAUUUUUAUCUAUUCACAAUUUAUUACUUGUGUAUAUAUGUCAUCAGGAUUAGUAGAAACAUACACAUGACAAAGUGUAAAUGAAAAAGGAGAAGCUCUCCAAGAGUACCCAAGAUUUUUUCUACAUUUUGAAAAUCAUGUGCAAUAUACUCAUUAUCAAUACUAUUAAGUACAUCCUUUUCUACGUAAACAACAAAAUUAACAUUCAUUCAUUCAUCUCUCAUCCAAUUUCAACGUUGACUCUUCAUGAACUUAAUUGCUGAAAACGUUCUCUCUACUGUGGCUAUGGGAAUCGAAAAAAUUAUAGUUAAGUGUCACCAACGAAUACAUUAAUACUGUAAUGGAUAUUCUUUAUCUUUUUUAGUCUCAAACUGUUCUUUUAGCAACUCAUUGAUUCCCUUCAUUCCUGCAAACCUGCCUAAUUGUUCUUUCCUAAUUUAACGCAAGCCCUAAUUUUCUGUUCUUUUUAGAACAAGAAAGAUAAAAUUUGUGAUUGGAGGAGUGGCUAAUUAUUAUUUUUAAUAAAAUUGAAUCUAUUUUUUUGAAAUAGAAAAAUGUUUUGGGUUGUGGGUUAUUAUUAUUUUUAAAUAAAGCGUGACUUUAAAAGUUCAAGUUAAAAUUUAAAUUUUGUAGGUUUAUGAAUGUAUAGAGGCUAUUUUAAUAGAUUGAUGAAGGUUAAUUAGAAACCGAAAUGAUUUUUUCUUUUAAUUUUUUUUUUGUCUUUAACAUGCUAAAUCCACCACUCCUACCGAUAAGAAUUGGGAUGAUUUAUUUUUAUCUUAAUGAUCAUAAUAAAAAUCUUUUAAAAAUUUUACUAUUUUAUCAAAAUUAUUAUUUAAAAAUUAUAUUUACCCCAAUUUUUUUUUUAACUACAAUAUUUUUUUUUCACCACACGACUGUAACUUUUAAUAUAACUUAGGUUAUCAAAAUUUUGAGCUUCAUUCAACCAACCAUAACUAUCAUGAUCAAAGUCUACGUUGCUUAAGUCAAGAAGGACUUUAAUGGGAGGGAGAUAAUUAUUAUUAUCGACAUUACAAAUGGACCCCAAUUAUAUCUAAAGUCUUUGGGCUCCUGUCUCGUUUUCUUCUUCUUUUUCAAAACCCUAUUUACUAACCAUUAAUUUGGUUGGUUGAUGAAUCCGGCCGUUUCUGAUUUUCUUAUUUAUUUUGAUGGGAGUGACCCCCUAACGAUGGCAUCGCAAUCUCAUGAAAAAAAAUUUCCAAACGCAUGAAAAUUGGACACCCGUCAACAAAAAUCUUUUUGUUACAGUAUUUACUGUACUUUCAAAAAUUUGAACAUGACAAAAAUUAAGUAAUCUACUUAUUAUAAUAAUCUAUGACCAAAAAUAUUGAACAUGUAUUUUUUUUUUUUGUAAUUAUACACGCACAUCACUCUUUUACGAUUAAUUGACUAAACUUGUAUGAUAAACGAUUUUAUAAUGGAUUGUCUCAUAAUCUAAAUUUAUCAAAUAUCUUAAUGGUGAGACUAUUUGAAUUGAAUCCAUAAAAUUCUUUUAAAAUUUUCUUUACAACUUAUAACAUACUUUUCAGAAAGUCUGUCGAGUACUAAUUCAGAAAUUUAUUUCAAUAUAUAUCAAGAAAAAUUAUUUGGUUAAGAGAAAUGAGCCCCUUUGAAAAUUUGAGUUGGUGAAGCAUGAGCUCAUCAUUAGUCAACCCAUCAAAUUAUUCAAGAAACACAUUUGCCCCACACAUCCAUAAUUAAUUAAAAGGAUGGAAUUAUUUGAACUUAUUAAAUUUCUCUUAAGAUCCAUUUAUUUAAUAUAUCCUCUGUCAAAAUCUUAAAAUUAAAUUUUAACUCUAUAAACCUCUUAAUACCCCACAAAUAACCGUUUUAUGGUUGGUGCAAUAAUUUAGAUAAUUAAAUUAUUUAUUAUUUUGGUAAUUUUUAUUUAAGAUUAUUUUUGUAAUAUAAAUUUUUAUUUAAAAUAGGUCUAAGGUGCAUUUUUAUGGGGGCCCAAAUGACCUUAAAAUUAGAAAAAGUUAAAUUUUACCAUAUAAAAGUAAAACCUCUUGUAAUUCCUAAAGUAUCCUUGAUUAGAUUUCUUUUUUUAAUUUUAAUAUUUUCUCUCUUCUAUAGAAGUUGCUAUAUCCUUUCUUGGUAAGAUGCUCUGUUCAGGCUUCCAUGUAUUUGGCUUGAAUUGGCAACUUAACUCGAAUCAAUUCGGUUUAUGCCUUUGAUCAAACUCAUUUCGCCUCUCCAAGAAUCUGCAAAAUUAAUUGGUAUUAUCAUGUCGGUGCUGCUUAUAAUUGGCAGUGCUUGCAUUGCCCUGAAUCCAGGCGUUGCUCGAGUAUAGUUGGGCUUCCUUAUUCAUUUUAGUGACAGAUGAAAACAUUAAAAAAAAAAAUCAGGACUUGUUUGUCAAAAUUUACAGAUAUUUUGUUCUUUAAUUAAUUUUAUUGUUACAAACAAUAGGAUAGCAGUGUCGUUGAACCAGUUGCUUACACCUGGGGCAACAUAGUUUUUUUUUUUUUUUUUAGUUUGUGAGAUGGCCAAUAUCUGUGUAUAUAUAUAUAUAUAUGGAUCCCCCUAUCUUACAUGCAUGUAAGAUACAUCCCUCUCACAUGAAUAGUGUAUGGACCCCACACAUGCACAAUUCAUGUGAGGGGGAUAUAUCUUACAUGCAUGUAAGAUAGAGAUGUAUCUUACAUGUGAGGGGGAUGUAUCUUACAUGCAUGUAAGAUAGGAAUUACCAUAUAUAUAUAUAUAAUUAUUGACUCAAUGUGUAAAAGGUACCAAUAUUGACUCAAUGUGUCAAAUUUCUUGAAAAGUUUAACAUCAAAUGCCUUUUUUCCACUGUUGUUAGUAUAAGUCAAACGGCCCACCCUUCUGUCCUUCACAUGUUCUGCGUUCCCCAUGUUCACAUUUUACAAUAUUAAAUAGAGAAUUUUGAGUCCAGAAGCAAUGACUUUCUGGUCAGUCCCCUCCAAGAUGGAUUAUCAGUAAUGGUGUUUAAUUAUAUUUAUUUAAUUUGUUAGAGAGAGCUCUACGUCUAUAGAGUAUAACAAAUGGAUGUAUUUAUGUUUUCCUUCAUCUGUUGUAAGUUACUGUUUUUCUUGUCUGAAUCCUCUUUCGCUUCCGACACCAUUACUUCAUCUCAGUCCCUCAGUGAUGGCAGGACCUUAGUUUCAAAAGAUGGAAGCUUUGAGCUUGGUUUCUUCAGUCCUGGUAGUUCCAAGAAUCGUUACGUGGGAAUUUGGUACAAAAAUAUGCCAGUUGUUAAGGAAGCUUACAGUGUACAAAAGGGAGUUGCAUAUUGAGCACGUGUGUGUCAAUGAUGAGUCAUCAGUUAGUUGAGUAAAGAAGCCAGCUCAACAAAUCUGUUAAUCAUGUUUUACGUUCUGUUCUUCAAUUGUUAGUAAUGCUUUAAUUCUGUUGAGAUUUGUGAGUUAGUAUAAAUAAGGUUGUGAUUGUAUUUGUAAUUAAUAACGUGAGAUUCAAUAAAAGUAAAUAGUUUCUAAGAAAAUCUUAUCAUCAUUUUCUUAGCUUCCAAACAACUUUUACAGUCACGAUCCAACUUUCAAACAUGGUAUCAAAGCCAGUAAGAGCAAGCUCUAGUACUCAGCAAACAAAUCAACAAAGUCAAAUAAAUUUUUCUUUCAACACUCCAAUUACACUAGAUCGAUCAAACUAUCUACUUUGGCGUUUUCAAGUUUUAGCUUCCAUAAGAGGCAAUCGAUUGGAAGGCUUCAUCAAUGGAACAAAACCAGCACCUGAAGAACAGUUCACUCAAGUUGGAGCUGAUGGAUCUAUUCAGAAAAUUGAUAAUCCAGAAUAUCAGAAUUGGAGAUCACAGGAUCAAACAUUGUUUGGAUGGAUGCUAUCAUCAAUAAGUGAAGGUACUCUAAACCUUGUCAUAAAUUGUGGUAGCUCGUUUGAUGUUUGGAGAACUUUAGAAAAGAAAUUUGGUGUGCAAUCUGAAGCUAGGGUUUUUCAACUUAGAUAUGAGUUAAAUACUCUUAGGAAGGAAUCAAUGAGUAUUGAAGAUUACUGCAUCAAAAUGAAAACUGUAGCAGAUAAACUUGCUAGUGCUGGAAGUCCUAUAACAGAGAAAGAUCUCAUGCUGACAAUUCUUAAUAGCUUAGGAGCAGGCUAUCGUGAUAUUGCUAGGGCUUUAUAACUGGUUCAAAAAUGGACUAUGAUGAUGCUUAUGCAUUAUUAUUAACUCAUGAAACCAGACUUGAACAAGAGCAGAAUGAUAAAAGCAUGUUUAAUGCAAAUUAUGCUUAUACAAAUGCCUAUUAUCCAAGGGCAUUCUAUGCUCAAUCAAGAAAUAAUUUUAGAAGAGGAGGACAUGCUGGUGCUCAGUUUGGCAAUAAUGGUAGAAAUCAUACUGCUAGAAGAGGAAAUAUUUUUCAGUCUCCAAGGAUGUUUAAUGGCAAUCACAGAGGUGGAUAUGGAAGAGGACACUCAUUUGGCCCAAAUAAUGUUAACUCCUUUCAUGCACUUAGGAAUUCAAUGCAAUUCACUCGGACUGGAGUUACUAAUAUGAAUGGACCUCAAGGAAUUCCAAGCAAUGCAGAAGAAUUGGUUUGCCAGAUUUGCUUUAAGCCUGGUCACACUGCUGAUAUUUGCUGGCAUCGAUUUGUGGAGGAUUAUGUCCCUUAUUCAAGGAGUCUAGGCAGAGGAAAAGGACCAAGAUCAGCAUAUAUUGCUAAUUUUGAUGGCUUUACAUAUCCAUAUCAAGGUUAUGAUAACUAUGAUAAUCAUCCUGCAUCUGAGACAAGCUGCUAUUCUGGAAUUGAUAACUAUGCACUUGCAGAAGCUUAUGUGGCUAAUUUUGAAAGCUUUGCUGAUGAUGGCUGGUAUUUGGAUAAUAGGGCAACUCAUCACUUGACCAACAACAUGGAGAACUUGCAUUUUAAGGAAGACUACAAAGGUACUGAUCAACUCAUUAUUGGAAAUGGUCAAGGUCUGUCAAUUUCCCAUAUUGGUCAUGCAUUUUUAUCAUUUAGAGCUUCAAAACAUCCUUACACACAUGCCUCCACUAUAACACUUAAAGAUAUGUUGCUUGUUCCUACAAUCACUAAGAAUUUACUAAGCAUCUCCAAACUUACAUCUGAUAAUUCACUCUCUGUUGAAUUUUGUGGAAAUGUUUGUUAUGUUAAGGACAUGAAGGGGCAAGUUCUUCUGCAGGGCCUUGCUGAGAAAGGUCUUUACAAGCUGUUGAUGAAAUCUUCUUCCAUGUCAUCUUUUGCUUAUCACGCAUCACCUGCCUUUCAUCUUUCUCAACUUCAGUCACAUAAACCAAUAUCCAUGCUGUCAUGCUCAAAUGUGUCUUCUAUUUCUCAUCAUUGUAAUUCCUUUGAUAAGACUUGUUUCAGCUCAAUUUCAAAUAAGUGUAACCAGAAACAUGAUGAACUUACCUUGUUACACAAAAAGUUUGGUCAUCCAAGCUCAACAGUAUUGAUGCAUUUUCUUAAGACUUGUAAACCAGUUAAAGUCUCUCAAAAAUCAAUUUUAUCUCCUGAGCAUUCUAUGUGUGAAGCAUGUCAAUUAGGAAAAGCUCACAAGCAACAUUUUUCUACAACCGAAACCAAAACAACUCAAGUAUUAGAACUGAUACAUACUGAUCUAUGGGGGCCUUCACCUACUACAUAUAGAAAUGGUUUCAAAUACUACAUUAGCUUUGUAGAUGAUUACAGUAGGUAUACCUGAAUUUACCCACUCAAACUCAAAUAAGAAGCUUUUGAAGUCUUUAUAUUAUUCAAAAUCCAAGUAGAGAAUCAGUUCAAUACCAAAGUCAAGAUGCUGCAAUCUGACUGGGAGGGGAGAAUACAUAGUUUUUACUAACUUCUUAAACCAGAAUGGGAUCAUUUUCAGACAUUCAUGCCCUUACACACAUCAUCAAAAUGGUCUAGUAGAAAGAAAACAUAGACAUAUAAUUGAGUUAGCUUUGACUCUCUUAGCUCAAGCUAAUCUUCCUUUUAAAUUCUGGUGGGAAGCUGUUCAUACAGCAGUAUAUCACAUAAAUAGAUUACCAACACCUGUAUUGAAACUCUUAUCUCCAUAUGAGAAGCUCUUUAAGCAUAAACCAGAUUACAGCCUCCUUAAAUGCUUUGGUUGUCUUUGUUAUCCGUACUUGAGGGAUUUUAACAAAAAUAAAUUUGACUUUCAUACCAGCAAGUGCAUCUUUAUUGGUUAUAGCUCAUCUCAUAAGGGAUAUAAAUGUCUCACAAGCUCAGGUCGAGUUCAUAUCCUUAGACAUGUUUUUUAUGAAAGUGUAUUUCCAUAUACAACAUUCUCUGUUCCUUCUUCAUUUGAAAAUGUUGCCAACUCAGAAACACCAGUGUCAAAUUUCUCUAAACAGCAAGUCUAUCAUCUUUCAACUCUACCCUUAUUCAACAGCAGCUUUGAAGAUACUUACUCAGUAGGUGUACCAAGUGAUGAACAGAGUCCUGUUGUGCCUGAGCAUACAAAUAAUUUGAAUCAACAAGAAUCAUCCAAUUAUUCUUUAUCAAAACUAUCAAUAUCACAAGUUAUCCCUCAAAUCCCUGAAUAUACUCAAACACAACUUGAACCACAAACAAGCAAUCAACAACACUCUGAAAAUAAUCCAAACAGAAUUCAGAUCUCACAACCUACACACAAAAUGAUUACCAGAUCAAAGUCUGGAAUAUUCAAGCCUAAGUUGUAUACAACCACUUUGAUCAACAAAGAACCUGACACAAUUCAAGAAGCUCUGAAUGAUAAAAACUGGUAUAAGGCCAUGAAAGAGGAAUAUGAAGCUUUGAUCAGGAAUAAGACUUGGUCUCUUGUACCACCUCCAGCUGAAUACAAAAUAGUUGGAAACAAAUGGGUGUUCAGGGUUAAACAAAAUAGUGAUGGCAGUAUAGCAAAGUACAAGCUAGAUUGGUUGUUAAAGGUUUCCAACAAACUGAAGGGAUUGACUAUUUCCAAACUUUUAGCCUUGUUAUAAAGGCUUCCACAGUGAGGGUUAUAUUAAGCUUGGCUGCAAUGCAUAGUUGGAUGAUCAGACAGGUAGAUGUCAAUAAUGCUUUUCUGAAUGGUGACUUAACAGAAGAUGUCUACAUGUAUCAGCCUGAAGGUUUUGUUGAUGAGAAGAGAUCAGGUUAUGUAUGUAAGUUGAAGAAGGCUUUAUAUGGUUUGAAACAAGCUCCCAGAGCUUGGUUUGAUAAACUAAAAGGUUGUUUGGUUGCAAACUGGGGAUUUCAAAAUUCCAGAGCUGGAAAUCAAUUACAUUCCCAGUGAAGAACAGAUUGCAGACAUCUUGACCAAGCCUCUCACAUUCACUCAAUUCAAUUAUCUCAGGAGCAAACUUAAUGUGCAGCCAUGCCCCUUAAGUUUGAGGGGGGCUGUUAAGGAAGCUCACAGUGUACAAAAGGGAGUUGCAAAUUGAGCACGUGUGUGUCAAUGAUGAGUUAGCAGUUAGUUGAGUAAAGAAGCCAGCUCAGCAAAUCUGUUAAUAAUGUUUUACGUUCUGUUCUUCAGUUGUUAGUAAUGCUUUAAUUCUGUUGAGAUUUGUGAGUUAGUAUAAAUAAGGUUGUGAUUGUAUUUGUAAUUAAUAACGUGAGAUUCAAUAAAAGUAAAUAGUUUCUAAGAAAAUCUUAUCAUCAUUUUCUUAGCUUCCAAAGAACUUUUACAGUCACGAUCCAACUUUCCAACACCAGUUAAAACUGUUGUUUGGGUUACAAACAGAAUCAACCCCAUUAAUGACUCUUCUGGGUUGUUAGUUGUAAACGAGACGGGCAAUCUUGUUUUAACAAGCUAGAACAAGAGUGUAGUUUGGUCAGCAAACUUGAGCAAAGAAGUCCAGACUCCAGUUGUAUUGCAGCUACUAGAUUCAGGAAAUCUUGUCCUCAGAGGUGAACGAGAUGGCAGUUCUGAAACUUAUUUAUGGCAAAGCUUUGAUUAUCCUUCUAAUACAUUGCUACCGAGAAUGAAGCUCGGAUGGGAUUUGAAGACUGGUCUUGAGCGGCGUAUAACAUCAUGGAAGAGCCCAGACGACCCGUCUCCUGGAAACUUUACUUGGGCAGUUGAACGACAAGAUAAUCCUGAGUUAAUAAUGUGGAAGGGAUCAAGAAAGUUUCACAGGGGUGGCCCAUGGAAUGGCCUUGUCUUUAAUGAGGAUGAGCUGUACUACACCUUCGACAUGAUAGAUAAAGAUGUUUUCUCAAGGAUUGUUAUGAACCAAACACUCUAUGUACGUCAGCAAUUCACAUGGGAUAAAGCAACUCAAAGUUGGGAAUUGUAUGCAAAUGUGCCAAGAGAUCUAUGUGACACUUGUGCCCUUUGUGGUGCCUAUGGCAUUUGCAUCAUUAGCGAUACGCCUUUUUGCCAAUGUUUAAAAGGUUUUAAACCAAAGUCAAGGGGAUAUGUGGACUGGUCUCAAGGGUGUGUGCGCGAUAAGUCGUUAAACUACUCUACACAAGAUGGCUUUAUCAAGUUCAUUGAGCUGAAGUUGCCAGAUGCUACUUCUUCUUAGGUGAGCAAAAGUAUGAAUCUCUAUGAAUGCCAGGAUAAAUGCUUAGACAACUCUUCUUGUAUGGCAUACACAAAUUCAGAUAUCAGAGGAGAAGGCAGUGGUUGUGCCAUGUGGUUUGGCGAUCUGAUUGACAUGCGAAGAUUUCCAGAUGCUGGGUAGGACUUUUAUAUUUGAAUGUCUGCGUCAGAGCUAGGUAUCCGUUUACUUGUUUUAGUUACUCCAUUAUGAGAACUUAGGAGUGCCACUCCAGUUAGAUUAGUUCCAUAUUUUUAUUGUGUAAUUUAGUAAUGAGUUCAAAUUAAGAUGCUCCUUUCACAAAAAGCAGUUUCUGGGUAUGGCUUCUGUGCAUAGAAUUCUGCUGCUAUUUGAAUCAUUUUUUCUUAGCUAUAUGAUUAUUGACUUGCUUUGCUAUAUCUGAAUAUACUGAUCAAGGAGUGAAAGGUGAGCCUAGGACGAAGAUAGUGGUGAUAGUCAUUUCUACUACUGCUCUGUUAGCUGCGGUGCUUAUAGCUGGCUACUUGGUUCACAAAAGAAGGAGAAAUAUAGUGGGUAUAAUAUUGCUCCAUUUUCCUUCACAAAUUUUCGUUGACGAUUUGAUGCAGGAAAAUCAAACUCUUAUAAAUAUUAAAUUUACAACAGUCGAUUAAGUUUAUAUAUGCGACAAUAACUGUAUGUUUGUUUCAAGAUGAAGAGUUAACAGUGCAUAUCAUUUAGAUCAGCGGCAGGGCAAUUAAACUUGCAUUUAGUGUUAUAUCAAUACACGCCUCUUUUUCACCUAUGGUUCUUUAUUUACUUGCACUUUCAUAUUGACUGGAAAAUAACUUUAAUACAAAUUUACAGAUAAAGAACCUUAUCAUCAAGAACAUGAAAAUUGUAGUUACUAGUUAGUAGUUUAAUAUUGUCCAGUAUACACACUGCAUAUGUGCUUUUAGUUAAUAUUAUCCAAUAUUUCAGAGAAAACAAAAAAGGCUUGAGUUAGCUAGCACUGUUUGAGUUAGCUACAAUUGCUAAUGCCACCAAUAACUUUUCAAUCAACAACAAGCUUGCAGAAGGUGGCUUUGGACCAGUUUACAAGGUAAACUUGAAAGCUGCAAGUCAAGAAUACUUAUUUUACUGAUAACUAAAUUUGCAUAUAUCUUCCCAGGGCACCCUAGUGGAUGGACAGGAAAUUGCGGUAAAAAGGCUUUCGAAGAUUUCUGAGCAAGGAUUGAAGGAGUUAAAGAAUGAAGUUAUACUAUUUUCCAAAUUACAGCACAGAAAUCUGGUAAAGUUUCUUGGCUGCUGCAUUCAAGGAGAGGAGAAAUUGUUGAUUUAUGAAUUCAUGCCCAACAAAAGCCUGAACUCUUUCAUUUUUGGUCUAGGUCCCUGUAACCUUAAAAUAUUCGGCUAGCUUGUGCCUUGAUUAUAGACGUUUCUUAUGUAUUUUCAGAAAAUUUUGUGCUAACCUUAAUGUGGUAAUUUGUAGAUCAAGAAAGAUGUAAGAUAUUGGAUUGGCCCAAGCGUUUCCACAUUAUUUGUGGGACUGCUAGGGGUGUUAUGUACCUUCAUCAAGAUUCUAGAUUGAGGAUUAUACAUCGAGAUCUCAAAGCAAGUAAUGUGCUACUCAAUCAAGAUAUGAACCCAAAAAUUUCAGAUUUUGGUUUGGCAAGAGCUUUUGGUGGAGACGAAAUAGAAGGAAACACAAACAGAGUGAUUGGAACAUAGUAAGUACUUCUUGUCAUGUGAUCUUUUCGAUUCACUUGUACUGAUUAAUGAAAAUUAACUUAUAUAUUUUAAUCUUUUGAAGUGGUUAUAUGGCACCGGAAUACGCUAGUGAUGGGAAAUUCUCAGUAAAAUCCGAUGUCUUCAGCUUUGGAAUUUUAUUGUUGGAGAUAAUAAGUGGAAAGAAAAAUAGAGGAUUUUAUCAUUCCGACAACAAGCUUAACCUUAUAGGACAUGUAAGUAAAAUGCAUACGACUUUUUCUAACAUAGUUUGAACUAAUAAACUAUAGAUGAUAAAAGAGUUUUAAUAUGUUGUAGGCAUGGAAGUUGCGGAACGAAGGCAUGCCUUCACAAUUAAUCGAUCCGUGUAUUCAAGGCUCAUUCAAUCUUGCUGAAGUGAUAUGAUGCAUCCACAUCGGUUUGUUAUGCGUGGAACAGCAUCCAAAGGAUAGGCCAAGCAUGCCCUCAGUGAUUUUGAUGUUGGUCAGCAACUGUGUUGCCUCAGCCAAAGCAACCUGGUUACUUGGCGGACAGGAAAUCUACCAGACAAGAUUAUUCAUCAAGCACGCCUGAAUCAUGUUCAACUAAUACAAUUACGAUCUCUGAGUUGGAGGGUCGGUAGAGAAUUUAUUUGUGGUAUCAUGCCUUAUUCUACAUUGUCAAGCGGAAAAGCGGUAAUAUGUCAACCAAAUGGAAGGUUAAGAUAAAUGAUUGGAUAAAAAAUGAUGAGGAUCAUGAAAUACUAACUAGGCAACCCAAGAGGGGGGGUGAAUUGGGAUUUUAAAAUUUAAGCUAAGCAAACCACACAACAAUUUAAUCUAUUGCCUUAAUCAAAUUGAAAACAAUAAAUUCAAUCAUGCACAAUAUUAAAAGAGUAAGGGAAGAGAAAACAAACACAAUGAUUUUUACGUGGUUCGGCAAUCCCCGUCUACGUCCACGCCUCCAAGCUCACCGGGCUUGAGGAUUUCACUAAGCUAGCCUCCCAAGGCUUCAAACGCUUACAAUUGACUUCCAAGGUGUCAAUGGACCUUUACAACAAGAGAUUAUCCCCAAUCUCUUAACCCAAGUGUAUCCCAACACUUACAAUCUCUUAACUUGAUUUUACAAAAAAGAUUACAAAUGAAUCUCUCUCACACAAUGUGUUUGAUCACAAGUGAAAGCUCAAUGUGUGAAUGAAUGAGAUGAAUACAAAGAUUUAAAGCUCAAUGAAAGUUGUAUUCUCAAUAUUUUGCUCAAUGAUGAUCGUUAGAAUGAUUCUUGUUUGAAUUGGAUUGAGCUUAUUUAUAGUUGGAGCUGAAAACUAGUCGUUAUUGACUUUCUGCACACUGUCGGAUCGCCGCUAACUAGAUGUCGGAUCGCCGUUUGACUGGUCAAUAUGACCGUUGGGCUGAUAUUUCAAAUUGUCGGAUCGCCGUUAUCUAGAUGUCGGAUCGCCGUUAUCUAGAUGUCGGAUCACCGUUUAGGUCCAGAGGCUAAUCUUCAGUUCUGUUAGAUAUCGGCGAGCCAUUUAUCAAAAUUGUCGGAUCGCCGUUUAGGUCCAGAGACUAAUCUUCAAUUCUGUUAGAUGUCGGCGAGCCGUUAUCAAGAUGUCGGAUCGCCGUUUUCUACAGUAACUGCUACAGUGAAAUAUUUUCUAAAUUUAUAGUUUGACCCCAAAACUUUAUAAAACUGUGUUACGGCCCAAAACGUUAUAAAACUUUGCAAAUAGGUCCAAUUUUAGAAUUUCUAAGUAAUGCUUUGUUAAUCCCAAAACUUUCUGAAAUUAUGGUAUAGCCCAAAAUGCUAUGACACUUUUCAAAUAAGUCAUUCUCCAAAAUUUCAAGCAAUACUUGUUUAUUUCAAAGUUUUCAAAAUUCUUUCAAUUAAACCAUAAACUUUGAAAAACAACCAAUUUCAUAAAAUCAUUUUUCCAUUAAAUAUGAAACAUUUAUAAUGUGAAAAUAAUGAUUUAUUUAAAAAGAAUAAAAACAAUCAAUUUCAUAAAAUCAUUUUUCCAUUAAAUAUAAAACCUUUAAAAUGUGAAAAUAAUGAUUUAUUUAAAAUGUAUAAAAAAUAAUUUGAUCUUAAAAGAUUAAUCAUUCUUAAUCUUGUUUGUUAUCAUCAAAAUCAAUAUUAUGGAAACAUAUAUGUUAACAGAUCAUCCAGUGAAUGCAUGUUGUGGAUCUAAAAGUUCAGAGGAUAGGCCAAUUUUGCAGCUGACUACUUUGCUAAAAAUGCAGGCUCUAUACCUCUCGGAUUUCAUGUUUAUCAAGAACCUCCUGUAGGUCAUGAAUCUUGGCUUUGUUAUGAUAUGUAUGGGACAAUGAUUCCCCGCUCGAUUGUGUCUUAGCUUGGCUAAGCCUUUUUUUGGUUAAAAAAAAAUGGAAUGUAGACUAAUGUUCAUAUAGAAAUUGUAAAUUAGAGGUACUGUGAGCAAUGUUGGGUUCAAAAAAUGAUUAACCGAGAAUUAAAUUAAAUAAAAGCAAGACGUUAUAAUUUUUUUGAUAUAAAGUAUUUACUAAUACAUUUAUGAGAAUAUCUUUGGUGCUUUUGGAGCAUUUUUAUCUAUUCACAAUUUAUCACUUGUGUAUAUAUGUCAUCAUGAUUAGUAGAAGCAUACACAUGACAAAGAGUAAAUGAAAAAGGAGAAGCUCUCCAAUAGUACCCAAAAUUUUUCCUACAUUUUGAAAACCAUGUGCAAUAUACUCAUUAUCAAUACUAUUAAGUACAUCCUUUUCUACAUAAAUACCAAAAUUAAUAUUCAUCCAUUCAUCUCUCAUCCAAUUUCAGCGUUAAUUCUUCACGAACUUAUUUGCUGAAAACGUUCUCUCUACAGUGGUUGUGGGAACCGAAAGAAUUAUAGCUAAGUGUCACCAACAAAUAUAUUAAUAUUGUAAUGGAUAUUCUUUAUCUUUUUUUGUCUUAAACUAUUCUUUUAGCAACUUAUUGAUUCCCUUCAUUCCGACAAACCUGCCUAAUUGUUCUUUCCUAAUUUAACCCAAGCCCUAAUUUUCUUUUUAGAACAAGAAAGAUAAAAUUUGUGAUUGGAGGAGUGGCUAAUUAUUAUUUUUAAUAAAUUUGAAUCUAUUUUCUGAAAUAGAAAAAUGUUUUGGGUUGUGGUUAUUAUUAUUUUUAAAUAAAGCGUGAGUUUAAAAGUUCAAGUUAAAAUUUAAAUUUUGUAGGUUUAUGAAUGUAUAGAGGCUAUUUUAAUAGGUUGAUGAAGGUUAAUUAGAAACCCAAAUGAUUUUUUCUUUUAUUUUGUAUUUUUGUCUUUCACAUGCUAAAUCCACCACUCCUACCGAUGAUUUAUUUUUAUUCUAAUGAUCAUAAUAAAAAUCUUUUAAAAAUUUUACUAUUUUAUCAAAAUUAUAUUUGCCCCAACUUUUUUUUAACUACAAUAUUUUUUUUUCACCACAACCGUAACUUUUAAUAUAACUUAGGUUAUCAAAAUUUUGAGCUUCAUUCAACCAACCAUAACUAUCAUGAUCAAAGUCUACGUUGCUUGACUUUCAUUCAAAACCGGGGGGAUAUGUGGACUGGUCUCAAGGGUGUGUCCGUAAUAAGCCAUUGAAUUACUCAAGAAAAGAUGGUUUUAUCAAGUUUUCUGACCUCAAAUUGCCAGAUUCUACUUCAUCUUGGGUGAGCAAAAGUAUGAAUCUCAAGGAAUGUAGGGAGAAAUGCUUAGAAAACUCUUCUUGUAUGGCUUACACAAAUUCGGAUAUCACUAGAGGCGGCAGUACUGUGUUAUGUGGUUUGGUGAUCUGAUUGACAUCAGAUACUUCCAAAAUGGUGGGCAGGACUUGUAUAUUCGAAUGUCUGCUUCAGAGCUAGGUAUCCGUAUACUUAUUUAUGUCAUUCCAUUAUGAGAACUUGGGAGUACCACACUAGUUAGACUAGUUCCACAUUUUUAUUGUGCAAUUUAGUAUUGAGUUCUGAUUGAGAAGCUCCUUUCUCAUAAAGCAUUUUCUGGGUAUAGCUUCUAUGCAUAGAAUUUUGCUGCUAUUUGAAUCCUUUUUUUCAUAUCUAUAUGAUUAUUGACUCGCUCUGCUAUAUCAGAAUAUGCUGAUCAAGGAGCGAAAGUUUGACAUCAUUUCUUAAUCCUAGUGUCCAUCUCGAUCGUUUUGAUGGAACUAAUUUCACUCGUUGGAAAGGAAAAUUAUUUUUUCUCCUUACUGUUCUUAAAGUAGCAUAUGUUCUUGAUCCGAAAUUGGAACCAUUUCCAGAACCAAGAGAAGAUGAUACCGAAGUUGUUAAGGCUGCAAGGAAACGUCGUGAAGAUGAUGAAUUGAUGUGCCGGGGUCACAUACUCAAUACGCUUUCUGACAGGUUAUAUGAUCUCUACAAUUCUAUGACUUCUCCGAUGGAAAUUUGGAAUGCUCUUGAGUACAAAUACAAAACGGAGAAAGAAGGUACUGACAAAUUCCUUGUCUCUAAAUAUUUUGAAUUUAUUAUGGUAGACACAAAAUCCAUUCUUGAUCAAAUACAUGGGUUACAAAUUAUUGUUGCUAAGCUUCGAGAGUUAAAGUUGAAAUUUCUGAAUCAUUUCAAGUUGGGGCUAUUAUUGCUAAAUUGCCUCAAAGUUGGAAUGAUUAUAGAAAGAAACUCCUUCAUAGUAAAGAGAACAUAACCUUAGAAGAAUUACAAAAACACUUGGUAAUCGAAGAAGAGACAAGGUCUCGCGAAUCCAAGGAUAAGCAUGAUUCUAAUAAGGUUAAUGUUGUUGAAGCUAGUAAAAUUUCAAAGAAUUUUAAAGUCAAGAAUGACAAGAAAUUCAAGAAGUCCAGCACACAAAAGUUUUCUGGAAAUUGUUUCUUUUGUGGCAAGAAAGGUCAUCGCCAAAGUGAUUGCAGAUUCAAGAAGAAAAAGGAAGAAGUGAAUUCCCAUAAAGCUAAUGUUAUUGAAAACAAAUCUGAAGAGAUUUGUGCUAUGGUUUCUGAAAAGCAAAUUGGCAUGAUUACCGAAACCAAUAUGGCUGAAACUAAGUCCUAUGAUUGGUGGCUCGAUUCGAGUGCAACAAUUCAUGUUUUUAAUUAUAAGAAAUUUUUCUUAUCAUACAAAGAAGAAACGGAAGGACAAAUGGUUCUCAUGGGGAACAAUAAUGUAGCCAUGGUAGCGGGGAAAGGAGUAGUUGAGAUCAACUUCACUUCUGAAAAGAAAGUUACAUUGUAUAAUGUCUUUCAUGUACCUUCCGUUAGGAAGAAUCUUAUUUCUGCUAGUUGUAUGUGUAAGCAUGGGCUUAAGAUUGUGCUUGAGGGUAAUACUUGUAUUAUCUCAAAGAAUAGAUUAUUUGUUGGGAAAGGGUAUUCUUGUGAUGGAAUGUACAAACUCAGCAUUAAUAAUAAUAAUAUCAACUUAGCUUAUAUUAUUGAGUCUUGUGAUGUUUGGCAUGCUAGAUUAGCACAUUUGAAUUUUAGAUCUUUGAAAUACAUGUCUAAGCAUGGUUUGACUAAUUGCAAUGAUGUUAAAGGUCAUAAGUGUGAAAUCUACAUCCAAGCUAAAUUAACUAAGAAACCUUUUCCUAAAGCCGAACAAAAUACUCAAAUAUUGGAUUUAAUACAUACCGAUAUUUGUGAGUAUAAUGGCGUUUUAACAAGAGGAGGUAAGAGGUACUUUAUCACUUUUAUUGAUGAUUGUUCUAGAUACACUUACGUGUAUUUACUUAGAACAAAAAAUGAAGCUUUUGAUAAAUUUAAAAUUUUCAAAGCUGAAGUUGAGAACCAAAAAGAUAAGAAAAUCAAAAUGGUUCGUAGUGAUAGAAGUGGUGAAUAUUUCUGAAUUGAAUUUAAUAAUUAUUGUGAAGAAUUUGGAAUUAUUCACCAAAGAUCAGCUCCAUUUACUCCUCAACAAAAUGGUUUGGCUGAAAGGAAGAAUAAGAUCUUCACGGAUAUGAUAAAUUCCAUGAUCCUUAAUGCAAAACUACCAAAUAAUUUGUGGGGGGAAGCAUUACUCACUGCAUGUCAUAUUCAUAACAGAAUUACAUCUUUGAAAACACAUAUAUCUCCUUAUGAAAUUUGGAAAGGAAGAAAACCAAACUUGAUGUAUUUAAGGGUUUGGGGUUAUUUACCUUUUUAUAAAAUACAUGAUCUUAAAUCAUCAAAGUUAAGUGCUAGAGGUAUAAAGAGUGUUUUCGUAGGAUAUGCUGAAAAUUCCAAGGCUUAUAGGUUGUUAAUUCUAAUGUGAUUGUGGAAUCUAGAGAUGUUGAAUUUAUUGAGAAUAAAUUUCAACAUGAUUCUAAUAUUGAAUUAGAAUCAAUUAUUGAUCAACCAUGUGUUAAUACUUCUGUUACCUCCAUUAACAAUAAUAAAAGGAAAGAGUCUAUGACAUCUUUCGAACCAAUAAGGAGUCAACGUGAAAAGAAAGAAAAGAGUUUAGUUCCGGAUUUUAUUUCAUCACAAGCACUACUCUUCUUGGUUGAAGGGGAUAGAAAGAAUGUACUUAACAAAGUACCAUUGUUGUUAAAUAUUGAAAAAGAUCCAAAGACAUUUAGCGAAGCUAUGUCUUCUAGAGACGCUUCUUUUUGGAGAGAGGCGGUAAAUGAUGAAAUGGAUUCGAUUAUGUCGAAUCAAACAUGGGUCUUGGUUGAUCUUCCUCCAGGAUCUAAACCAAUUAGCAGCAAAUGGGUAUUUAGAAGAAAGUACAAUAGUGAUGGUUUUUUGCAAACUUGUAAGGCUAGAUUAGUAGCCAAAAGGUUUAAGCAAAGAAAUGGUAUUGAUUAUUUCGAUACAUAUGCUCCGGUAGCAAGGUUAACUUCUAUAAGAGUGCUAUUUGCAAUUGCUUCAUUGAACAAUUUGUAUGUGCAUCAAAUGGAUGUUAAAACCGUUUUUCUUAAUGGUGAUCUUGAGGAAGAAAUCUAUGUGGAACAACCUGAGGGAUUUGUUUUGCCAAGAAAUGAGAAAAAGGUAUGCAAGUUAGUCGAAUCACUUUAUGGUUUAAAGCAAGCACCAAAACAAUGGCAUGAGAAAUUUGAUUAGGUAAUUUUAUCUCAUGGUUUUAAGCAUAAUAAUGCUGAUAAAUGUAUAUAUUUUAAAUUUACGAAUGAUUUUGGUGUGAUUAUAUGCUUGUAUGUUGAUGACUUGCUUAUCUUUGGAACAAAUAUGCAAGGAGUAAAUGAUACAAAGAAGUAUUUAACUUCACAAUUUAAGAUGAAAGAUCUUGGUGAAGUAGAUACUAUCUUAGGUGUCAAAGUGAAAAAACAUAGUGGGGGUUACUCGUUGUGUCAAUCUCAUUAUAUAGAAAAAGUGCUUCUUAAAUUCAAUUAUUUGAAAUUUAAAGAAGCUAAUACCCCAUAUGAUUCUAGUAUUAAAUUACUAGAGAAUUCAGGCCGAGUAGUAGCACAACUAGAAUAUGCUAGUGCUAUUGGUAGCUUGAUGUAUGCUAUGCAUUGUACGAGGCUUGAUAUAGCAUUUGCAGUUUGCAAAAUGUCAAGAUUCACGAGUAACCUUAGUGUUGAACACUGGAAAACAAUUGGUAGGAUACUUGGUUAUCUUAAAAGGACCAUUAAUUUGGGUUUUUUUUAUAAUGAUUAGCCUGAAGUACUGGAAGGAUAUUCAGAUGCUAGUUGGGUAACCAAUACAAAAGAUAAUAAAUCCACUUCUGGUUGAAUUUUUACAAUUGCUGGAGGAGCGGUUUCUUGGGCUUCAAAGAAACAAACAUGCAUAACUCAUUCAACAAUGGAAAGUGAGUUUAUAGCACUUGCAGCUGCAGGCAAGGAAGCAGAAUGGCUGAGAAAUUUGUUGUUUGAUAUAAUGUUGUGGCCACAACCGAUGCCAUCUAUUUCUUUGUACUGCGAUAGUGAAGCUACAUUGUCUAGAGCUUAUAAUAAAGUGUAUAAUGGAAAGUCUAGACAUAUUAGCUUGAGACAUGAAUAUAUGAAACAAUUAAUAGCAGAUGGUGUUAUUAAUAUUGUUUAUGUUAGGACUAAUAAGAACCUAGCGGAUCCUUUAACAAAAGGUCUUACAAGAGACUUAGUUAAGGAUACAUCUUUUGGAAUGAGAUUGAAACCUUUAAAUAAUAAAGUCACCAACGAUGGUAACCCAACUAUGUAGUAGUUGUACUGCUACUCCAUAGUUAAAUGGGUAAUAAUAAGUUGUUGUUAUGUGACUGGUUUGGUACCGAGUAAUAAAUAAUCACAUUCGAGAUAUUCUGUGCAAAUAGCUAUGAGGUUGAGGUUGAGUAUUUACUCUUAAUGAAGUUCAAGUCUUAUAGUAGCUAAAGACAUGAUUUGAAACUUCAACUAAGUGAACAUAAGAAAUGGUGUCGUUUCUAACAAGAUCGUAGUUUAAUCUUGUAAAUGUUCAUGAAUCCAAGAUAGAGCACAAGGCCGGAAUAGUGCUAAAUAUUGGAACACAACUUCGAAAUCUGGGACAGCUUAUAUGUGAUGUAUCUCUAGUAUUUACUUAAGAGACAAAGUUUAAUGCUUAGCACACUAUUGUCUUGUAAAUACUUUGAAAUACACUCACUAAUUAAAGGUUAAAAUCGAAAGAUACCUUUUUGUAUGUAUAAGUUCAUCAUUAAUAAAUCUAAAAAAUAUUACAAUCUAGUGGGGGAUUGUAAGAGAGAUUGUAACAUUUUUCAAUAUUUGGUUUGAUAUUCUGGAAGAAAACGGUUUGCCGUUUUUGGAGAAAACGGCUAACCGUUUAAUUCCAGAGAGUAUGUUUUCUGUUCUAGAGAAAACGACUAACCGUUUAGAGAAAACAACUAACCAUUUAUUUACAGAGAGCAACUUAUUUGACAUUCUGGAAUAAAACGGCUCGCCGUUAUUGAGAAAACGGCUAACCGUUUAUUUCCAGAGAUCGUGUUUUUGCGUCAAUGGGAAAAACGGUUAGCAAGCUUGAAAAUUUCAAUUGUCUAUCGAUGCAAAUUCAAAUCAAAAGAGUGUCUUUGAAGAAGUACCAUUUCUAAUGGUUGUAUUCUUUCAAAUAAACAUCUUCUUCAUUAAAAGAUAGACACACAAUUAGAUCAAAUCAAAUUUUACAGGUUUCAUAUAUGUUCUGGAAAUACAAUCUUAUUUGCUAGAGAUUGUAUUCAGGAUUUGAUAUAUCUUGGGGGUAAUUUGCCAUUAAAACUCUAUAGCAAACCAAGAUUAGUGAGGGCAAAUAAAACCUUAAAGGAAAGUGUGCAAACACGUCUCAAAUCCUAAGAAAUUUUCUUUGUUCUUUGCCUCCAUAUUCUUAAAAUUCACCAACAUUUAUGUCUUGGCAGGGCACGCAAUUGGAUGGGCAGGAAAUUGCUGUGAAGAGGCUUUCGAAGAUUUCUGAGCAAGGAUUGAAAGAGUUAAAGAAUGAAGUUAUACGAUUUUCCAAAUUACAGCACAGAAAUCUUGUAAAGUUUCUUGGCUGCUGUAUUCAGGGAGAGGAGAAAUUGUUGAUUUAUGAAUUCAUGCCCAACAAAAGCCUGGAAUCUUUCAUUUUUGGUCUGGGUCCCUAUAACCUUAAAAUAUUCGGCUAGCUUGUGCCUUGAUUAUAGACUUUUCUUAUGUAUUUUUAGAAAAUUUUGUACUAACAUUAAUGUGGUAAUUUGUAGAUCAAGAAAGAUGUAAGAUAUUGGAUUGGUCCAAGCGCUUCCACAUUAUUUGUGGGACUGCUAGGGGUCUUCUCUACCUUCAUCAAGAUUCUAGAUUGAGGAUUAUACAUCGAGAUCUCAAAGCAAGUAAUGUGCUACUCGAUCAUGAUAUGAACCCAAAAAUUUCAGAUUUUGGUUUGGCAAGAGCUUUUGGUGGAGAUGAGACAGAAGGAAAUACAUACAGGGUGGUUGGAACGUAGUAAGUAUUUCUCAUCAUGUGAUCUUUACAAUUCACUUGCACUGAUUAAUGAAAUUUAACUAAUAUAUUCUAAUCCUCUGAAGUGGUUAUAUGGCACCGGAAUACGCUAGUGCUGGACAAUUCUCAAUAAAAUCCGAUGUCUUCAGCUUUGGAAUUUUAUUGCUGGAGAUAGUAAGUGGAAAGAAAAAUAGAGGAUUUUAUCAUUCCGACAAAAUAGAGGAUUUUAUCAUUCCGACAACAAGCUUAACCCUAUAGGACAUGUAAGUAAAAUGCAUACGACAUUUUCUAACAUAGUUUGAACUAAUAAACUAUAGAUGAUAAAAGAGUUUUAAUAUGUUGUAGGCAUGGAAGUUGUGGAACGAAGGCAUGCCUUCACAAUUAAUCGAUCUGUGUAUUCAAGACUCAUUCAAUCUUGCUGAAGUGAUACGAUGCAUCCACAUCGGUUUGUUAUGCGUGCAACAGCAUCCAGAGGAUAGGCCAAGCAUGCCCUCAGAGAUUUUGAUGUUGGGCAGUGAGACUGUGUUGCCUCAGCCAAAGCAACCCGGUACCUUGGCUGACAGGAAAUCUACCAGACUAGAUUCUUCAUCAAGCAUGCCUGAAUCAUGUUCAACUAAUACAAUUACGAUCUCUGAGUUGGAGAGUCGGUAGAAAAUCUAUUUGUGGUAUCAAGCCUUAUUCUACAUUGUCAAGUGCAAAAGGAGUAAUGUCUCAACCAAAUGGAAAGUUCAGAUAAAUGAUUGGAUAAAAAAUGAUGAGGAUCCUCCAAUGAUUGCAUGUUGUGGAUUUAAAUAGAACGUAGACUAAUGUUUAUAUAGAAAUUGUAAAUUAGAGGUAACGUGAGCAGUGUUGGAUCCAAAAAAAAAAAAAAAUGAUUAACCGAGAAUUAAAUUAAAUAAAAGCAAGACGUUAUAAUUUUUUUAAUAUCAAAUAUUUGCUAAUACAUUUAUGAGAAUAUCUUUGGUGCUUUUGGAGUAUUUUUAUCUAUUUACUAUUUAUCACGUGUGUAUAUAUGUCAUCAUGAUUAGUAGAAGCAUACGCAUGACAAAUAGUAAAUAAAAAAGGAGAAGCUCUCCAAGAGUACCAAGAUUGUUCCUACAUUUUAAAAACCUUGUGGAAUAAACUCAUUAUCAAUACUAUUAAAUACAUCAUUUUCUACAUAAACAACAAAAUUAACAUUCAUCCAUUCUUCUCUCAUUCGAUUUCAGAGUUGAUUGUUCAUGAACUUAAUUGUUGAAAAUGUUCUCUCUACUGUAGUUGUGGGAACCGGAAGAAUUAAAUCUAAGUGUCACCAACAAAUAUAUUAAGUUUGUAACUGAUUGACUUUUAUCUUUUUUAGUCUCAAAGUAUUCUAUUUGCAAAUCACUAAUUCCCUUCAUUCUUACAAACCCACCUGCUUGUUCUUUUCCUAAUAUAACCCAAUCCCUAAUUUUCUUUUAAGAACAAGAAAGAUAAAUUUUGUGAUUGAAGGAGUGGAUAAUUAUUUUUUUUAAUAAAUUUGAAUAUAUUUUUUGCAAUAGAAAAAUGGCUGUGGGUUAUUAUUAUUCUUAAAUAAAGUGUCAGUUUUAUAAUUCAAGUUAAAAUUUAAAUUUUAUUGGUUUAUGAAUGUAUAGAGACUAUUUUAAUAUAUUGAUGAAGGUUAAUUAGAAGCCCAAAUAAUUCUCUCUUUUAUUUUUUUAUUUAUUUUUUAUUUUUUGGUAGCUUGAGACUAUUUUAUUUUUAUUUUUAUUUUUUUAAUUUUAAUAUUUACUCUCUGCUCAGAAGUUGCUGUAUCCUUUCUUUGCAACAUGCUCUGUUCAGGCUUCAAUGUUGUUGGCUUGAAUUGGCAACUGAACUCGAAUCAAUUCUCAUGCAUGGGUUGGGGAAUUUGCUCAACUUAUAAUCGGUAGGUUUAUGCCUCUGAAUUCAGGCAUUGCUUGAGUAGAGUUGGGCUUGCUGAUUCAUUUUAGUGACAAAUGAAAACAUUAAAAAAAAAAUCAGGACUUGUUCGUCAAAAUUUACAGAUAUUUUGUUCUUUAAUUAAUUUUAUUGUAACAAACACAUAUUCAUAGAGAUGCCGAAUUCUCUAUCUUCAUCAUGAUUCCAAAUUGAGGAUUAUACAUAAAGAUCUCAAAGCAAGUAAUGUGUUACUUGAUAAUAAGAUGAACCCAAAAAUUUCAUAUUUGUUUGAGAUAAUACUGUUCACACUAUUCUUUUAAUUUCUUUAAUUAAAAUAACAAAACUAAAUAAAAAUGUAUAAUAUUUAAUAAAAUUAAAAAUUCAAGUAUGUUGCCGCCAAUGCUGAUGAACUACUAGCGAAAGUUCGACGGCAGCUAGCCACAGGUGGCUACUGCAUGACAUCAUCUUUUACGCUAAAAUUGGGUAUCAUUAAAAUUCUCAUUGUCGGGGCUUCACAGUAGUGCCAAAACCUUGGCUGUAGAUCGAUGGUGAAUGAAAAUUCCUUUGCUGAUGAUAGUUGACCAUUGCAUAGCCCUAAUAAUAAUGAUUCUAAUGAUAUCAAAAUAUAGUUCAAAUGGUACUAAAGUAGGAUGGUCAAUGGUGAAAAUUUUUAUUUUGAUUACAAAAUUUUAAAUUAUUAAUUGAAUGUAAAUAAUAAUAGAAUAUAAAUGAAACUUUGAUUAUUAAUUUAACAUAAAUAUUAAAAUAGAAAUUAUUGUUUUGAAUAAUACAAUGCAUGCUACAUCAAACAUCAUAUUGUAUUUCAGCUUAAUACAAUAUAAUAUAAUAUAAUACAAUAUGUCAAACGCACCCAUAAAAAAAAAGUCAAAAUCACAAUAUUAUUUGGUGGGCCUUACCUGCAUUAUCCUCAGUUUACUUUUUGUGUCAAAUAAACAAUAGGCCCCGGAGACUAUCAUGCUAUUGCUUUAGGUUUACAUACAACUACACUGAUCUUGGUAAAGAUGACAGUUUACUUUUUGCAUCAAAUACUAUGUUGGGAUUAAUUUUUUUAUAAAAUUAGUCUAUUCGACUGCCUUUACCUGCAUCCAAACAUACCCCAAUGGUUAACUAUGAGAAAAUUUUAAUAAAGACUUGCAAUUUGUUUACUUGGAAUUGGAAUGGACAAAAAUUGUAAUGAGCUGAAAUCAAAACAGGCUGGAAUUGAUCACAUGAGGAAUAAGAAUCAAAGUAAGUUGUAUACUUGAAUCCAAAUCAACAAUAUUCCAAUUGAUGUAUUUACUUAUGUCUUGUAAUCCAAAUGAGUUAUUACAAGUCAUAAAAAUGUCCUUAGUUCCACUCUUUCUAGACGUCAUGAUGAUAUACGUUUCAUCCAUCUGGUAAGCGAAGGAGUUAUUACAAGUUUAAAAAAAUGUCCUUAAUUACAAUUAUGUAUUUUUCUAUGUAAAAUAAAUAAGCAAACAGUUUAAAAGAAAACAUUGGCAUAUUUAUUAUAAUAUUGAGAGUAAUACAAUGAGUUUUUGAGUAAACUAGUUGUUGUUGUUGUUAUUUUAUAUUGAUAAUAACUACUAUUAAUAUUAUUAUUGUAGGGAAAUUAAACCCCUAACUUCCUAUUAAUUUAAUUCCCUCUUAUUACUAUAAGGGGAACCAAAGUUCAAAUACCAAGUUUUUGUUGUUGGCAGGACUCAAACCUAUGCCCCUCAACUUUCUAGGUAUAGGUUCUCCCAUUAGAUUACAAAGUCAGCUUGUGUUAUUGUUACUACUAAUACUAUUAAGAUUAUUUAAUUAUGUAAUAGGAAUAAAAUCAAAAUUUCAAAAUUUAAGGGAUGGUAAAAUAAUUAGUUCAGAAAAUGAAAAUCGCAUUCCCACCUUCCCAUAGAAAUAAGAUUCUCAUUUCCACCUUCAAAAUUUGGUGGGCCUCGCAAAUUUCAUUCACAUUCUCAAAUAUCAAAUAAGCAAUUAAACAAUGGAAUCAUUUCCAUUCCUCCAUUCUUGACUCCCAUUCCAAGAAGUUAAUAACCUUUAAUAGAACGUUCAAAUGAAAAGACUAGCCAGGCCCAGAGAACUGACAUCGAUCAAUUAUCUCUUCCGGAUUAGAAUUAUAUGUUAUUUAUUUUGUCUUUUUUUUCUAAUUCAUAUAUUGUUGAAAAGUCAAUAUUGGUGAUUUGUUUAUUCAAAUUGGUUGAAAAAAAAGAGGUGAGCCACAUGCAUAAUUGACUUUUGGAGGAGUUAGUAACCGCAUGCAUGAUUUCUUUAAAAAAUGAAGAAUUUUUACAACUUUAUGAAGACGUAUUUGAUGCAAUUGAAGAGUUUUUCAAAAGGUAGAAAUGGUGGCCAAAAUCAUUGAAAUAAUUGCAUGCAAAUUGGAUGUUAGGUGCAAGCUUGGUGCCUAUAAAUAGAGAGCAUUUCUUCAUUCCAUUUCAUCCCAAAAAUUAAUUUGAGAGUUUAAGAGAAAUUGCAAAUGAAGUAAUUUUAGAGUUUUGAGAGUGUGAGCAGUUGGAGAGUGUGUGUGAGAGUACUGAGUGUAUUUAAGUUUUUGGAAAUUGAGGUUUCUCUACUCAAAUUUGUGCGCUAAUAAUUGUUAGUAAUACAAUUAUUUUUCUCUUGUUCCCGUGGACGUAGGCAUACUGCCGAAUCACGUGAAAUUCCGUGUCCUUUAUUUUUCUGUGAUUAUUUGGUGCGUUUGAUUUCGCAUUCCGCGCACAACAUAUAUGAUUACUCUUAAAUCUCAAAAAGCAAAAAAAAAUUCCCAUUAAUAAAGAUCCAUUGCAACUUGUAGACAAAUACAAAAUAGAAAAAUUUGUAUUCCUAGUCCUCUGCCACGUUAAGAGACUAUCAUUUUUCUUACCUAUGAUCGAAGCUUCAUUUGGAGGAUAUGCUGUACAAAUGAUUUAGCUCAUGUGAUUAAUAAAUAUAUACGAUCAUAAUUAAUUUCCAGCUUCUAGGGAAGUUAAAAUCCUUAUUUUUCCAUUUGUGUUUUAAGCAUGGUUUUUUACAAUUUUAUAUUUAAGUUUAAUAAAUUAAAUAGUACGUGUGUAUCAUUUCAUUAUGUUUAUGUUUAUGUCUCUAUCUUUAAUUUUAAGGAUGCUAUAUAUAUUAACUCAUUUUUCUAACAUGAGUAUCUUGCAGCAGGGUUCGAAUAGGAUGACGAUGGGAACAAGAAGACAUGAUUUCUAUUAGAGCAUAUUCGACUGAUUUAUAAAAUUAUACCAAUAUAAAUUCAUUAUUAGUUAGAUGAGAAAUAAGAAAUUCAAUUCUAUAAAUUAACUAAUGUACAACAAAUGAUUUACAAGGAUGACCCAAGUAAACUAUCAGUCAAAGUCAAUGAAUAUAUGCUCGUGGCAAUGUAUAUUCUAUAAAUGAACUCGUGUCAAUUGUGAUCACACUUGGAAUCUCCCCGGCAAAAAAUUUUCCGUUGAUGACAACCGAUUGCAACUUACAGACAGAUACCGAAAAUAUAAUUAGUAUUCAAUGUCCUUUCUGAAGUUCUACACGUAAUUUAGCGAUUUCACAUACAAGUGCGGCUUAUCUGCUCAUCAUUGCUCUGCUCCUUUUUGUUUUUAUUUUUAUUUUUUUGUUUUUUGUUUUUAACUGCUGCUCAUAUCUGCCGGUGGGGUUUUUCGAAAUUAUUGAUUAUUCUUUCCUUUGAAAUUAAUAUAAAAAAAAAGCUCCAUAAUUUUUCUGUGUAAUUUAAAACUAUUGCACGACGUUUUCUAUUCGGCCAUCCAUUAUUUAAUUGAUAACGGCCCAGCAGGCAUAUGGCUAGAAAUUCUCUUCUUCAAUUUUAAUUAGAUUUCAUGUAAACUUUUCUCAGUUCUCAAUGUUUGCGGACAUAAUAAUAAUAAUAAUAAUAAUAAUGUAUUACAUCUCAAAUUGUCUUCAUUAUAAUAUUUGGCCCUAAAACUAAUAAAACUAAUAAAAAUAAAGAGUAUAUAAUAACUUAUUUUGAUAGAUAAUGCUAGAAUUGCCUUUCAAAAAAAAAAAUAUAUUUAGAUUUAGAGGUGCAACUGAAUACAGCACUUAGAUAUUCUAAAGAUAUUAUACUGAAUUUGUUAUUUACUUAUUAUUACAAUUUUGUUUUGUAAUGCUGUCAAGUUUGUUAGAGCAUCUCCAAAAGAUUUUUUAGAUUUUACUCUUCAAAUAUCAAUUUGCUUAUUGAUGUGGCAAAUAAGUGGAUGAAAAAAUACAAUCUUCUCCAAAAGACUCAUCAAAUAAGAAUAAGUUAACAUUAUUUCAAUCAAAUCUUUCCACUAUUAAAUUAAAUUGCUGUUAUGUUUUUGAAGGGAAACAUAAAUAAUAAUUAUUGCAGUCUUAUCUUUUCAAUAAAUAAUAAUAAAAUAUUAAUAGAAGAGGGAGAAACUCACUCGGCAAUAUUGAAGAGUGAGAAACAAAUCUUAUUUGAAAAAUCAAAAUUAACGUAUUUUUUGGAAUGUUUAAUAUUGAUAUGACUCUUCGAAUAAAAAAUAGAAUUUUAUUUGAAAAAUCUUUUAGAGAUGCUCUUAGAGAAGAUAUUCUUAGCCGUUUUUUAAAUUUCUCUAUAACUCGCUUGAAGGAGUAUUUAAAGAAAUGAAUAAAUAAGAAAAGGACAGCUCCCUUAAAUUUAAAAUACAAUUCCUCUAUUUUCUCUAGUCUCUAUUCUUCACUCUUUCUAAUUCUAGAGGACUCCACCCUCUAAAGUGGAAACUAAAAUUCCAGAACUUCCACUUGAAAUCCAAGUUGGAGAAUUUUAAAUGUUCUUUGGCAGAAGAAUUACGAGCUGUACUACUUACCGAACGUUAGUACGCACCUCGAUGGGGGAAACUCUUUUCUUUUUGGCUUUUGGGACUGAUUGUUGGGGAAAAAUCAGGUUUUUAAAAUUUUUAUAAAACCUUUUGAAGAUCGCUCUCAUAUAAUAUAUAAGAAUUUGUAAUCUAGAAAUCGUACCUUGAAAAUCCGAUUUGGCUUUUUCCGUUGAAGUGAUUUAGGCUCCUAGAUCACGAUCCGCCACCACCACUCCUGUUAGAUCACGAUCCGUCACCACCACGCUUGUUAGAUUACGAACUGUCACCAAUGAUCUUCCAGGUUAUGACUCAGGUUCGAUCUGCACUUGACGUGUGGGCGCCUUUAUCACUACCAAAGCAACUAGCACGAGAAAAAUUUUCUCUCAACAAUAGAGAGAAAAAUCUUUUUCUCUGAUCUGUAUAAAGUGGCUACCCUAUUUUCUUUCGAGAAAAUAAGCCUUUUAUAUCACCCUUUAGUGAAAACCCUAGGCUCCAAAUAAUCAAAAAACAAAAACUCACGCUUUUUCUAUAGGUGACCCACCUUGUAAAAUAACAUAAGGCCCCUUACACAAAAGCUAAUUAAAUGGAGCCUCCCACUAAAUGAUAUAUUUAGGCUUUUGACCCAAAUAGCUAGUUAUCUUACUUAUUAGUCCAGUAGUGGUGCAGUCAAUUAAAUGAGCUAACCUAGGGAUCAUUUGGGAACAUACAAUAGUGGCUACAAUAAUUAGGCCUGUAAUUAAACUAGCCCAAUUAUUUAAUUCCAAAUCUACUCCACUAAAAUAUUGGAACUGACUUCCAUAAUUGUAUGCUCGAAUAAUAAUUCGUCCCAAGCCACAUUGAUUUCUUUACUGCACAAUCGUUUGUACCACAUCGUUAAUUAAAUUGAUAUCUCAACUGUCCAAUCAAUUUAAUAACAUCUUAUUCCUUGAUCCUUACUGGUUUUCUCUAAUGAUCAUUUUCAACAUACUAAAUAUGUUGACACACUCUGACCAGAGAAUUCUAUGAUCAAGUGCCGAAAACCCAUCAAGAGAUGUGUUGUACAAAUUCUAUAUUGUUAAUCCAUAACUCCAAUACUCAUAAUUGCUCCCACCAAGAUACCGGGUAAUCUUGACCACAAGGAUGUGUCGUGCCCAUUGGUAACUCAAAUGGAAUAACAAUUACAAUCAUGAAAUCAUAAUUAACUCAAGAUUAAGAUUACAGUAAAAUCAAUGCCUAUGAGAUUUAAUAAGUCUGACAGUUAUUACAAAGUUAAUUAAACCUCAUAUGUGAUCCUGUUCAAUGUAGUCGUACUACAUCAAUAAAUUCAUACAUGAUUAAGACAAAUCAUUCAAUGAAUUUAUUACAGUCUAUACCUAAAUAAAGUGCCCAACUUUAUUUAUCAACUGCGAACUAAAUUUAUUUAAUCAUAAGAUAACUUGUAUUUAUGUCUUAUGUGAAUCCACAUGCUGAUUGUUGAGUGAUAGAAAAUGUAUAUUUAUAAAGGAGAAAAUCGUUAUUUUACACUUCAAGUUUUACUAACACCCUUACUUUUAUGUAUUUAACCUUCUUUUGAUUUAAUUCCGUGUGUUUUAUUUUAAUUAAGUAUUUUAUGUAUUUUAGGGGCAUCAUAGUCAUUUCACAAUGAACGAGAGAUCAGACGGCAAAACAGACAUCAAUUUUGAACUCAGGACGGUCGAAAACCUUAGAAGGAGCAUAAAAGGAAAAAUGGCACUGUUCACAUGUACGGUACUGUCUACGUUACUGUUCACGACACUGUUCAUAUAGAAAGAUCGAUGAUGUGGCAUUGACCGAUGAGGUGUCACAAUCCUGUUGGACUAAAAUUCUUAUGCACUGUUGAUCGAUGACGUGGCAGCAUAUCAGUGGACCAGAAAUAUCGCGUACGGUACAUGCAUUACACAGGAUUAUUUUCAACCAAACCGCGUUACUGUUCAAGCCGGGUCAAACCGUGUUACUGUUCACCCGCGUGGUCAAACCGCGUACUGUUGACUGAUGACGUGGCGCAAUCCUGAGCGUCCAAACUGUUUUUAAUCCGAUGGCUAUGAUUUACUCCAUGUAUCUAUAAAAAGGGGGCCUCCCCCCCCUAAUUUUAUAUCUCUGAAUCCAUUUUUGGACUCCAUUUUCUGUAAUUCAUUCUCUAUCUUGUAUUUUCUACGUAUUUUAAUAAAUUUCCAUUUUGCCCCUAGUUCAAUUAUGAGUGGCUAAUUUUCUUUCAAGCUUGGGUUGAAGGUGAAGUCUUAACAUGUGUCAUGGGCUUUAUUUGGUAAAUUUAUUUUCUCUUCCCCUCUAGUUUUUGUGGAUGUUUUGACUUCUCGUCGACAAAUAAUAAUAAUCUUGUCUAGUACCGCCCUGGUUUCACCGGCUCCCUAGUACAAGGUUAUUAUUAUUUGGCACGAUAAGCCCUUAGCACCAUAUUGAUUAGAGUGUGGUUCAUGAGGUGUGGAUUCCCCCCUCAUGAUUUAAUUGGUAUUAAUAAGGAAUAUUUAGCCCAUGAUGCAUGUUGAUAUGGAUCCAGAUACCCAAGUAUGUCAUUUUAAUAGAUUUCUAUUCAAUUUAUUCUCGCCAUUUAAAUUCCAAUUUUAGGAUAAUCCAAAUCAUUUUCACCACAAAUCCAACCACCUUCAUACAAAAUUAAUUCUACAUAUAAUUAAAAUCCACUUCCUCGUGGGAUCGACACUCGUCACCAUUGAUCUAUACUACAAUAGAUUCGUGCACUUGCGAGUUCAAUAAAAUUUGCACAACAAGUUUUUGGCGCCGUUGCGGGGGAGGUAAGUUAUUUUAAUUUGUAGAAUUAAUUUUUGUGAAUAAUUUCUUUUAUUUGUUUUCUUGUAUUUUUUUUUCUUAUUAAAAAAAAGAAAAAAAGUGAAUCUAUAUUUAGAGGUAAUAAUUUCUUUUAUUUCUCUAUUCUUUACAAUUCUGCAAUUUAAUUUUUAAGUUAUUUUUCUUUGUAAUUUUUUUUAUUAAUUUAUUUUCACGUAUUUUUUUAGUGUGUUUUUAUAGUAAGGUUGUAAUAGCGCAAUAAGGUUAGUAUCGUAAUUUCUCCCUCUUCUUUAUUUUUAUUUGUUUUGUUCCCAUCUUUAUUUUUAUUUUAUUUGUUUUGCAUGCAUGGUCGUAGGUCAUUAUUACCUAAUCUUGAACUUAUAGACCUUGAACUAGAAAAAACACUUCGCGCACACAAGCACGUUAAAAAUAAAUUUGGAAUGGAUUUACAAGCACCACAGGAGAGGCCAUUUAAGGACUAUUUUAGUCCUUCAGCUAACUUGAGCACAUCAUGUAUAAGAUACCCAAAUAUAGCUGCUAGGAGCUUUGAACUAAAAUCUAGUGUGCUAAAUUGUCUCCCCACAUUCUAUGGCUUAGAAAAUGAGGACCCAUAUAAUCAUCUGAAUGAUUUUCAUGCUAUUUGUCAAACAUUUAAAUAUGAGAAUUUUUCAGACGAUGAUAUUAAACUCAUAUUAUUCCCAUUUUCUUUAAAGGAUAGAGCUCGUUCAUGGUUAAAUACUUUGCCUGCUAAUAGCAUUACAUCAUGGGAACAAAUGGUAACUAAAUUUUUGAAUAAAUAUUUCCCAGUGCAUAAAACCAAUGCUAUUCGCAGGGAAAUUUCAGAGUUUACACAGAGAGAAGACGAGCAAUUUUUUGAAACAUGGGAGCGAUUCAAUGGGCUACUCUUGAAGUGUCCACAUCAUGGGUACGAGAAAUGGCACUAAUGCCAAUACUUUUUGGAGGGAUUAUUGCCGAAUGUACAAGAAUGGCUAAUGGCAACAAGUGGAGGAGAGUUAAUGUCAAAAAGUGCAUCAGAGAUUUGGGAAUUCUUCUAGUGACAAGCGGAUAAUUCCCAACAACGAAGUCGAUCGCUUAGGAAUACUAAAAGAAUUAAGGGAGUAAAUGAGGUUCACAUUGGCGAGUCAAGUUCAGAAAUUAAAGAAGUCAAAGCGAUAAUUGAAGGUCUCUCUCGAUAAAUAGCAUCGUUAUCGACUGCUAAAUCAACAGAGUCAUAUGACCAUGACUCAUGCUCAGAUCAAGCUAAUGCCAUAGGUGUAAUGAGAAAACCAUCAAAUUACAACCCAUACUCCAACACAUAUAACCCUGGAUGGAGAGACCACCCCAAUUUUUUAUGGUCUCAAGGAUUCCAACAGAAUGGACCAGCAACUCCAGCUCCACCAAUGCAACAAAUUCCUCAAGCCUCUCAGCCACCAUUUAGACCACACAAUCAAAACCAGAACUACUCUCAACCCAGACCAUGAGAGGAUGCAUUCCAGAAUUUCAAGAAUGUUACUCACUCCACGAUUGAGCAACAGAACCGCACCAUUGAUGGACUACGAAAUGAGUUGAGAGCAGGCUUCAACUCACAAGCCCAAUCAGUUUCAAGCCUUGAGAAGAUGGUGGGACAACUUGCUUCUUCAGUUCAGACUUUGGCAAUGACAAUUGAGAAAGGUAAAUUUCCAAGCCAACAAGUGUCUAAUCCUAAAGGAGUACAUGAAGCAAGUAUCAGUUCACCACAGCAGCAUGGAGAGGUCAAAGCUGUCAUGACCUUGCGAAAAGGAAAAGAAGUCGACAACAAACUGGAGAUGCCGGUGACAAAAGAAAAUCAAAUUGUACCUGUAAAUACUGAGGACUCAUCACCGGAGGAGAAAGAAGAAACCAACCCACGAGAAUAUGUUCCCAAAGCUCCAUUUCCUCAGAGGUUAACUAAAGGAAAGAAGGGAAAUCCACAGGUGAGAUUCUUGAAAUCUUCAAACAGGUAAGUGUUAACAUCCCUUUACUUGAUGCUAUAAAGCAAGCUCCAUCUUAUGCCAAGUUUCUUAAAGACCUUUGUACUAAAAAGAGAAAUAUUCAUGGUCAAAAGAAGACAUUUUUAAUAGAAAACGUUAGUUCUAUACUCCAACAUAAAAUUCCUCUAAAAUGCAAAGACCUAGGCUCCCACACUAUCUCAUGUAGCAUAGGGAACCACACAAUUGAGAAUGCUUUGUUGGAUUUAGGAGCUAGUGUAAAUCUGUUGCUUUACUCAGUAUUUUUGAAACUUGGACUUGGAGAAUUACACCCAACUUCAGUGGUGUUACAGCUUGCAGAUCGGUCCACGAAAAUACCUCGUGGUAUUGUGGAGGACGUGCUUAUCCAGGUAGACAAGUUUUAUUUUCCGGUUGAUUUUAUUGUAAUUGACACUCAACCAAUACAGGAUUCAAGGAAGCACAUCCUCAUUAUCCUCGGCCGACCUUUCUUGGCAACUGCGGAUGCUCACAUUCAAUGCAGAACUGAAAAUAUGCAGUUGUCCUUCGGCAACAUGACUAUGGAACUGAACAUCUUCAACAUUGCCAAACAACCUCAUAAUGCAGAUGAUGAAAUUGUUGAUGUGGAUUUAAUUGAAGCAUUAGUUGAUGACACUUUUCUUUCAAACCUUAGUGAUGAUCCUUUACAAACAUGCUGAACUCACUUUGGUUUGGAUUUUGAUAUUUACAGAUCAGUCGAUGAGGUCAACUCCCUGCUUGACUCAGCACCAUCCAUGGACACUAAUAAAUGGAAGUCAAGAGUUGAAUAACUAGAACCAUCAGAAAAGAAACUUAUCCCAUCAUCAGAAUCACCACCGAAACUCGAGCUCAAACCAUUACCCAACACUUUGGAAUAUGCAUUUUUGGGAGAAGAAAGUACUCUACCGGUAAUCAUCUCAUCAUCCUUAAAUGACGAACAAAAAGGUAAGUUGUUGGAUAUUUUCAAAGAGCACAAAGGAGCAUUAGGAUGGAUUAUAGUAGACAUCAAAGGUAUAAACCCAGUAGACUGCAUGCAUUACAUUCACCUCGAUGAAAAUGCUAAAUCUACUAGGGAAAUGCAACGUCGGUUAAAUCCUAAUAUGAAAGAAGUUGUUAGAACUGAAGUCCUUAAGCUAUUAGACGCAGGUAUCAUUUACCCAAUUUCUGAUAGUUCAUGGGUCAGUCAUGUACAAGUUGUCCCUAAAAAGUCAGGAGUCACAGUAGUUACCAAUGCUGAUAAUGAAUUGAUACUAACUAGAGUAACUACAGGAUGGCGUGUAUGCAUUGAUUAUAGAAAAUUGAAUUUUGUCACACGUAAAGACCAUUUUCCUUUACCAUUUAUUGAUCAAAUGCUUGAUAGAUUAAUAGGCCAUGAAUUUUAUUGCUUUCUAGAUGGCUACUCAGGAUAUGAUCAGAUUUCCAUAGCAUCAAAAGAUCAAGAGAAAACCACUUUCACUUGCCCUUUUGGCACUUUUGCAUAUAGGAGGAUGCCAUUUGGAUUAUGUAAUGCACUUGCUACAUUUCAACGAUGCAUGUUGAGCAUUUUUUCUGAUAUGGUUGAACGAUUCCUUAAAGUCUUUAUGGAUGAUUUUUCUGUCUUUGGUGACUCGUUUGAUCAAUGUUUACAUCAUCUAACAUUAGUUCUGCAGAGAUGUGUCAAGAAGAACUUAGUCUUAAAUUGGGAGAAGUGUCAUUUUAUGGUAAAACAAGGUAUUGUUCUCGGUCACAUCAUUUCAAGCAAAGGUAUUGAGGUUGACAAAGCCAAUGUGGAUCUCAUUUUUAAUCUUCCUCCACCCAAAACAGUCAGAGAAGUAAGAUCUUUCCUUGGGCAUGCUGGUUUCUAUAGACGUUUCAUUAAAGAUUUUAGCAAAGUUUCUAGACCCUUAUGUAAUUUACUUGCUAAGGAUGUACCAUUUAUCUUUAAUGAUUCAUGUCUUGUGGCUUUUGAAAAAUUAAAGCAAUCGUUGACAUCAUCACCCAUCAUUCAGCCCCCAAACUAGAGCUUACCAUUCGAGCUUAUGUGUGAUGCAUUCGAUUAUGCAGUAGGAGCAGUAUUAGGACAAAGAGUUGAUCGAAUUCCCCAUGUUAUUUACUAUGCUAGUAUGACAUUGAAUGAUGCACAGUUGAACUAUUCAACUACUGAAAAAAAAUGCUAGCAGUAGUGUUUGCAUUGGAAAAAUUUCGAUCUUAUCUCAUUGGUUGUAAAAUAAUUAUAUUCACAGAUCAUGCUGCUAUUAAAUAUCUUCUCACAAAGAAAGAUGCAAAAGCUAGACUAAUUCGUUGGGUGUUACUUUUGCAGGAGUUCGACUUGGAAUUUAAAGAUAAGAAAGGCACAGAGAAUGCUGUAGCUGACCAUCUCUCUCGUCUCCAUUUUGACACAAUUAUGGAAUCAUUACCAUUGAAUGAGUCAUUCCCAAAUGAACAAUUGAUGAGUGUGGAAGUAUUACCAUAGUAUGCUGAUAUCGUUAAUUAUCUUGUUACAGGUCAACUUCCAGAGCAUUGGACCAAGCAAGACAAGGCUAAAUUCUUUGCGGAAAUAAAGAAUUUCUUUUGUGAUGACCCGUAUUUGUUCAAGUAUUGUGCAGAUCAAAUUGUUAGACGAUGUGUCCUAGAAAGUGAAAUUCAAAAUAUCCUUUCAUUCUGUCAUGAACAAGCUUGUGGAGGCCAUUUCAGUGCUAAGAAGACAGCUACUAAAGUUUUACAAUGUGGUUUCUAUUGGCCAACUAUAUUUCGAGACGCUUACACUUUCUGUUCUUUAUGUGAUAGGUGUCAACGAAUAGGGAGCAUUACACGAAGGAACAUGAUGCCACUAAAUUCAAUUUUAGUGGUUGAGAUUUUUGACGUAUGGGUUAUCGACUUCAUGGGACCCUUUCCCCCUUCUUUUGGCCAUCAAUACAUAUUGGUUGCUGUUGACUAUGUAUCAAAAUGGGUAGAAGCAAUUCCAUGUAGAACCAAUGAUCAUAAAGUGGUGAUAGGAUUUUUGAAAAGUAAUAUUGUUUCACGCUUUGGAUUCCCUCGAGCAAUAAUCAGUGAUGGUGGUGCCCACUUUUGUAACAAAGCAUUCAAAGCUCUUUUGACAAAGUAUUCAAUCACUCAAAAAGUGGCAACCCCAUAUCAUCCGCAAACCAGUGGCCAAGUUGAGAUCUCCAAUCGAGAAAUAAAGCACAUAUUAGAAAAGAUGGUGAGGCCGGACAGAAAAUAUUGGUCAUUAAGACUUGAUGAUGCAUUAUGGGCAUAUAGAACAACGGCUUUCAAGACCCCGAUUGGGAUGUCACCCUACAGGCUAGUGUAUGGAAAAGCUUGCCACCUAUCUGCAGAACUCGAGCAUCGUGCAUAUUGGGCUAUCAAGAAAUUCAACUUUGACAUGCAGCAAGCCAGCUCAGAAAGAAGAUUACAGCUGGGAGAAAUUGAAGAAAUUCGCAAUGAUGCAUACGAAAAUGCCAAGAUUUACAAGCAACGAAUGAAAGUCUUCCAUGACAAGCAAAUUAUGAGAAAAUCUUUCACUCCAGGUUAGAAAGUGCUUUUAUUCAAUUCUCGCUUGCACCUAUUCCCAGGUAAGUUACGCUCUCGAUUGUCUGGCCUCUUUAUUGUUCAUACUAUUUUUCCACAUAGGGCAAUUAAAAUAAAAGACCCAAAGAACGGUGUUACGUUUAAAGUUAAUGGUCAAAGAUUAAACCCAUAUCUAGAGUACCAACCACAUGGAGAAGACACCGAAAUAAAUUUGAGUGACCCACUAGAUUUGAAUUGAUUUUUUUUUCUUUUCGGUGAUUUGAUUUUUUUUCUUUCUUUUUAUUAUUUUUUAUUUGCUAAUUGAAAUUAUUUUUGUAAAAGUGUGUUUGUUUAACCAUUAAGUUUUUUUUCUUAUCAUUGUUAAUCAUGAGUACCAUGCUUAAACCGUUCCUCCUGAACAUUCUUAAACCACUUCAACGUGUAAAAUCUCAUCUCAAAAGGCAGAUUCAAUUUUGUAAAACACAUCGCAUUUGGGCUCUGCAACCACCAGAGUUAGUAUCCUAUGUUAAGGGUUUAGAAAGCCAACUCAGAGACAUUGAGAGAAGUGUUUAUGACAUCCAGUUGGAGCUUGAGGUAAAUUCAAUAAGAGGACGAUUUUAAUUUUCUUUGUGUGUUUUAAUUUGUUUUUCUGUUUGUGUGCUUUAGUUUGUUACCCCGGUGAAGUGACGGAUAACGGUACUCCGUGACAAUCAAGUCGGUUACUUCAGUUUCCCAUAAUAACUGAUAUUCUGAGGCGAAGGUAUGGACAGAAACGAGAUUCUAGCGAAACUUCACAAGCGAUUCCCUUCACUUCCUCAGAAUGCCCUCCUUACAAUCUAUAAAGCCCGGUUCGAACGCAUGUGAUUGCUCAUAAGGAAUAACAUACCUGCUGACAUCCGUUGGUUAAUCGAGGCUAAAGUAUGAUUGGCAGGUGAGUUACCUCCAAAAUUUAUUGCAUACAUGCCUGAUUGUGGUAAAGGAAAUUAUGCAAGAAAACAACGAGCUCGAAGAAUUUCUAUUGCUUUUCAUAAGUGUGCCAGAAUGAGUUGCGAUAAAAACCCAUGUUCUUUAGGAAUGGUGUCUGAUAACAAGGAAGAUAAGAUUCAAUUCAUUAGGGAUGGCUUGAAUAAGGAGUCAUUGGAUGAUAUCCUUCUGUCUCUUGAAACGCAUCCCAGUGGAUAUGUGCAAGGAGCGAUUCUCCAGUUAUGGCCAUUAUUCCAGAAAGAGCAUGCACGAUAUAGUCUCGGGAAUCUGACUAUAAACGAUCUUGUUUGCCAGUUUAUAAGAAAACUGGAUGGGAAGCCCAUCCUCGACCCAUAGAGGGCGUUCAAGCCGUUUCUGGACGUAAAACCAGAGGAAGAUAUAAGCCACAGUCGCAACUACCUAUAAAUAUCCUUUUACUUCACUGCUAUUUUAUUUCACUGUUGUUUUAUCUUUUCCAUUAUUGUCAUUAAUAAUUUUAUUUGACCAUUGUUUCUUUUUCUUUUUACUGUUUUCUUUUUGACUCGCGAGCCAUGUGCUUUACGCGUUAUUUGACACUGACAUGCCAUCUCAUACACAGUUGUGACCCACUGUCACCAAGAUUCUUAAAUAAGACUUUUUGUUAAGCACUCACAAAUUGUUUUUGAGAAAUAUUCCAAUGGCAGUUACUCCCAAUAGACAAUUCAAGAACAUUUGUGUGCUUUCUGGAUUUAACUAUGGCAAACAUAAAGAGUUCGUUGAGGCAGCCGUAGAUCUUGGUCGAAGCAUAGCAGAGAGAAAAUUACACUUGGUGUAUGGAGGAGGUAACCGAAGGUUAUCAAAAUUGGUUUCAGAAGCUGCUUUUGUCAGAGGAAGCCAAGUGUUAGGCAUCAUCCCAAGAGUCUUAAAACCUUUGGGCAGUUUGUCUGACUCACCGACUGGAGAAGAGUUAGUCGUCUCAGGUAUGCAAGAAAGAAUAACUGAAAUGCUUAAUCAUGCUGAUGCUUUUAUUUUCCUUCCAGGAGAUCGUGCAACACUAGAGGCACUUAUCACACUAGCAUCUUGGGCCCAUCUGCACAUUCACCAGAAACCCAUUGGUUUGUUAAAUGUCAAUAAUUUUUAUGAUGGCUUUAUCGCAUUUCUUAACCAUGCAAUAAAAAACUAUUUCGUUCAUUCCAAUGCCAAAAAGCUUUUUAUUUGUGCUCACACUGCUAAUGAGCUACUUGAUAUGUUACAAGCUUAUAGAUCGGAGCCAAACCCCUGGACCUUUGUGUUAGAGCGUCCAAAUAAUGAUGGUAACAGUAGCCGCAGUAAGAAGUACAAAUUAGAUUUAACUCUCCACUUGUAAAUAUUUUCUUCUGUGUUGCACCACCCAGGUGAUGUCUUCUAAACUCUACUUCUUUCCUUUCAAACAUUGAGGACAAUGUUUCGUUCUGGUUGGGGGGAGGGAAUAGUCGACAAUUGUGGAAUCUUGGUUAAGUUUUUACUAAUUUUUUGUUGUAGAAACUAACUGUUGCUAACUUUUUGUGUUGAAGAUGGCUGAAUAUGGAGUGUAGUGACUCUAGAAACGCAUUUUCAUCGUUUGAAAAAAAAAUUCAAAAAAAAUUCAAAAAAUUCAGACAUUUUCUUUUUCUUUAUUAAGUUUUGAUGUUCAUUUUUCUUCUUCUUUUUUAAUUUCUUCUUUAUAAAUAUACAUUUUUAAAUAUUUGAGUCGAAGAUGGCUGAAUUGGAGUAUAGUGCUUCUAGAAACGCAUCUUCUUAGUUAAAAAUAAAAAAUUAAAAAAAAACAUUUCUUUUUCUAUCAUUUUAAAUGUAACUUUUCUAAUUAAUUUUUCUGCAUCAUUUUCACAUUUCUGCAUACAUAUUUUCCUUUCAUGUUUAAAAUAUGUUGGGGGGUAGAAUGUUGUUUUAAAAUAAAAAUUGUGUGAUUUGUUUUAACAUUGGAUGACAUGAUUCAUUUCAAAUUUUAAUAUUUGUAUUAUCUUUGGUCUUAAGUGAUGUUACACUAUGUUUGCUACUCUACAUGUUGAUGUCGAAGACAAAUAUAAGUUGCUUGAAGGAAUGAACAUGUCAUAAUAAGUACCAAGUGAGUUUUUGAGCCUAUCCUUUUUCUUGGAGAGUAACCCUUUUGCCCAUUCUUUAUACAGCUUAGCAGUUUAUUAUUGUAUACACGAUCUCUAGAUUUCUUUUGAGUUAACCCUUAAAAAAAAAAAAAUGUGUGUUACUACAUUUGGAGGCCCAUCUAACUAGUAGAUAUGGAAGGUUAUUUAGAACCCUAAAAGACGAUGAAAAGGCCAUCUUUGAUCCGUUUGAGCCUUUCUAGCCAUCCAUUUUAUCAAAUAUCCAUAGUUAACCAUUUUGAGCCUUAAAAAAAAAAAAACUUUUCUUUGUCAAACUUAUCAUCUUGACCCACUCCGAUUUGGAGUAUUACCCAAUAUCUUACAAGUUCCAUCACCUAUUUAUGUUUGAGAAAAAUGUAAAUAAAUAUUUUGUAUAGUGAAGUAAUGCUAAAAAAAAUUGUUAUUUUAAAAAAAAGAAGAUGAAGAAAAAAAAAUAACAAUAAUAGGUGAAAUCCACCUUGCAACUUCCAAAAAAAAAAAAUUCCUCUGUAUUUUUCUCAAACAUACACUUCGUUUUCCUUAUUUUCCUUCUUUGUUAACCAUGUCCCUAGCCUACGUUACGUCCUAAUAAAAGUCCUUCUUGAUUUAGGGAACUAUAGUCUGAAGUAGAAGCUAGUUAUAUGGGCUAAAAAAAUAUAGUGGUGCAUAAAAAAAAUAAUAAUAAUAAAUAAAUUGGGUUGACUAGCAUUUUUAUUUGACUUGAGAUCGUAUUAUUUCUAAGCUGAGGGCAUAUUUCUUUCAUCUUGGUGAGAGCAUGUGAUAUCAUUUUUUUUUAUUAUUUUCUCUUAAUUACCAUUCAUUGGAGUGACUAUUUUUAUUGGGUUUAAUUUCUUUGUGAGAGUGUCACUACUUCCAGUGAGAUUUUGGGGUUUGACAUGUCAUUCUUGAAGGUAGCUAUGACAAAGUCUACUAGGCUGAUUCAUGUGGAUGGUUGAUGUGGGUGUGAUGUUUCUUUAGACUUGAGAUAAUGCUUAUACUUUUAUUUGAUUGUUAUCAUUAGUCUGAUUGAAUAAACAAGAGUGUUUAAAAAAAAAAUCAUUUUGGAUGUGAAUUUUGUUUUCGCUUUAUUUGCUAGGGACUAGCAAUAAGCUGGUUGGGGGUGUGUUGAGUGUUAGAAAAUGUAUAUUUAUAAAGGAGAAAAUCGUCAUUUUACACUUCAAGUUUUACUAACACCCUUACUUUUAUGUAUUUAACCUUCUUUUGAUUUAAUUCCGUGUGUUUUAUUUUAAUUAAGUAUUUUAUGUAUUUUAGGGGCAUCAUAGUCAUUUCACAAUGAACGAGAGGUCAGACGGCAAAACAGACAUCAAUUUUGAACUCAGGACGGUCGAAAACCUUAGGAGGAGCAUAAAAGGAAAAAUGGCAUUGUUUACAUGUACGGUACUAUUCACAUGUGCGGUACUGUCUACGUUACUGUUCACGACACUGUUCAUAUAGACGGAUCGAUGAUGUGGCAUUGACCGAUGAUGUGGCAUUGAAUGAUGAGGUGUCACGAUCCUGUUGGACUAAAAUUCUUAUGCACUGUUGAUCGAUGACGUGGCAGCAUAUCAGUGGACUAGAAAUCUCGCGUACGGUACGUGCAUUACACAGGAUUAUUUUCAACCAAACCGUGUUACUAUUCAAGCCGGGUCAAACCGUGUUACUGUUCACCCACGUGGUCAAACCGCGUACUGUUGACUGAUGACAUGGCGCAAUCCUGAGCGUCCAAACUGUUUUUAAUCCGAUGGCCAUGAUUUACUCCAUGUAUCUAUAAAAAGGGGGCCUCCCCCCCUAAUUUGAUAUCUCUGAAUCCAUUUUUGGACUCCAUUUUCUGUAAUUCCUUCUCUAUCUUGUAUUUUCUACAUAUUUUAAUAAAUUCUCAUUUUGCCCCUAGUUCAAUUAUGAGUGGCUAAUUUUCUUUCAAGCUUGGGUUGAAGGUGAAGUCUCAACAUGUGUCAUGGGCUUUAUUUGGUAAAUUUAUUUUCUCUUCCCCUCUAGUUUUUGUGGAUGUUUUGACUUCUCGUCGACAAAUAAUAAUAAUCUUGUCUAGUACCGCCCUGGUUUCACCGGCUCCCUAGUACAAGGUUAUUAUUAUUUGGCACGAUAAGCCCUUAGCACCAUAUUGAUUAGAGUGUGGUUCAUGAGGUGUGGAUUCCCCCCUCAUGAUUUAAUUGGUAUUAAUAAGGAAUAUUUAGCCCAUGAUGCAUGUUGAUACGGAUCCAGAUACCCAAGUAUGUCAUUUUAAUAGAUUUCUAUUCAAUUUAUUCUCGCCAUUUAAAUUCCAAUUUUAGGAUAAUCCAAAUCAUUUUCACCACAAAUCCAACCACCUUCAUACAAAAUUAAUUCUACAUAUAAUUAAAAUCCACCUCCUCGUGGGAUCGACAUUCGUCACCAUUGAUCUAUACUACAAUAGAUUCGUGCACUUGCAAGUUCAAUAAAAUUUGCACAACAGUGAUCACAUAAAUACAUAUAAUAUGAUUAAAUAGACUUUAAUACAAAUAUUAAUGCAAUUAAGAUAUUUGAAUAAAAUAUCUCAUUUAUUUUAUUAAUCAGAAAAAUUAUUUAUUACAAUUAAAUAAACACAUAUGCUUUUAAAGAGCAUAUUUUCCCAACACUGAUACCGUGGCCCUAGUGGAGGUUGGGCUUAAUACACAAAGGAUCAUUUGGUACUAGCAGAAAGAAAAUCAGGAGCCCUUGGAGGUGGAUAGAGAUUUGAUUGAAGAAAAAAGAUAAAACGUAGCAGAAAGAUUAGUAGCCUACCAGAAAAUGAUCGCCAAGUAUUAAAACACCAGAGUUAAAAUACGAGGGUUUCAACCUGGACACCUAGUACUAAAGAAAGUAGAAACAAUAUGGGUAGAGGAAACCCUAGGCCCUAAUUGGGAAGGCCUAUACAUGGUUAUAAAGUAAGUAACUCCAGGAACGUAUAUUCUGGCGGAAAUAAAUGGAAAGCGGUUAACUCAAUCUAAGAAAGCAGAACAUCUUAGGCGUUACUAUGCGUAAGAACGGAACAAUUUUUUUUCCUUAUUUAUCACUUUUCUCUUAUGAUCUGCUUUUUGAAGAUGGUUAGUUGAGAAGUUGUCAAGUUUGAAAUGUUAGAUCUAAUAAGCUUGUAGUUGUUUACAUGUCGGCUUUGGACCCCAAAUUGAUACCGCUAAUAUUAGGUGGUCCACCACAAGCAAGAGGAAAAGUCUUUUAUGUUAUUGUCAGUUGUUUGUUAUUCAUGUCUUUGAACCCCACACUAGCAUUACAAACAUUAACUGGGCCAGUUCAAGCUAGGGGGAAGUCUGUCUUCAAAUUUUAUAAAAUAAAUGUUCAUGCACAUUUUGUCAUUUUUUGUAUGUUCAUACAAUUUCACACUUUACAUCAAAAUUUUACCAUAAGAUGUUGCAUGGUACCCCAGAACAAAAGCAAGCAGACAAGAUUCAAAACGCCUUACAAGGCAAGAAUAAUGUUGCCUUUGAGGCAUGAAAAAUACAGCCCUACAAGCCAAGAAAUCAAAACGCCUUACGAGGUAGGAAUAAUGCUGCUCUUGAGGCAUGAAAAAUACAGCCUACGAGGCAAGAAAUAAAAAAUGUCUUACGAAGCAUGAAUAAUGCUGCCCUUGAGGUAUAAAAAAUACAGCCCUACGGGACAAGAAAUCAAAAUGCCUUACAGGACAUGAAUUAUACUGCCCUAAUCGAGGCCGGAAUCAUAUGGCCAUAUCGAGGCCGGAAUCAUAUUGCCAUAAUCAAAGCAUGAAUUAUUCUACCUUAAUCAAGGUAGGAAUCAUUUUGCUCCAAUUAAGGCAUGAAUUAUACUGCACUAAUCAAGGCAGGAAUCAUAUUAUCCUAAUCAAGGCAUGUGUUGUGUAAAUUUUAUUGAACUCGCAAGUGUACGAAUCUAUUGUAAAAUAAAUCAACGGUGACGAGUGUCGAUCCAAUGAGGAGGUGAAUUUUAAUUGCGUGUAAAGUUAGGUUUCUAAGUGGGUGGUUGGAUUUGUGGUGACAGUGAUUUAGACUAUCCUAAAAUUUAAAUUAGAAUGACGGGAAUAAAUUAAAGUAAAAAUUAUUAAAAUGAAGCGUUUGUGUCUCUGGAUCUGCACUCAACAUGCACCAUGGGCUUAAUAUUCCUUAUUAAUGCCAAUAAAAUCAUGAGGGGGGUUUCCACUCCUCAUGAACCUUACUCAAAUAAAUAUGGUGCUAAGUGCUUAUCAUGCCAAAUAGUAAUAACAUUGCACUAGGGAGACAGUUAUACUAGUGCAAUAUCUAGAUAAGAUUAUUAUUAUUUGCUGAUGAAAAGUCAAAACAUCCACAAAAAUCAAAGGGGAAGAGAAAGUAAAUUUACCAAAUUAAGCCCAUGGAACUGUUAGCCUAAAGGGCUACACAUAAUGUAAUUUUGAUGAUAACAAAUAUGUGUAUUAAGUGAUUUAAUAAAUAUUAUAUUUCACAUUUUUACUAAUUUUUUAAGGGUAAUAUUUAUGCAAGUGAAUCAAGUGAAAUCAAGGUCAAGACACUCAAUGGACAACGGCGAAAUUAAGAAUAAAGUUUAGAGCUCAACGGACAAAUUAUUGUGAUAAAUUCUUGUAAAGCCGGUAUGAUUUAAUUGAUGCAUGAUUUAGCAUUUGAGAAGCUCAAGAGAUUUAUUUAAAUAAUUACUUUUCAUAAACUAAAAGGUUUUAUUUUUAUAAGGUAAAGUAUUUUGUGGAUUUGAGUAAUUUGGACUUAAAUGAAAAGUUUUGCAAUCUUUGAUUUUAAUAAGUAUUAUUUUGAAUUUCAAAGUUGGACCUUUUUGCAAACAUUUGAAAUGUUUUGGGCCAUACUAUAAUUUAUGAACAUUUUUUACUAAAGUGAAAGGUUUUGAGAACUUUGGAAAAUAUAGGUAUUAUGUUAAAUUUUAAGUCCAAAAGCCUUGAAAAAUAUGGAUAAUCUCUUGAUUGUAAAGGUUCAUUGACACCUUGAAAGUCAAUUGUAAGAACUUGAAGCUUUGGGAGGUUUGGAUAGUGAAAUCCUCGAGCUUGGUUGGCUUGGAGGCGUGGACGUAGGCGGAAAUUGCCGAACCACGUAAAAAUCCGUGUGUUUAUUUUUCUCUUCCCUUACUCUUUUAUUUUUAUGCUUGUUUGAAUUUAUUGUUUUCUAUUCCAUUAAGGCGUUAGAUUGAUUGGUUGUGCGAAUUGUAUUGCAUAAUUUUUAAAAACUCAAUUCACCCCCCUCUUGGGUUGCGUAACUUGCAUUUCAAGAACAUGUUGAGACUUUACUUUCAAUCCAAGCUUGAAAGAAAAUUAGCUACUCAUAAUUGAACUAGGGGUAAAAUAAAAAUUUAUUAAAAUACGUAGAAAAUACAAGAUAGAGAAGGAAUUGUAGAAAAUAGAGCUCAAAAAUGAAUUUAGGGGUGCCAAAUUAGGGGGGAGCCCCUUAUUUAUGAUACAAUGAGUAAAUCAUGGCCAUUGAAUUAAAACAAUUUGGACGCUUAGGAUUGCGACACGUGGUAAGUUCUGAUUGGAUAGAACACAUUAUCAAGGCUGUCAUUCCGUGUAUAUGCAUGUACUGUACGUAUGUUUUUCGGUCCACUUACAUACUGCCACGUCACGGUCAAUGCCAUAUCAGCAUUUUAGUCCAAUAGGAUCGUGACACAUCAUCGGUCAAUGCCACAUCAUCAGUUAACGCCACAUAAGCAGUCAAUGCCACAUCAUUCGUCCAAUCGAAUACUGCCACGUCAUCGGUCAGUGCCAUGUCAUCGAUCAGUGCCACAUCAUCGUAUUGUAUAUGUGAACAGUGUCGUGAACAGUACUAUGAACAAUACCGUACAUGUGAACAAUGUCAUUUAUCUUUUUAUGCUCCUUUUAAGGUUUUCGACUGUCCUGAGUUCAAAAUUGCUAUCCGUUUUGCUAUCUGAUCUCUCGUUCAUUAUGAAAUGAUCACGAUGCCCCCUAAAAUACAUAAAAUAUUAAUUAUAAUAAAACACACUUAAUUAAAUCAUAAAAGACUUAAAUACAUAAAAAUAGGAUGUUAGUGAGACUUAGAGUGUAAAAUGACGAUUUUCUCAUUUAUACAUAUACACUUUUUAGCACUCAACAGCAUGCAUUAUACUGCCUUAAUCAAGGCAGAAAUCAAGGUGUGAGUUAACCAGCCUUACGAGUCACGGAUUGAGCAAAUCUACAAGGCGCAAAAUAGACAGUCAUCUGAAACACGAAUUAAAUAACCCUCAGAGGCAUGAACUAUGUAAUUCUUCUAGGUGCGAAUUAUACCACCCUAUAAGACAUGAGUUACGCCACACUCUGAAUCGUGUUAAAAGAAACAGUACUACCAACCGUGAUCUGUUACGGCCUAAAUAGAAAGUAGGUAACCACAAAUUUUCACUAUCUGGCCGACAUGUAGAUAGUAAUGAGUUACUACUGUCUGGAUAAAAGAGUAGGCAAUCAUAGAUUAUUCCAAUUUUGACGCAUUAAUGGGCACAAGUUGCUCAUACAAGAAGAUAUGAAUAAUUAACAUUUGAAUGACCAUAUGAGUCAGUACGAAUCUCUACCACCUAAGCAUAAUUCACAGUCAGUUUAACAGCAGAGCAAGUAAACGCGAGUUAUUGCCACUUGAAUGAUUCCAGCUUACUUGGAGGAACAUCAAUUAUAGGGGUCAGAAAAUAACUCAUGCUAGACAAUGAAGCACAAGACGAAGGCAAAAACACCAUCAAAGUUAAAUAUAGGAAAUUGAAAACAGCCCAAAAAGAGAACAUUACAUGCCAAAAGUACCAGAUGGCAGUAAAGUAAUACAUAAAAUAUAAAAAAUUUAAAUAGAAUUAUUGAAUGUUCAAAGCACCAGUAAAGGAGGUUAAAUCGGCCUUAGCUAACUUUGGGAUAUCACUUGGGUAGAUAGCGGCCAAAGGGGGGAUGUUCAAAGAAGAUUCACCCCCUCUUCAUUUGUUUCUCUACUAACAGGUCUAGAAGUAAUAGCAGUAUCCACAGGAAAAGUGGGCUGAGGUGGAACAUGAGCUGGUUCGUCUUGCUGACCAGUUGGCUUAUCAUCACUAUCUCUAGCCAACUUGUCCUCUGGAGACAGGUCAAAGUCGUCCACUAGGGGAGUCUUAGAAUAAUAAUCAUCCAUGAACUUCAAAUCCCAUUUAGAGUGAUGGUCCUUCAUAACUUUCUUGCAAUCUCGACCCCAACAAAGAAUUCCACAUCUUUUACCUGCUUGAAUUCAGCCGAUUGGAGGUAAGCUUCGAUAUGGGUUUGAUAAUUGUUCUGAAGCUGUUGCCUCAAACAAGCUAUCUCUUCAUCCUUGUUCUUGAUCACCCCGCUACUGAUACUAUGCUCUAAUUUAAACGACUCAUGUACAGACUUGAAGGUUGAAAGUUUGGUCCUCAACUGGAUUAUUUCGCCUGCAACUUUGUUUUUCUCGUUCCUAGCUUUUGAGCAUUCAUUUUCUGAAUCACAAUACAGAUUGUAUAGCCAGGAGUGAAAGCAUUGAAUCCAAGAGUGUAAUUAUCAGGAGUAUAGCCAGAAGUAAAGGCAGGAUCUGAAUACACCACAUUUCCUUGAAAAGCAAAAUUUCUUGUCAUGUAGGUCCAAGACCUCUGCCAAACCAUUAAAUGAUCUGCCUCUGCCAUACUAUCGUUGUCUAAAACCUCCAUUGAAAUUUCCUCCGCCAUAGUUCUUUUAACGUACAAAGAAGAAUUAUAUGUGUUAUUGCACCUAUUUGCUCCAUGUUCAGGGAUGAGGUAUAUUUGACAGAGAAUGUCAACUGGCAUGAGAAUUUCCUCCACCAAUGAAUUUUCCAAAUCCAUUAUUAUUAAAUCCACCAUUUAAGCCACCAAAUUUGAAUUAUUGCCACCUCCAAAAUUACCUUCAAAAUUUCUCUGAACUCCACCACUGUUCUUUCCAGAAUAUGAACCUUUUUUAGCUACAUUUGCAGUCAUAUAAUGCAUAACAUCACUAGCAAUUUCACCUUUCAUUUGCUCAGUUCGAUUUUCAUGAUUCAGAAGUAUAGAAAUACAAAUCAUGUAAGGUGAUUGUUCCUUCUCUGGCUAGAACAACAGUUAUCAAAGAUUCAUAAUCAAAGAAGCCAAGGGCAAUCAACACAUGCAUAACAAAAUCAUUCAAUUCAAUUGGCUUUAAAGCUAAAGAUAGUGUGUCUGCUAUACGUUUGAUUUUAGUAAAGUAAUCAGCCAUAUUCAUAAGUCUUUUCUUAAUAGUCUAAAUUUGCAUUCUCAGAGUUUCGAACUUGAGAUUUCGAGAUAAACAUACUGUUAAGUGAUUCCCAAAGUUACUUUGAAAUUGCACAAUUGAUUACUAUUAAAAGCAAGCUUUGCUGAAUAGAUGACAUCGUCCAACUUAGAAAAAGUUGAUCAACUUUUAUCCACGCUGUAAGCACAGGAUUUACAGAUCUAGAUCCACUUUCAACUGAGGCUCUAGCUCCGUUACUGCUCUCAGGUCCGCUCUGGACAGUUUUGAUCUCCAUUAAUGAAGCCUUCUAAUCCAUUUCCUUUAAUUGAAGCUAAGACUUGUGUAUGCCACAUAAUGAAAUUAUUUUGAUCGAGUUCAGCAUGUGUAGCAAAGCUAUAAGAUGAACUAGUUUGAGUCAUGCUUACCAUUGUUGGCUCUGAUACCAUGUUAAAAUCUUAAGAAACUGUGUUUAGCAAGCAAGAAAACUAAAAAGAAUUGAAAGAAAAUUCAGAAUAGAAACUUGUAGAAGCUUCUCAUCAGAAUUGAUUAGAAUGAGAACAGCUUACAUUUAUAUAGCGUGCUAAAAUGAUUUGCUAUAAGUUGUUAAUAAUUUGUCAUACACAUGUGCAUUAAGCCAAACCAAUUAACUAACUAUGCCACAUCAACUAAGUGAGCUAUUUUGCUGCUGUUGAUCAUACAAUAAUAGCAUGUACUCCCUUCCUUUGCUCUUCACGUAUUAUCAGCUUCAUUUACAGGUUAUUAUUGUAAAAAAAAUAAUAAUAAAAAGGAUAGUGGCGUAAUAUAUUCAGCAACAAGGGUAACUUAAGGUAUCAUUUUAAAUAUAGAAACUAAACGGGCACUUAACUCAAAAUAUAGGACCAAGCUAGUAUUUAUCCUUGUUUCGUUUAAUAUCUCUGCCUCAUAAUAAAAGGCUAUGCUUUUAUUUGUAAUCUUCAUGAAAAAAUAACUUCAGUUUUUUAGCGAACUCAAACUUCAAAUUCUUUAGCACCAUCAAUUUUUUUUUCAUAACUAUAGAUUUUUCUUUUUCAUAUCAGUUGUAGUUUUUAAGUCACUCAUCUCAAUAUAAAAAAGGACCUUAGUUGAUGAUUGAAGAUAUUAAAAAAAAAACCAACCAAAAAUAUUAAAAGUGAUGAUAAUUAGGAGAAGAAAGGAGGGGAGGGAAUCGGCAUCCGGUUACUUAUUAUUAAUACUCUACUUAUGUACAUUCUCAUUCCCAUCAUAAUUCUUCAAAGGAGGGGAUGACGAUCCCCAAAUAAUAAAAGAGAAUCCCAUAGGGUACCUAAUUCCCAAAUAAUUGAUAUUUUUAUUUUCUUAUCUUAAUAUAAUCAUAUUAAAGUGAAAGUACAAAAUUGUAUUACCAUACAAAAGCAUCAAAAUAAACUAGUGCAACUUAAAUAAUUUCCAAUAAACUAAGUCAAUGUCAUCAACAUUACAAGAUAAUUUAUGAAAUUAAGCAAAAGCAAAUCUUCACAUUUGGAUACAUCCAUAAAAAUGAAAUUAUCUCUUGCAUUAACAUUUAUCCAUUAUAAAAGUCACAUGGUAUAAAUUAUCAACAAAAUUGUCUCUUAUAUAUGAAUAAAAUAAUUAUGGCAAAUUUCAGUCAAAUGUUUAUAUUAGCUCUUACUUACAUCAUUAUUAUAAACAUGUAUUUGUUAUUUACAUAUGUACUAUUAAAAUUUAAGUUUUAAAUGUAUUUAGAAAGAAAGACACCCACACCUCUGAAGUUUACUUAAAUGGUUAUGUAGACUCUCUUAGUUUUAUAAAUAAUCACAUAAACCCCUUUCUAACUAUUAUAGCCUUGGAUUUUAAUAAGAGAAAAAUUAACUUUAAAUAAAUAAAAAAUGUAAUAUUUAAAAUAAUAUAAUUUAUAAAAAAAUCAUAAAUUACAAACUAUUUUGAAUAUUAGACAGAAUUAUUUUAAUAUUUAAUAUUAAUAAAAUCUUUUUCACAAAUUAAUACUAUAAAAUAAUUGUGUUUAACAUUCAAAAUAACUUACAAAAUCUAUACCAUAUAUAUUCUUUAAAAUAUUUUUAUACUUUUGUCUAUAUUAACAUAAGUUUAAAGCUAUCUUUUGGAUUAAAUGAUUUAAGUACUAAUAAAAUCUAUGAUGAAAUAUUGACAAUAGCUUAAUACUAAAAGUCAUUUGCAUGAGAUAUAACUGUCGUUAUAUUAAUUAUAUUUGUUUUAAUAUUUUAAUUGUAUUUAUAUGCUAUUUUAUAUCUUGCUCUUACCUUAGAAUUGUAAUUAUAUUUAUCAUAAAAGUUUUGACUAUAAUCCAAGGGUAUAAACAUGAAAAAAAUAAUCUAUGUGACCAUUUAUAAAAUUAAAGGAGAUUUUGAUAUUAUUUAAGCAAACAUUUGAGGUGUCAAUGGCUUUUUCCUAAUGUAUUUCCUAAAAAUUUUAGGAAAAAUAAAAAAGGGAAAUAUGAAAAUUUCAAUGAAUCUCCCUUUUCUUUUUCAAAAAAGAUAUUAGGUCUUAAGUUAUUUUUUCCGUUUUUUAAAUAAAGCAUUAAAUAUAAAUCUAUAUCCAUAUCACCCCAAAAUACGAAAAUUCCUCAGGAAUUAUCGUUCCUAAACAAGAAUCUUUGCCAUCCCUAACUCUUAUGCACAAAGUUUAUGUUGCUACAAGAAGUCAAGAACGACUUCGAUGGGUCUACCGACAUUAUUAUAAAUGGACCCCGAUUACAUUUAAAGUCUUCGGCUUCUUUCCCAUUUUCUUCUUCUUUUUCAUAAACAUGUUUUCUAACCCUUGUUCGGUUACUUCACGAAUACGACUGUUUGUGAUAUUCAUUUUUAUGCUUACUUGAGUGCCGCCGGCCGCCGUGAGGAUGACAAUGCAAUCACAUGAGAAAUUUUUCCGAACGCAUGAAAAAUUAACACCUGUCAACAAAUCUUUUGUUACAUAAUAUUUGUAUUUAAUAUGCUAUAAAUAAUUUGAACAUCUAAUAGAAAUAAAUUAAGUUAUUAAUUAUAUUAAUUUAUGACCAAAUAAUGAGCAUGGCCUUUUUUGGUAAUUAUAUAAGUACACUGCACUUUUAUGAUUAAUUUACUAAACAAAUAUAAUAAAUUAUUUCAUAAUUGAUUGUCUCACCAUCUACAUUUUUCAAAAACCUUGGAAAAUUAUUUGUGUUUGAGGAAUUAAAUAGAGCGACCAUGAUCUCCUCCGAGUGAAAGUGAGCAAAUGGUUGAGCAGGUCACCUUGACCAUGUGGUAUGAGCUUGAGCAGAUCACCUCGACCAGGUACAAUGAGGUUGAGCAGAUCGCCUUGACCAGGUGGUGUGAGCUUGAGCAGAUGAGCAUGUGGUAUGAGCUUGAGCAAAUCACCUCGACCAGGUGCUAUGAGGUGGAGCAGAUCACCUCGACCAGGUGCUAUGAGGUGGAGCAGAUCACCUCGAUCAGGUGCUAUGAGCUCGAGCAGAUCACCUCAACCAUGUGCUAUGAGCUUGACCAGAUCACCUCGACCAGGUGGUCUAAACUUGAGCAGAUCACCUCGACCAGGUGAUGACCAGGAAUAAAGACUCAAUUAAAAUAAACCACCACAAAGAUCCUCCGAAAAAUCAGGGCACGAAUUUGAUCAAUUAAUGGUUAUUGGCACGAUCUAAGGUCGUGGGUGUGGGGUGUUUAUAAAAACCCCGAGAAAACCACGCCAAGGAGGCUCUUAAUUUCUCUUGAUCUGACAGAGAAAUUCUUUCUGGAUACUCGACUUUACUUUCCUGCAAAUUAGUCAAAAAGCUUUGGGUUUUAAAGCAAUGUUUAUUAAGCCAUAUGAGGAUGGGCAUAUUUGGUUUUUCCUAUAAACCCCAUAACUGACUUGAGCGUCGGAGGGUUUACGCCGGAAAAACUUCCGGCACCUCUGACCAUUCUCUGUAAUUUCAGGUACUUAUUGAUUGUCAGUUUGAAGAUUAUAUGCUCAUGAAUGUUCUGCUCAUAGUCAGAGAAUAUUCUCGGAGAUCAACCAUCAGCUUCCCACCAACAAAUUUAAUGCUGAUGCAGGGAUCUGAAACUGAGUCACUAACCAACUGGUUCAGAUUUCGGCAUCAACAAUUUGCAAAGUUGACUAUUUGAUCAAAAGUUCAAUUUUUUUAACAGAAAUUAAUGUUGGGAGUAUUUGAACUUAUUAAUUUUUUUUUUUAAACAAUCAAGAGAUACAUAUAUUACAAACUAAAUUCUAUUGGUAGUCUAGAUAGUUGUAUUUCUAACACACCCUAAAAAUCGGCCUAUUACUAAUUCCAUAUUGAAGAGAUAUAUAUUAUAUAUCCACUUUUAUUUGGAUAAGGAAAUGAGAUGCGUGAGGUCACCAUUGGGCUAUGUCAACCUUUGCUCCAAACAUUCACAAUUAUAUUUAGUAUUUUCUCGUGCUAGGUGAUUCAAUUACAUUGAAUUAUAUUAAUGUUGUCAUGUGUUUGGUGUAACGCGAGAUUGGUCAAGGUUUUAUAUAAAAUUUACAUUAUUAAAAUGAAAAUAAAUAGUUGGAUAUUGGUUUAAAUUUUAUUAUAGAAUUUAUAAAUAUUAUUACCAUGUAUUUUUUUCUGUCUUCUAAUUUAUCCCUUAAUUAAUAACAUAAGAGAUCUGUUAUUGAGAAAUUAUUAAUUAAUAUUAAUUUUCAUUCAAUAUUGCCCCCGUAGAUCGAAACAGCGUCAGUUAAGAGACUCUUUCGUUUAUGUUAGCGAUGAUCGAAGCUUCAUUUGAAAGAGAUGCUUUACGGAUUAUUUAGCUUAUGUCAUUAAUAAAUAUACAUGAUCAUAACUAAUUUCCAGCUUCUGGUGAAGUUAAAAUCGUUAUUUUUCCAUUUUGUGAUUCAAGCAUGUAUUUUUAAAAUUUUAUAAUUAAGUUUAAUAAAUUGAAUGGUAUGUGAGUAUCAUUUCAUUACAUUUACAUCUCUAUCUUUAAUUUUAAGGAAGCUAUAUUAGCUGAUAUUUCUAACAGACAAUCGAAUCUGUUCUAAAUAGAAAAAUAGAAAUCCUUUCAGCCAAAAAAAAAAAAAUUCCUCCUUUGAAUCUGGCGACAAAGGAUAACUUGUUUUUUUUUUUUUGCGAAAAAUUGUUCAAAACAAUAAGAGUAUAUCUUGUUUGUAAAGAGAGCACUCCUUUUUUUUUUUGAUAUUUCUAUCUGAUUUAACCAAUGAGUUAGAACGAAUGAACGAAUCAGUCACUACAAGGAUAUUGGUAUUUAGCAAUGAAAAUAUUUCUAUUGCUGUAAGUACUUUUUAGCAACGAAAAAAACUUUUGUCACUAAAUUCAUAAUAGAAAAAAUAAUAUUUAAUUAUCACUUUUAGUGAUGAAAGAUUCGUUGUCAAGGAGGACAUAUUGCGACCAAAAAUUUUGUUCAUCGCCAAAAAAUUAAGCGGUAAAAAAAAUGUUGAUGCCUAAACCUUUAGCGACCAAAAUUUGAUAUAUGACGAUGAAUAAUUUUCAUCGCUAAAUAUAGUUUUAGCGACGAAUAUAUUUCGUCGCUAAAACUCCUUGAUAUGCCAAAAAAAGUAUGUUUCAGCAACGAAACUAAAUUUCGUCGCUAAAAAUUGUUUUAGCGAUGAAAUCUAUUUAUUGCUAAAACUUUUUUAUAUGCAAAAAGAACAUGUUUCAAUAACAAAACUAAAUUUCGUAACUAAAGCUCUAUGAUAUGCCAAUAGAGCAUGUUUUAGCGACGACACUAAAUUUCGUAACUAAAUCUCUAUGAUAUGUCAAAAGAGUAUGUUUUUAGCAAUAAAAAUAAAUUUCAUUGUUAAAAAUAGUUUAUUUCGUCGCUAAAACUCUUUUAUAUGCUAAAAGACCAUAUUUUAGCGAGAAAAAUAAAUUUCAUUGAUAAAAAUAGUUUUGGCGACGAAAUCUAUUUGUCACUAAAACUCUUUGAUAUGCUGAAGAGCAUGUUUUAGGGACAAAAAUUAGAUUUCAGUGACGAAAUUUGUAUUGCGUCGCAAAAAAAAUGUGUAAAUUCAAAAAAAAAAUUUGACGGAUGACUUUUCACCAAAAUUUAAGACUUUUAGCGACAAAACUAAAUUUCGUGACUGCAUGUGUACUUUUAGAAACGAAAAUUAAGUUUUCUGGCUAAAUGUGCACUUUUAGCGAUGAAAUAUUCAUUUCAUCACUAAAAAUGUCAAAAUUUAAAAAUUUUUAGCGGGCUAUUUUCCGCCAAAGUUAAGUUUUAGCAAUGAAUUUUAAAAUUCGUUGCUAAAAACUCUUGUAGCCUAUUUACAUAUCAUUUACUUCAUUUCUUUCGUUAAUUCUUUCAUUCUCUCAUUCCCUUACUUUAAUUCUUUAGUUCUCUCGUCUCUAAAUAUGUAAUUUUUAUUUUCUAAUUUAAUCUCUACUUCUUUUCUCUUUUAUUUUUGAUGUGGUGUAAUUUUUUUUUUAUCUUAUUUAUUUCAACUUAUAUUAUUAUUAUAUUUGUGUUUAUUAUGUUAACUAACUAUUGUGUAUUUAUUUGUAGGGAAUAUUGAAGAUCAAUUACAUCAAGAUGAAGAAAAUUAAGAAAUUUAUAUUCAUUUGUAACAAUUUUCUUUCAAAAAAUAGAUAUUAAAUUUUGUAAUUAUUUUUGUAUUGUUCAUCAAUAAUAAUAAUUAUUUUUAAAAGUAAUUAAUUUUUUUUAUCACAAUGGUUAAUUGUCCUUAUAAUUUAGUAUUAAAAAUAAUAAUAUUUUAAAAAUAAUAAUAUUUUAAAAAUAAUAAUAAUACGAUGAAAUAGUUUUCGUAAUUAUUUUUCGUCGCUAAAAGUUCUUUUGCUGAUGAAAUAGAAUUUGUCGCUAAAAGAGCUUUCGCAUCGUUAAAAGAACUUUUUGCAACAAAAUAGAAUUCGUCCCUAAAAGAACUUUUGGCGAUGAAAUUUAAAAAUUCGACGCCAAAGAACUAACGCGAUCUCCUAUUGCGACGAAAUAGCGAUGAAAAUUUUUUCAUCUCUACAGCCUUUAGCAACGAAAAUGACAUAUUUUAGAGAUGAAAUUGUUCGUCGCUAAGACCUUUAUUUAUUGUAGUGAUUUUUUAUCGUCACUAAGACAUGAUUUUUUAAAGCGUCUGCUUUUAUGUUAUUUUAUAGGGUUCGAAUAGGAUGACGACUUCUAAAAUAUCAGUAUUAAUUUAUUAUUAGUUAGGUGAGAAAUAAGAUAUUUAAUUCUAUAAACUAUUGUACAACAAAUGAUUACAAGUAACGAUCAGUCAAGUCAAUGUGUGUGUGUGUGUAUACAUAUACAUAUACAUACACAUACAUACAUACAUACAGCUAGAAAAAUGUCUUAUUUGUUUUGUCAUUUUUAACUUUCCGGUCAAAUACGAUUGCACUUGGAAUCUCGGACCCACCAAAAAGUUUUCCAUUGAUAAGGACCGAUUGCAACUUACAGACAGAUACAAAAAAAUGUAAAUACAAUUCCAAGUCCUUUCUGAAGUUCUCGCCCUGUUCUAUACGUAAUUUAUGAAAUAUUCGUCGAUUCUACAUAACAAGUGGGCCUUAUCUGCUCGACUAAUUGCUCGUAUUUUUUGUUUUUACUGUUGUUCAUAUCUGCUAGUGGGGUUUUUCGAAAUCAUUGAUUUUUUUUUUCAUUUGAAAUUAAUAUCAAAACACAGCACCAUACUUUUUUCUGUGUAAUUUAGAACUAUCGCAUAAUGUUUUCUAUUCGGCCAUCGAUUAUUUAAUUGAUAACGGCCUAGCGGUCACGUGGCUAGAAAUUCUCUUCUUCUAUUUUAAUUAAAUUUCGUAUAUACUUCUCAUUUUUUGCGAGUAUAUUGAAGACCAAAAUAAUAAUAAUAAUAAUAAUAAUGUAUUACUUCCCAAAUUGCCUUCAUUAUAAUAUUUGGCCGCAAAACUAAUAAAACUGACAAAAAUUGCAAAGAAUAAAUAAAAAUUUAAAUUAAUUGAUAAUGGGAGAAUUACCAUUAAAAAAAAGAUUGAACUAUUUUUUAGGGCUUCUAACCCUUUUAUCUAAUACCGUUAAUAGAGGAUAAAGUUUUAGAUUUAGGGAUUCCCUUAAGGUGUGUUUGGCAUACCUCAAUACAUGGGAUUACAUUAGUUAAUGCAAUGCAAUCCCAUAUUUGGUAAAUCUUCCUAUUCACAUUAUGGUGUAUUACACAAUACACCAUAAUAUGAGGAGUGCCACAUUAAAAUAACUUGAGGGGGGUUGGAUUUGUGUAAUACGAUACUGUUCACAUUUGUUUUUUUUUAAUUUCUUUAAUUAAAAUAAUAAAAAAUAAAUAAAAAUGUAUAAUAUUUAAUUAAAUUAAAAACUCAAGUAUGUAGUCUGCCCGUGUGCAUAACUUCAUGUUUUGCACAAAAAUUUAGUACUAUUAACAUCCUUAUUGCUGAGGUUAAAAAAUAAUGCAAUUAUUCCCAGUACAGUAAUAAAAUUUGAAGACCAAAACUUUGACCGUACAUAUAUGACGAAUGAAAAUUUCUUUGUUGUAAUAUUUGUACCAUUGCAUAGCCCUGACAAUAAUGAUUCUAAUGAUAUCAAAAUAUAGUUCAAAUGACAGUAAAGUACGAUUGUCAACAGUGAAAAGCUUUUAUUUGAAUUAUAAAAGUUUAAAUUAUUAAUUAAAUAUAAGUAAUAAUAAAAUAUAAAUGAAUCUUAGAUUAGUAAUUUAAUAUAAAUAUGAAAAUAAAAAAAUAUUAUUUUAUAUAACAUAGUGCAUAUUAUAUCAAAUAUAGUAUCGCAUUACAGUUUAAUACAAUAUAAUGCAAUACAAUACAAUGUGUCAAAAACACGUUUAAAACAAAAUGUCACAACCACAAGAUUAUUUGGUAGGCCUACUUGUGUCAUCCUUAGUUUUUUUUUUUUUUUUGUGCCAAAUAGUAUAUUGGGAUUAAAUUUUAACAAAAUUAGUCUAUUCCACCAUCCUUAACUGCACCCAAACAUACCCCAAGGAUUAACUAUGAGAAAACUUUAAUAAAGACUUAUGGUACGUAUACUUGGAAUUGAAAUGGGCAGAAAUUGGAACGAGCUGUAAUCAGAAAAGACUGAAAUUGAUCACAUGAGGAAUGAGAAUUAAAAUAAAUUGUUUAUAUAAGCCAUAAGAAUCAAAACCAACAAUAUUACAACCGAUGUAUUUAAUUCUAUCUUGUAAUUCAAAUAAAUCAUUGCAAGUUAUAAAAAUACACCUAGUCAUGAUUAUGUAUUUUUCUAUUACAAAAUAAAUAAACAAAUAUUUUUAAAGAAAACAUAAGCAUAUUUAUUAUAAUAUUGAGCGUAAUACAAUGAUUUUUUUUAGUAAACUAGUUUUUAUUAUUAUUAUUAUUACUACUACUGCUAUUCAUGUUGCUAUUAUUAGUAUUAUCAUUGUUAUUAUUAUUUUUCUUUUAAUAAUCAUAUAUCUAUCCCUACCUAUUAAUAGGAGAGAAAUUAAAGCCCUAAUUUUCUAUUAAUUUAAUUCCUCUUAUUACUAGAACAGGAACCAAAGUUCUAACACUAACUUUUUGUUGUUUGUAGGACUGAAACCUACGCCCCUCAACUUUCAAAGCGUAAGUUCUCCCAUUAGAUUACAAAGCUGGCCUAUGUUAUUGUUAUUGUUACUAUUAAUACUAUUAUUAUUAUAAUUGAUUGUUGUUGUUAUUAAAUUAAUAUUAUUAAGAUUAUUUAAAUAUAUUAAAGGGAUAAGAUCGGAAUUUUAGAAAUUAAAUGAGAGUAAAAUGGUUAAUUAAAAGAACAAAUAUCUUAUUCCCAUCUCCCCAUGGGAAUGAGAUUCCCAUUCCCAUCUCUAAAUUUUAGUGGACCUCACAGAUUUUUUUCACAUUCUCAAAUACCAAAUAAGCAAAAAAAAACAAUGGAAUCAUUCCCGUUAGUUUAUUCCCAUUCGUCCACUCUUAUUUCCCAUUCCAAUACCAAGAAAUAAACAUGCCUUUAAUAGAAUAUUCAAAUAAAAAGAGAAGCCGGGCCCCCAGAACUGACGUCGAUCAAUUAUCUCUUCAGAGUUAGAAAUAUAUGUUAUUUGUUUUGUCAAUUUUUUUUUUUCCUUCCCAUAUGAUUACACUUGAAUCUUGGACCAGCAAAAAGUUUCCGUGGACAAGGACCCAUUGCAACUUAUAAUAGACAAAUACAAAACAAAAAAGUUAAUAUUUCUAGUCCUUUCCCUCGUUAUAGACAGCUGGCAAUGAUGAUGGUACCCCGGAUUUUUCUGAGAUUCUCACCCUGUUCUACACGUUCAUAAGUUUAUCAAUAAAGACUUAAGUAUAUUCUUGUUGCACAGUAUGACUAAUUUUCAAAUUUUAAUCUGAGAAACUGAAAUGAAGUGCCUUCCAGUCUUCAAUUUCUUUUACCUAUUGUCCUUCAUAUCAGUCAUUGAGUUGUCAUUUGGAGGUGAUACCAUUACCAUAGGACAAUCCAUCUCUGAUGGUGAGACAUUAGUCUCCUCUUCCCUAAGAUUUGAGCUAGGCUUCUUCUCUCCAGGCAAUUCGAACAACAGGUAUCUUGGAAUAUGGUACAAGAGUAGUCCGAGGACUGUUGUAUGGGUCGCAAACCGAUAUAAGCCCAUUACUGACAAGAACGGAGUUUUAACUCUGAGCAACAACGGAAGCAUUUUACUUCUCAACCAAGAAAGGAGCACUAUCUGGUCUUCAAAUUCGUCAAGAGUGCUAGAAACUGCAGUGGUGCGGCUCUUAGAUUCUGGAAAUCUUGUUCUCAGAGACAAUGUCAGCAGAAGUUCUGAUGAGUACAUGUGGCAGAGCUUUGAUUAUCCAUCAGACACGUUGUUGCCAGGCAUGAAGCUGGGAUGGAACUUAAGAACUCGUUUUGAGAGAUAUCUGACAGCAUGGAGAAAUGCUGACGAUCCAACCCCUGGAGAAUUCAGUUUCCGGUUCGACAUUAGUACAAUGGCUGAAUUGGUGACUGUCACGGGAUCAAAAAUAGAGGUGCGAAGCGGACCAUGGAAUGGUCAACAGUUUGUUGGCAUUCCAAUGUUUUUUCCCAGGUUAAAAAACAAGGUUUACAUACCAAUGUUGGUGCGUACAGAAGAUGAGGCAUAUUACACAUAUAAGCCUAUCAAUGACAAAGUAAUUCCAAGAUUAUACUUGGACCAAUCAGGAAAAUUGCAGCGCUUUGUAUGGAAUCAGACGAGCUCUGAAUGGCGUAUGUCGUACUCGUGGCCAUUUGAUGCAUGUGACAAUUAUGCACAGUGCGGUGCUAAUAGUAACUGCAGAAUUAGCAAAACACCUAUUUGUGAGUGUUUGGCGGGGUUUAUAUCCAAACCACAAGAUGACUGGGAUUCACCUUACUCUAGGAGAUGUGACAGGAAACCAUCAGACUGCCCGAGUGGAGAAGGGUUUCUAAAGCUUCAAAGAAUGAAACUACCUGAAAAUUAUUGGUCAAACAAAAGUAUGAAUCUCAAGGAAUGUGAGGCAGAGUGCAUUAGGAACUGUUCAUGCCGAGCUUAUGCAAAUUCAGAUAUUACCGGAGGAGGUAGUGGUUGUUUGGUGUGGUUUGGGGACCUGAUUGAUAUCAGAGAGUGUACGGAAGAAUUCAGCUGGGGACAGGAUAUUUUUAUUAGAGUACCAGCUGCAGAUUUAGGUAAGUGUUUUAAUUGAUGUACAGCAGCUUAUUUCAUUUUUAUUACUGUUUUAGAGUUCGCCCACAAGUCCCCUAGCCAGAAUGUGAAUUAAAAUUAGUAUUAGCUGAUUCCUAUACUCAAUAGUUUGUUUUUAGAAGGACCUCAGACUAAGAUUGACCUUGUAUGGCAAAACCAAAAUAGAAAAUGAAUAGACCAACAACAAACUGAUCUCUUUUCUUGACGUUUUAUGUUCUAGAAUCAACUCAAUAUUCAAGUAAGCACUCGAAUAAAAAGAAAAGAUUAAAGAUCAUAGUGGCAAUGUCAAUCAUCUCCGGUAUGUUGAUCCUGGGCCUUCUACUCGGCAUGGCAUGGAAGAAAGCAAAGAACAAAGGUAACAUAUUCCUCUGACCUUAUUAAUUUUUAUGAAAAAUUUGAUGGUCAUUCAAACUGCUGCUCUUUUAGCAGUGGUGCUUAUAGGGGGCUAUUAAAUUCAUAAAAGCAGGAGACAUGGGUAAAAUUUGCCCUAUUUGCAUUCAAAAAUUUAUAUUUGUUGAUACCAAAAUUUGGCUCGAUAGUAAGAGUUGAGAAAGAGUUAUUUUACUUGGUGAAUAGGCUAUGAGAAAGCUUGAUGUCCUAGGGAUUGUCAUUAUUGAGAGUGAAGAGCCCAGUGCUCGUAAUCCUAUAAAACAAUAACCCAUUAGGGAUUGUUGGGGUACUAUCAACGUACACCCUCCAAUGUUUAAGUCAGAGAUCGAAAAUAGAAAGAUAACAAAUAAAUAAUAUAAGAGAGAAAAGAAAUUAAGAGAAUGGCCUGGAGAAUAUUGUACCCCCUCCUUUAAUAUACCUAUUUCUCUAUAUCCCACCUUUGAGUGAUGCCCACUUUAUAUAAGAGAGAUAAUUAGAAGUAUAAUUAAGUUAGAAAAACUUUUCUUUUAUCUUGUAGGAUUGGAGUUUAGCAAGAAUUAGGACCUAUAUUUUUUAAUGCUGUUUAGAUUAGGAUAUGUUAUUAGAUGUGAGUCCUUGAGUUCGAGGCCCUUUCGUUAUGUCAUUAGGUAGAAUUUGGUAAAAAUAUAGGUAUAACAUGAAUCCCCAAAUUAUAGUAUUCACGAAUUUACAAGUGAAUGCUGUAAACUGAUAUAUUUUAUAGUAUGUUAGAUUUUCUUAUUGUCCCUUGUAUGAUAUAAAGACAUCUCAAGUGUUGUGAGGAAAUCUUGAACGACAUGAGUGAAUCUUAAAUAUGAUGAGGAAAAUCUCGAAUGACAUGAGAGAAACACGAAUGACACGAGGAAAUCUCGAGUGUCAUGAUGACAUCUUGAAUGGCAUGAGGACAAUAUGAAUGACUAGAGGAAAUCUCGAAUGCCAUAAGGAUAGCUUGAAUAACUUGAGGAGUUCUCACAAUAUGGGUCAUAAAACAAUUUGAAUGGCAUGAGGAUAAUAUGAAUGACAUGAGCAAAUCUCAAAUGUUAUUAGGAUAACUUGAAUGACAUGAGGAGAUUUUGAAUGUUACGAUAUGGGUCAUAAAAUUAAAAUAAUACUGCAAUAUGGAGGUAUAAAUUAAAAUAAUAUUGCCAUAAGCACCAUUAGAUUAAGAUAAUGCCACAAUAAAGGGCCAUAAUUAAUAUAAAAAUGAAGUCGUGAUAAGGGCCAUAAUUAAGAUACAAAUGAUGUUGUGAUAAGGGCCAUAACUAAGAAAAAAAUGAUGCCGCGGUAAGGGCUUGCAAAAUGUGCUGCGAUGAGGGCCAUAAUUAAAAUAAAAAUGAUACCGUAGUAAGUGCUUGCAAAUUAUGCUGCGAUAAAGGGCCAUAAUUAAAAUAAAAUGAUGCCGCUGUUGAUGCGAGAUUCUGGUUUUCUGCUCGUCCACGACCAGGAUCUCUCCUCAACUAACUCGUUCACGACCAGGAUCUCUCUUCGUAAGACUUCCUCUCCGCAAACUCCUGUGUACACAAAGACAGGUCAGAGCACGCCGGGUGUUUUCCCGGCGUAAACCCUCCGACGCUCAAGUCAGAAACGUAGGCUUUGCCUUUCUGGGAAAAACGGCCACUAAUCUUAUGGCUCUUUUAUGAUUUCUCAAUAGAAAGCUAUUUUCCUUAGUUCUAAUCUCAAAAAGUCUAACCCGUUUACCUUCGUUGGUCACCUUUUUAUAGCCUUCCUCUGAAUACGGCCCUUCCUGCAAUCCACGUCCAUCACCCCUCUCAACACUCGGAAGUGGGUGCGUCAUUACCGUAGUUUUGGCUGAGUGGAUUUCGUGCCUUGAUUCUCGGGCAGCAAUGCAUCUCUUGCCAACCGUCAUUGACCAUGUCUCCCCCCCUUAACCUCUAGCAGGAAUGGCCUUAUGCUCCUAGCUGGAGGCCGACUUCCGCUAUGGCCCCGUGGAGGGUGCAUUUGUGAACGAGCAGAAAAUUCCUGUUCGUGGUCACCUGCUACCAUACUUCUGCAGAAUACUCCUGUUCGUAACAUCCCGCUACCAGACAUUUUCUCAUCAUGGUUGGUCUUGUCGAAGUUUACCCCCCAAACAUCGGUCCCUCAGUUUCUGAUGUUGGGUAAUGUAGUGGACUGACAGUAGAAACUCAACAGUUCUGGCUUGCGCAGGAUAGGAAAAGGCUGUCAGGAGUCGUGUCGCAUUUAAUUACGGGCGAAGUGAUGUGGCAGAGAUCUAUCCCUCCAUUUGAAUUUCAAACCGAUGGUUAUGAAACCCUUGGAAAUCGUGCCGUUAAAUGAUGACAGCCCAAGAGUUUGCUCCUCAUUAGGGAACCCAAAAUCCCAAAAGGGAAACUCAUCUCUAAGCCCUCUUCUACCUCUAUCCACUUCGUGAAAUAGUCUAUCGCUACUAUUGCAUGUGUUGCUGUUCCUCGUCCCUUUGGCAACGGCCCAAUCAAAUCAAUUCCCCAUUGAGCAAAUGGCCAUGGCGAGGCCAUAGAAGUGAGCUUCUCUGGUGGUUGGGUAGAGAAAUUUGUAAAACUCUGGCAACUCACGCAACUCAUGGUUUUCUCCUGCGCAUCUUGGUGCAUUGUCGGCCAGAAAUAUCCCUGCCUUAGAGCCUUGUGGGCAAGGGAUCUCGCGCCAGAAUGAUUUCCGCAAACUCCUUCAUGUACUUCUCUCAGUACGUAAUCUGCGUCGUCCUCAUCCAAACACCGAAGGAACGGUAGGGUAUAUCCCCGCCGAUAUAAUACCCCAUCCAUCAUUAUGUACCUCAACAUUUGGGCUUUGAUCUUUCGAGCUCGUAACUUAUCUGGUGGUAAUACCCCAUCCCUGAUGUACGAGAUUAUCGGGUCCAUCCACGAGCAUUUCUGUUCUAUCUGCAACACCUCCAAAUUCUGCUUGAUGCUAGGGCUGGACUUCACCUCCAAAGGGAUCGACUUAGGCAUUUUUGGAUCUGCUACCGCUGCCAUCCUGGCCAGAAUAUCUGCUCGACUAUUCUCCUCCCUUGGGAUUUGUAUCACCUUAACCGCCUCAAACUUCCCCAUCAUCUGUUUGACUUUCUUCAAGUACUGUUCCAUUUUCCCAUCUCUCGGCUGAAACCUUUCACUGACAUGAUUUGCAACUAGUUGGGAAUCAGUUCAGAUUUUCACCUUGUCCGCUUUCACUGCCUUAGCCAAUUUCAAGCCCGCUAUUAGAACUUCGUAUUCUGCCUGGUUAUUUGUGGCUGUGAACUUCAACCUUACAGCAUAAGAGAUCUCCUCCCCUUAUGGGUCCUCCAAAACAAUCCCUGCUCCAGACCCCUGCUCCCCUGAGGAUCCAUCCACCGACACCUGCCAUACCCGAUCUUCGUUGUUGGCUGUAGCAGCAUCCAGCUGGUCGAAGCCUACUUUGGGCUCUGCGAAUUCUGCCACAAAAUCGGCCAUUGCCUGGGCCUUUAUUACUGCUCGGGGUUUAUAACUUAUAUUGAACUCGCUCAACUCUAUGGCCCAUUUCACUAGCCGACCAGAAGCAUCCCGCUUGUGGAGAGUCUGGCGUAACGGUUGGUUUGUUAUUACCGAGACGGGGAAUGCUUGAAAGUAUGGCCUCAGCUUCCGAGCAGCAACCAUAAGAGCAAGUGCGCAUUUCUCUAACGGUGGAUAUCUGGUCUCGAGUAGGGCCUUGCUUGUGUAAUAUAUAGGAUAUUGAACCCCUUCUUCCUCUCUCAUUAGAACAGAACUCGUGGCAUGAUCCGAUACCGCCAUAUAUAAGAACAGCACGUCCCUCUCCUGCGGUGUGGACAACAAAGGUGCUUGCUGCAAAUAUUGCUUCAAAUUUUGGAAGGCUUCUUCGCAUUCAGGGGUCCAUUCUGUUUUCUUUCCCCUUCUUAUCACUUGAAAAAAUGAGAUCUGCAUUGUGUCCAACCUAUGGCAGGCGACCUCAGGGUCGAUUCUCGGCGUGUCUUCAUGUGUCCAAGCAAACACAUCUGCGUGAGCUCGCAGGCAAUGCACCAGCUCUCGUUUAUGCUCUUCUUUAAGCCUCGACCCGAUUCAGAUUGUUUUUCUUGAAUCACCUUGUUCCAAGCUCACUAUUUCCAGCUCCUCUAUAGGCUCUUGUCUGCCAUUCUUGACUUCCACUUGAGUAUCAAGUGAUGUGAUCUGCAUUGCUUCCCUUGCUGCUGUGGAGUAACAGCUUCGGGCAAUUCUCUGGUCUCCUCAUACCACCCCAACUACUCCAUUCACUCGAUACUUGAGAGCUAAAUAAUGGUUGGAAAGUACCGCUUUGCUCAUCCUCAGAAAAGGGCGGCUUAAAAUCAUCUGGUAAGGACCCUCUUCAUCGACAACCACAAAAUCCAGGAUCAUAGUCUUUUCUGUUGGGGAGCUGCCAAUUGUGAUGGGCAGUUCGACCACGCCUAGAGUAGAGGAACCAGCUUUCCUCCACCAAAUCCCUUCAAAGAGGUAUUAGUAUGCUCUAACCUCAGGUCUGCUAUUCCCAUCUCCUCCAGAGUUGAGUUGAACAGAACAUCGACUGAGCUCCCCGUAUCUACCAGAAUCCGGUCAAAAUUCUUGCUAGCAGCAGUGCCUUUAAUGACUAAGGCAUCCUCAUGUGGAUAUAGAAUCCAUUCCUCGUCCUCAUCUGUCCACAUGAUAAGAACUUGCCUGAUUCUUGCUCGCUUGGCUGCUGGGUGUUGAAGAACACUUCUUUGCUUGUCAUGGCAUACCUAGCGUAGUUCUUCCUCGAUCUGUUGGAAUCUCCCGCCAACGUUGGGCCCCCAAUAAUUACUCUUACUAUAGGCUGCUCGUGGCUCAUGUUCCUAUCACUCUGCUCCCCUUCACAUGACGAGGCCAUCAUCGGGAAUGUCCCAUCUACGAAUUUGUCCAGGUAUUAAUUUCUCAUCAAAUCUUCAACCUGAGUCUUGAGAUCUCUGCAUUCGGUUGUGGUAUGACCGUGGGUGCCAUGGAACUUUCAAUAGCGUCCCCUAACUCUCCUGCUGGGUAGCUUUGUUAUUGGGGUAGGGAGGUACAAUAAUCCUCGUUCCUUUAUGGCCUCAUACACCUCGUCUAGGGGCAUCUUCAAGGAAGUAUACCGCCCAUAGUCUUGGCUCUGGUCGAUCAUGUGUACCGCCAUUUCCCUGUUGCUGCCAUUCUGAACUGGAGGGGGUAGCGGUGCUUCUGGUCUGCUUCCUCUACCACCGUGUGGGUGUGGAUGAGGAUAACCAUAUGUCGGGUCAUGCCUUCUCCAUGAAUCCCUGGCUGGUGAACGAGGAAGUUGCGCCCUGCUGCACUGAUAUUGGGGUGGCCUCUGAUGAGGCUGGUAAAAGGUGACCCGGCAUCCUGCACCACUGCCUGAAGCAUGAUGGUCCUUCCUCUUAAUUGGCCCAUUUCCUGGUAGAGCUCUAUUUUCUUUCCUCCUCAACCCUUCCAGCUGAUCUGUCUUAAUCUGUGCUUCCUUUUCCUCCUCAAUCUCUAUGUCCCUCUUGACCUACUCGUAAGCAGCUGAAUAUGUUUGAAUAGCAGGAUUCCUCAAAUUGUACCACAGCCGUCCUAUCUUCACCCAUUCUUUCAAUCCCCUUAAUGCUUGAGGAUGGUUGAAAGCUCCCAAAUCGAGGACAACACGAUGGAACCUUUUGAUGAAUUCCCGAAGGGUUUCCUCCUCUCCCCGCUUCAUGCUCGUCAGCUCCAUUAUGUCAUCUUCAGGCGCCAUUGCCCCAUAAAACUGCUCUGUAAAUUCCUGGCAUAUCUGCUCGAAGGAUUUAACGCUCCCUCGAGGAAGUUUCUGGUACCACUCACGUGCUCGUCCCUCUAGAGACAGUGGGAACACCCUACAUCUUUGAGCUUGGGAUAAUCCUUGCACCCCAGUUAUGUCGUUAAAGCGCUCUAUAUGCACCAACGGAUCGGUUCCCCCCGAGUAUCUAAGGUCUGGGAGGCAAAAAUCCCUCGGAAUGAUUGCCCUCAUGAUUUCUGUUGAGAGCGGGGAUUCUCCGUCCAACAUUAUCCUCCAACCAGGUGCUCUGCUCCGUCCUUGCAUGUCAUCUAUUAUCUGCGCUAAUCUGCGCACUUCUUCUUCCAGUUGUACGGCACGACCAAGGUCACAUGCUGCAACCUGAUCUCGCUCUUGCUCAACAUCAUGCAGGUGUUGCCGGAGUUCUCUUUCCUCUACAUUCGCCACUCUGUCAUCGUUAUCAAAGAUCUGCCUCCCCGGGGAUUGAUCUUCUCCUCUAUGGUUUUCUCCUCGUAGAGAUGAGUUACCCCCCUCACCACCAAAUCUUCUGGUGGUCCGACCUCUCAUCAUAUUGUCGUGCCCUGGUGUCAUUCCGCCACUUCUCACCCCUUCCUCUUGAACUCCCUUUUACUCACUUCUCAGCUCGUGUAGGAUGGUUGUCGGGUCUCCAUCUGUUUCUCUAUCCGUUCCAUCCGCUCAUACAUUGCUUUUUCCCGUGCUUCAUUGGCUAUCUCUCUCAACGUCACGGACUCGUUAAACCUCGAGUCAUCUCCUUGGGCACUACCUCGGCCUACAUCCAUUGUUCCCUCACUUCUUUUCCUCUUCUUCUCUCUAUUAACAGACGCUUUUUGCUCUCCCCCCACAGACGGCGCCAAAAUAUUGAUGCGAGAUUUUGGUUUUCUGCUCGUCCAUGACCAGGAUCUCUCCUCAACUAACUCGUCCACGACCAGGAUCUCUCUUCGUAAAACUUCCUUUCCGCAAACUCCUGCGUACACAAAGACAGGUCAGAGCACGCCGGGUGUUUUCCCGGCGUAAACCCUCCGACGCUCAAGUAAAAAACGUAGGCUUUGCCUUUCUGGGAAAAAAGGCCACUAAUCUUAUGGCUCUUUUAUGAUUUCUCAAUAGAAAGCUAUUUUCCUUAGUUCUAAUCUCAAAAAGUCUAACCCGUUUACCUUCGUUGGUCACCUUUUUAUAGCCUUCCUCUGAAUACGGCCCUUCCUGCAAUCCACGUCCAUCACCCCUCUCAACACUCGGAAGUGGGUGCAUCAUUACCGUAGUUUUGGCUGAGUGGAUUUCGUGCCUUGAUUCUCGGGCAGCAAUGCACGUCUUGCCAACCGUCAUUGACCGGGUCUCCCCCCCUUAACCUCUAGCAGGAAUGGCCUUAUGCUCCUAGCUGGAGGCCGGCUCCCGCUAUGGCCCCGUGGAGGGUGCAUUCGUGAACGAGCAGAAAAUUCCUGUUCGUGGUCACCUGCUACCAUACUUCUGCAGAAUACUCCUAUUCGUAACAUCCCACUACCAGACAUUUGCUCAUCAUGGUUGGUCUUGUCGAAGUUUACCCCCCAAAUAGUCGCGGCAAGGGCUUGUAAAUAAGGGUCAUAAUUAAGAUAAAAUGAUGCCGUGAUAAGGGCUUACAAAAUAUGUCGAGACAAGGGUAAAGACAAAAGUGAUGUCACAGUAAAGGGCUAUUUAACAUCUUUGUGUUCCAAAUUUUCAUGACCUCGGGUCAAUUAGCACUCUGCAAUGUCAUGAGAUCGAGACUUAAGAGCGUGGGUUAGGGUACAUGUUAUAAGAUUGAGGCUUAUGAGCAUAAGGCCGAGUUAUGUGCGAUGAGAUUGAGACCCAGAGUAUGAGAUCAAGAUACAUACCAUAAAAUCGAGAUAAAAAAAGUAUGAGAUAUAGAUACGUAUUACGAGAUCGAGGCACAAGAGUAUAAGGCCAAAAUUUGUAGAAUAAGAUCGAGGCCUCUAGCACACUUAACAGAGAUUCCAAGCAUUUAAUCUUUGUAGCCAUGUGUAUGGUUUUAAUCCAAUCUAGAUUAUUUCGAAUAAUCAAUAACAGAAUAAAUAUUAAAGUGAAAGAAAAUGGGCAAAAUAGUAAAUUUCACAUAGUGAGGGUUUACCUUCCUGGCCACCAGUGGGCGGAGAAUCAAGUGAAAGUGGUCGUGAUAUAGGCUUCAGCCUGCGAAGAGUCCAACGGUGGUGGUGGUGAGUCGUAUCGCGCUGUGGCGGCGGCAGAUCGAGAUCCUUAGCCGCAUGUGCUUCAGCGGCUGUUAGCGACCAAUUUGGUGACUUCUGGUUAGUGUUGAUGGCUGGAAUUUGAAAGCAGCAAAACCCAGGUGACGAUUAGUCGUGAUUCCGGCAUAUGUGCAUUGGGUCUUGGCGGCGGUUUCGCGAAGAUUGUGGUUUCGUGCAGCGGCUUUCUGGACAUUUUUCGGCGGUGUCGAAGAAGGUAUUUUGUUAGCCGGAAUUGGAGGCUUCGAUAGUGGCCAUCGGAAAUUGAAUCGGGGGGGGGGGGUAGUGAUUGCCGCGAGUGGUGGCUUGCUUUGCACUCGAGUUUGGGAAUUUGUACCCAACCCGUUUCCUCUGGUCCAUUGAUAUUUGUUUAUUUAUUUUGUUUUGUUGCUUUUCCGACCUUAAUUGUUGAGAUAUGUAGGCUUUUUGUAUGAUCCCCCAAAAAAUGGCGCGAAUUGUUGGUACUUAAAUUUGAAUCAACAAUAAGAAUCAAAAAAUAAUUAUUUUGGGAAAUAGGUUGUGAGAGAACUUGAAAUCCUAAGAAUUGUUUUUGUUAAUUUAUUUUUUUUUUACUUUUCUACCAUUAUUGUUGGGUUCUUUAGGUUUUUUGUUUCAUCUCCAUAGACAAAGUCAAACUAUUGAUUUCUAAAAUUUGGAUCGACAAUAAGAGUUUAGAAAGAGUUGUUUUAAUCGGGGAAGAAGUUGUAAGAUAAAUUGAUGUCUUAGGAAUUGCUAUAAUUGAGAGUGAAGAGCUAAGUGAUCAUAAUCCUACAAAACAAUAAUCUAUAAGGAAUCGCCAAGGAUAUUAUUGGCGUAGAUCCUUCGAUACUUAAGUUAGAUAUUAAGGGUGUUAUCGGCAUAAACCAUUCGAUACUUAAGUUAGUGAUCUAAAGUAGCACAAUAACAAAUAAAUAAUUAAAGAGGGAAAAGAGAGCAUGAAAAAGGCUUGGCUCCUCCAAUAUACCUAUUUCUCUAGAUACUACCUUUGGGUAGUGACCUCUUUAUAUAAGAGAGAUAAUUGAAAAUAUAGUUAAGAUAGGAAAAUUUAUCUUUUAUCUUGUAGGAUUUGAGUAUGGAGAGAAUUACGACUUGUAUUGUUUAACCUAUUUAGAUUAGAACAUGUUAUUAGAUGUGGGUCCUUGGGCUUGAGCUCCUUUAUGUUAUCAGGUCAAGUUUGGUAAAAAAAUGGGUAUAACAAUAUUCAUUUGUUUCCUUUCAAUUAAUUUUUGCAAAGGUUUUCCACUAAUGGUCUUUAAACAAAUUCUUUACCAAAUAGAUAAUUCUUUGUAUACAUCGAUACCUGUAUAUCUGUCCCAUGAUAUAGAAUUAAGACAACAUGUCACCUAGACCUGGGCCAAGGUAUUUGAACUUGUAAAUUUUUUGUAGGAAGAAGACUUAUAUGUAUUUAGUAUUUUUUUUCAAACCAUACUUCUUUCUCACCUAUGAUUCUGCUUGUACUUGCAAUUUCAUAUUGGUUGGAAAAUACAUAUUUGAUGAAUUAAAUAGUUUCAAUGCUAUUUUCCUGAGAAAACAGGAUACAACAAGAGAACUGGUCAGGAAAAUGAAGAUCAAAAUGAAGACCUAGAGCUACCACUGUUUAAGUUAGCUACAAUUGCUAAUGCCACCGGUAACUUUUCAAUCAACAACAAGCUUGGAGAUGGUGGCUUUGGACUUGUAUACAAGGUAAAAUUGCAACAUGCUAGUGAAAUGAUCCCAAGAAUAAAGUACUUAUUUUACUCGGGAUGGCAUAACUAAUUUCUUCAUAUAUUUUUUUAGGGUACACUAGCGGAUGGACAGGAAAUUGCUGUGAAAAGGCUUUCAAAGAUUUCCGAGCAAGGAUUGAAGGAGUUGAAAAAUGAAGUUAUACUAUUUUCCAAAUUACAACACCGAAAUCUUGUAAAGCUUCUAGGCUGCUGCAUUCAGGGAGAGGAGAAACUGUUGAUUUAUGAAUUCAUGCCCAACAAAAGCCUCGACUCUUUCAUUUUUGGUUCAGAUCCCUCUAAACCUUACAAUUUUCAGCUAGCUUUUGCCUUAAUUAUGGGUGUUUAUUGUAAUCAGGCGCAAUUUUUUCUAAUUUUUUCUUCUUUUAAGGAAAGUUCAAGCUGGGAAUUAUACUAACCUCAACAUCAUAUUUUCUAGAUCAAACAAGACGUACACUAUUAGAUUGGUCCAAGCGUUUCAAUAUUAUUUGUGGGACUGCUAGGGGCCUUCUCUACCUUCAUCAAGAUUCUAGGUUGAGAAUUAUACAUCGAGAUCUCAAAGCAAGCAAUGUGUUACUUGAUCAGGAUAUGAAUCCAAAAAUUUCUGAUUUUGGCUUGGCUAGAACUUUUGCUAGAGACGAAACAGAAGGAAACACAAACAGGGUAGUUGGAACGUAGUAAGUAUUUCCUUUCAUGUGAUCUUUACAACUCACUUGCACUGAUUAAUGAAAAUUAACUUAUAUAUUUUAAUCCUCUGAAGUGGUUAUAUGGCACCAGAAUAUGCUAGUGAUGGGCAAUUCUCAGUAAAAUCUGAUGUCUUCAGCUUUGGAGUUUUAUUGCUAGAGAUAGUAAGUGGAAAGAGAAAUAGAGGAUUUUACCAUUCAGACAACAAGCUUAACCUUAUAGGACAUGUGAGUAAAAUGCACACGAAAUUUUCUGACAUAGUUUAAACUAGUAAAUUAUGGAUGACAAAAGAGUUUUGAUAUGUUGUAGGCAUGGAAGUUGUGGAACAAAGGCAUGCCUUCACAAUUGAUCGAUGCGUGUAUUCAAGACUCAUGCAAUUUUGCCGAAGUGAUACGAUGCAUUCACAUCGGUUUGUUAUGUGUGCAACAGCAUCCAGAGGAUAGGCCAUGCAUGCCCUCAGUGAUUUUGAUGUUGGGCAGUGAGACUGUGUUGUCUCAGCCAAAGCAACCUGGUUACUUAGCGCACAGGAAAUGUACCAGACCAGAUUCUUCAUCAAGCAUGCCUGAAUCAUCUUCCACUAAUACAAUUACGAUAUCUGAAUUGGAGGGUAGGUAGAGAAUCGAUUAGUAGUAAAAUGCCUUAUUCUACAUUUUUAAGAACAAAAUCAGAAAUGUUUCAACCAAAUGGAAAGUUCAGAUAAAUGAUUGAAUAAAAAAUGAUGAGAAUCAUCCAACCAUGUAGUAUAUGCAUGUUGUGGAUCUAAAUACAACGUAUCCUAUUGUUUAUAUAGAAACUAUUAACUAGAGGAACAGUAAACGGUGUUGGAUUGAAAAAAAUGAUUUGCAGGAGAUUGAAUUAGAUAACAACAAGAUGUAAAUAUUGAAACUUUGAUUAUAUAAAAUAUAUGCUAAUACAUUUAUGCGAAUGUUUUGGUGCUUUUGGAGCAUUACUCUUUAUCCAUUUAUUAUUUACCAUGUGUAUAUACAUAUCAUCGUGGUUGGUUAAAACACACACAUGAUAGGGAGUAAACAAAAAAGGAGAAGUGCUCUUGUAAUACCCAAGAAUUUUCUACAUUUUUAAUUGUUCUCAACGUGCUUUCAUAAAUAAAAAACCUUGUGCAAUAGACUUAUUGUCAAUACUAUUUAAUACAUUAUUUUUCUACAUAAACAUAAAAACUAAGGGUCAUCCAUUCAUCUUCAUCCGAUUUUAAAGUUGAUUCUUCACAAACUUAAUUGCUGAAAAUGUACUAAUGUGGCUGUGAAAACUAGAAGAAUUAAAGCUAAUGUCACCAACAAGCGAAUGUAACGGAUAUACUAUGUCUUUUUUAGUCUCAAUUAUUCUUUCAGCAAGUCAUUGAUUUCCUUCAAUCCUACAAACCCGCUUGCUUGCUCUUUUCCUAAUAUAAUCCAAUCUCUAAUUUUCUUUUAAGAACUUGUAAGAUAAAAUUUGUGAUUGAAUAGCGGGUAAUUAUUGUUUUUAAUAAAUUUGAAUCUAUUUUUAUGAAUAGAAAAAUGUUUUGGGCUAUGGCUUAUGGGUUAUUAUUAUUUUUAAUUAAGAGGGGAGGUGGCACUCCGCUACAUCCUAUUAAAAUCCCUUUAUUCAGUGUACCCCAUUAAAUAAUAUUAGAAAAUUCAUCAUAACUAUUAACACCCUUUUUAAUUCUAAAAAUAGCCUUAUUUCAAUUGUUACAAACAACAUUCUCUCUCUGAAAACCCUAAAUACAUGUAUCUUCUUUCUCUUAAUCUUCCCAUCAGUCUUCCCAUUUUUAAUUUGAAUCAAAUGUACAUUCUAAUUUAGAGUUUAAACUAAUCCUCAAGGAAAUAAUUAACUUAUAAGAAAACUAUUAAAAAAGAGAGAAAGAGAGAUUGAUCUUGAAGUUUAUAUGAUAACAAUAGGGUAAUCAUGAUUCAAGAGGUGUUGAAAAUAGAAGAUUGUUGCUUAUAUGGCAGUUAUUGUUGUGUAGACUAGGGUAACCUACAAGUUUAUAAUUUUCAACUUCAAUUGAUGUGUUUCUUCUUUCUUUAUUCUUUCUUUAAAAAUAAAAAAUAAAUAUAAUUCAUUAAGACUAAAAAAGCCGAUUAAGACAAUACAAAAAAUUCAUCUCAUACUCCUAUUUUUGGAUGUCUCUUAGCCAAUUUUGUGUGCAUUUAACUUCAAAAAUAUUUUUGUUGGUUGCUAAUUCUGAAGCAAUUCGUAUUCAUCCAAUCUUGGAUUAGCAAAAAAUUAUAUCCAUAUAGUAGCGAAACAGGAUGGAUAAUGAAUGCAAAGUGUUGGCCAAAAAAACAAAAGAUAAAAUAUGCGGGAAUGGGUAUGAAGAAUUGGUGGAAAGAGAAAUAAUGAUAGGUUUAAAUGAAUUUAUAAAUAUCCUUUAAUGUAAUUUUAACAUAAAGGUGCUUUAUAAGAAUAAUAAAGGAGUGUUAAUUAUAGCUCAACUCUUUAAUCAAAGUGUGAGUUUUACAAUUCAAGUUAAAAUUUAAAGUUUAUGAGUUUAUGAAUGUAUAAAGGGUAUUUUAACAUAUCAAUGGGGUUAAUUAAAAGCCUUCAUAAUUUUCUCUUUUAUUUUUAUUUUUUUCUUUUAGGUAGCUUGAGCCCCUGCUUGUCACAUGUUAGAUGUGCUGCCCCAAAUUAUGAGAAUUGAGAUGAUUUAAUUUUACCAUAAUGUCAUAACAAAAGAUGUUUUAAUAUCUUCGUAGUUUUGUCAAAUUACUUAUCAUUCAAUAAUCAUAUUUACCUCAACUUUCUUCAUAACUACAAUAUUUUUUUCCGCAAUAACUAAUAUAUAUAUAAAGCUAUGACUAAAAGAGUUGAUGUGACAUCACUAUUCCUCAUCCUUUUAUAUUCUCUAUUAUCUAAUAUAUUCAUCAAUAUGUAACCAUUAAAAUAAUUAAUUAUAAGUCUUAGAAACAUUCAUUUCUUUUAUUAUGCUAGCAAUUAAACUUUCAUGACUUAAAAUACAUCAGUCAACUAAUUAAUAUAAGAAGGAAGACUAUUUCAUCUUCCCUCAACAAUAUAUAAAGCUGGGACUAAAAGAGCUAAUGUGACAUCACUAUUCCUCAUCUUUUUAUAUUCUCUAUUAUCUAAUAUAUUCAACAAUACGUAACCAUUAAAAUAAUUAAUUAUAAGCUUUAGAAACAUUCAUUUCUUUUAUUAUGCUAGCAAUUAAACCUUCGUGGCAUAAAAUACAUCAAUCAACUAAUUAAUAUAGGAAGGAAGCCUCCUUCAUCUUCCCUCAACAAUGCCACUACCAGGGCCUAAUUUUAAUGCAAUAAUCUCAUAUUUAAUUAUACAACCUUUUGUUUAGUGCCUUUUCGCUUCUUCAAACUCUCUAAACACUAAGUAUUUAAGAUUUGUUAUGUUUGGAUUUUUUUCUAUUUAACCAACAUCAUCUUUAGAAAGAUUCUUGUGUUUUUAUUGUUUGACUUAUUUGAAUUUUUAGUAUUGUGUGCUUCAUGUAGUACUCUUUUCUUCAUGAGUUGAACAAUGAUAGAGACAAUUGGAUGAUAAGGGUUAGGCUUUGUAGGAUGUGGAAGUCUGUUAAUACCAAGAAAAAUGGAGAAUUGAUUAGUGUGGAUAUGAUUUUUAUUGAUGAAAAUGUUGUAUAAAAAAUUCAUUCUCCUAUUGUUUUCUCUAAUUAUCUUUUUUUUUUCCAAUUGUUUUACACUUAAUGUAGCAUUUUUUUUCGUAGGAAAAUCUAAUGCAUGCAACAAUCAAGAAAAAAUUAGUGACAAGAUUUAGGCACAUGUUGAGUGAGGGUUCUUUGUACAGUGUCAAGAAUUUGAAAGUUGUUUCAACUACAGGCGAGUACAAACCACUUUCAAAUUAGUAUAAGAUUAUUUUCUUGGUUAUAACUUCGCUUAAGAGGUUAAAAAAAUGAACUGUUAAGAUUCCGAUCAAUGGAUUUCGAUUCGUAUCUCCGAAUUUGAUUGAUUUACGUGUGAAUGAUAACACAAUCCUCUCAUGUAUUUAUUUUAAUUAUUACUGUUUGUUAAUCUUUAAGUGUAUAUUAAAAAUUAUUGAUCCUUAUGUUUUAACAUGUUUAUGUUAUUUUUCCAUGAUAUUACAGAUGUUGUCGGAAGUUUAUGGGGUGUUGGUGACAUUGAGAUCAUUGGAGCUGGUUGGAAAAAAAGAGAUAUAAAAGUUCUGACAGAUUAGUAAGUUGAAUAUAAUCAAGAAAACUAUGAUUAUAUUUUUUUGGGAAAUUAUCAACUAUAUACCCUUAAUUGACACCCGUAUCAAACGUAUGUGAACACUUUUCAAGUGUAUCACUCUUAUACCCUAAGUUGACAAAACACUUCUGUCAUCCACCAAUCCGUUAACUUCCGUUUGCAAGUGCUGACAUCAUAAGGGUAAUCUAGUCCUUUAAGAUGGAUGAAACUUUGAUUAAAAAAAACAUGUCAUCCCAUUUACCUAGUAAAAAAUGACAUGUCAUAUGAUAUAUAUUGAUAAAAAUGACAUGUCAUCCCAUUUAUCGGAUACUUAUUAAUAAUUGCUAAAAAAAAACUAUUUUACAACCAAAUCUACUCCUCUAAAAUUUAACCUAAGUUUUUGAAGAUCUACUCAUCCAAGCUCCAACUGGAAUUUUUUAUGGUAUAAUAUGUAUAAUUGUAAAUAAUACGUUGUUAAUAAUUUUUUAUGGUAUAAUAUGGAUAUUUUUUAUGGAUAAUUGUUAAUAAUAUGUACCAUUAAUAAUUCAUUUUUUUAAUCAAAAAAUUUAUUGUUAAUAAAAAAAUAAAAAAAUAAAAAAAUUGUGUAUUGAAAAUUUACGUUAAUUUUUUGGGCAUAUUUAUCUUUUUACCUCAUUUUGAGUUUCAAGGGCGAAAUAGUCAAUUUGCCACAAUUCUAUUAACUUUCUAAUGGAAGUUAACAGAUUGGUGGACGCCAGAAUUGUUUUGUCAACUUAGGGUAUACGAGUGAUACACUUGAAAAGUGUUCACACACGUUUGAUACGGGUGUCAUUUAAGGGUAUAUGGCUGAUAAUUUCCCUAUUUUUUUUUAGUUAUUGUUUUAUCAUAAGAAUUGAUCAAUAGUUAUUACUUAAUUUUUAAUUUUCUUUUUCAAUGAAUACAUCCAAUAUUUGUUGAAGAAAAACUGUUAAAAGUACAAUGAAAAAGGGUAUAGGCCUUAGAGAUUAUUCAACAUAUUCACAAGAAAAAUGAAUAAUACUAAAUUCUUUUUUCAAAUUCGCGCGAAGCGCAGUUCUAUUUCCUAGUUUUUAAUAUAACUUGUGUAAAAAUCUAACUUUCAUUCAACCAACCAUAAUUAUCAUGCUCAAAUUCUACGUUGCUACAAGAAGUCAAGAAAGACUUUAAUGAGGGAGAAAUUAUUUUCAUUACCGACAUUAUAAAUGGACCUCGAUUAUAUUUAAUGGAGGACAAAGUAUUUUUCUUACAUUUACAUUAUCUUCGACGGGACUCCACUUGUAUUCGAAGAUUUUCUUCCGUGUCUCAUUUACCAGGUGUUUAAAUUACCAUUUUCUUUUUUUUUUCUUUCUGAAAACCUUAUUUUCUAACCACUGAUUCGAUUACUUUAUGAAUCCGACGGUUUCCCUUGUAUGUGUGUGUAUAUAUAUAUAGACACACGUUGAUGCUUUGAUGGCUCUAAACUAUUUUAGAUUGCAGUCGUGGUCAAAUGAAAGAUCGUCUAAUAUUGCCUAUGAGAUUUUAGUAUCAUAAUCUUGUUCAUAUUUUCAUAGAGAUGUUGAAUUUUCAGGUACAACUCAUUCUAUUUCAAGGUCCCAUCACUUUACAAUAUUAUAUAAUUAGUUCGUAAGGGAAUCUGAGCCUAUGCAGGCAGAACAUGCCAACUUCGCUGCUGGCAUUGACCUGAAGGUCAACAAAACUUCUAAUUUAAAUAAGCAUUGACCUCAAGGUCAAUGCCUCCAAGAUAGAUCAUUAGUCAGGGUGUUUAUAUGUAUUCAACUUGUGAGAGAGAUCUAAGUCUAAAUAAUAUAAUCCAAUGGAUGCACUUUCGCUCUUGCUAAUCUAUUGCAAGUUACUAUUUAUCUUGUUAGGAAUAUUGUAGAAGGCUCCAAAAGACUCUAGUAAGUUCAGUGUUGCUUCAGGUACAGAUGCUGAUGUUGAAGAAGCUUAUGCUCAGGAAGUUAGUUAUCAUUCACGUGUGUGUGUAAGCCAGCACGACAUUAGUCUGUUAUGAAUAGUACAACUGUCACAUUGUUAUUGGUUGUACAUUAGAUGAGUUUGUUACAUUGAUAUUGUAUAAAUACCCGCCUCUGUAUACAUUCAUAAGCAGUUAAGAAAUGAAUUAAAAUCUUUUCUUCUUCAUUCAAUAUUUUCUCUCAGUUUCUUGCAAACCAACACUUUACUAUAAAUCUUUGCACGGUAUCACAACCAUACAAGGGAAAUUUAUAAAAAUAACCAUAAAAGUUUAACAAAUUACAAAACUAACCACACAGAUUUUUUUUUUAUCAAAACUAGCCUAAUAACAAAAUUUUGGACCAAAGUACCCCCGUCAAUCUCACCCAAGCUCACUAAAAUCUCUCACUCACUUAAACCUCUUACUUAUCGCCAACACCGUAGAGCAACAUCGGAGUUUAUCGUCGGCGGCCAAUCUCACCGUAACUACAUCCAAUAACACCAAUUCCACCAAAAUCACGUCUAAUAGCAAUCAAGAUCUCCGAGAUCAACAGUUGAAGUUCAAAAACCCUAGGUUAGCAAUUUCAAAUACAUGCUUUAUUUUAUUCUUAUGUUGUGUUGUGGUUGUGUGUUGUUGUUGUUGUGGUGGUGUUGGUGGUGGUGGUAGUGGAGGUUGUUGGUGGUGGUGGUAGUGGAGGUUGUUGGUGGUGUUAAUGCAUUAUUGGAGUGUGUUGCCUAGAAAGUCUUGCAAUGGGUGUUGACCAAUUCGCGAAGAUUCGCACAAUGGGCAGCGCCCAUCGCAUGAAAUUUUGUGCGACAGGUGCUUGUCGCAACAACUUUUGUGCGACAGGCAAGCCGUCGCACAAAAAUUCAGAUUACAUAAUUUGAAUUUUUGUGUGCAGGGUGGUCGUCGCACCAUGUUUUGUGAGACAGCUCGCCCGACACCCAAAAAUUCAGAUUUGAAAAAAAUUCAACUUAACCCAAAAUUAUAAUAUAUACGGCGACUAUUUUUUGGAGGUCAUAACUUAGGCUACAUGUAUCCAUUUUUUUUUUCGUAUAAUAUACCGUUUUGAAGCUUGCGACGAAACGACUCAAACCCACAAGCUUGUUUGCCGGUCUCCUCUAUGGCCAAAUAAAAAAAUUGCCUCAAGUUAAGUGUGACAAGCACUUGUUAUUACUGUUUCUGCAAUAUCCAUGUAAAAUGUGUUGUAUAUUCACUUUAUCAUGCUUUGUAGUGUGUAACCACAUUUGUUUUAUUUGUUUUAAUAUUUUCAGGUUUAACAAAUUUAAUUAUGCUUCAAUUGUAUUAUGACGGUUGGUGUGAGACGUUGGCGGAUGGACGUAUGGAGUAUGUGAAUGACAAUAAUACAACUUUUCUAAUUCAAAAAGAUUGUACGUUUGAUUAGUUUCUGACAAGAGUUGAUGAUGUUUGAUAGAUAAAUCGUAAUGAAUACAAUAUCACCAUGAAGGCAACUUUGAGGUCUAGAAAUACAAUAUAUCGUACAUGUUCACUACAUAUGGACAUAUUUAACGACGAAAUGGUCAAGGUUGUGUUACAUAUAGCCUCAGAUGUGAUAAAUUACGGAUGCAUCCCUGUAUUUGUUACCACGCCUCCUCGAGUUGAGAACCAAAAUGUUGAGCCACCUGUAAAAAUUGAAACUUCCUUCAGAGCAAAUGUCUCUGUCCCCGAUAGUGAAGAAGAUGUAAGUGGUUAGCAGCUCUCGGUUUGUGCAGGAAUUGGCAAGCACAGCUUCGACCCGCUUGAGCGGCUCGAGUUUAAGCUGGUAGUGCACACCCCAGGAACCUGCAAUGCGAACAGAUAUUGGGUUAGAGAAAAUACAGCAAAAUGAGAACCACUAUGGAGACAAGACAUCUGAAGCGAGCAGGCAACCUGGGACCACGAAACGGGGUGGGACGCGGUAAUCCUUCCCGUCAAUCUGUGCAACUUGACCCCAGGGACCCCCAGCAAAAAAGAAUUUUUUCUUCCAAGUCCCACCACCACCAGUUGGAAGCUCAGUUAUGGGUUUCUUGGUCUUGGUACUAGACUGGAAGUAAUACCAGCCGGCAUCUUUGGGGCUGCUCUUUAGCUGGUACAAGUGCUUCACCUCGUCAACUGUUGGCUCGCUUUGGCAACAUAUGUCCCACAAUAUGAACAGACCAGAAAGUACCCGCCACCCAUUGGGGUUCAGUUGACCAGGAGCUAAAUUCAACCCAUUGAGUAUUCGGGCAAAGUAGGGCUGCAUGGGGCACCUUAACCCAAGUUUAAAACUCUCUAGAAACAGAGUAACAUAUCCCCUAGGAGGCCGGCUGGGGGUAUCCUUCUUUCCUGGGACCCUAAGAGGUACCUCAUCAAGAAUUCCAUACCUAACCCGGAGAUUAGUAAGCUCGUAUACUGUGGUCGUGCACGUGAUGAAAUCAAUAGCGUAAUGCUGUGAUAGAGCUCUACCUCCUACUGUGCUCCUCCUAUUUGGCCGCGAUGUUCCUGGUGAGGACAUCUCACCAGAAUCAUCUCCCUGAUCAUUACUCAAGGUGUCUUCCGAACUAGAAGAACCCUCGUCGUCACUAUUACCGAUUGAGGAGGUUAUUUGAGGGGACAUCCUCCUAGCACUAGUCCCAACACUAGAUCUAAUGGGUUCUAGGGGGAUCCCGGGGUCAAAAACAGAAUCAGCGAGCAGACUAGACAAGAAGUCUAACUCGUCGUCAUCAAUCUCAAUGACCUUCUCUUUACCUUUUGACAUUCCCUAGACUAUAACCAGAACUGCAUCACCAAACACUACCCAAGCAAAACGUAAAAGAAAUUGUCUACAACUAUCCACGACCGAGGUAAAAAGAAAUAAUACAUAAAGUUGUGACUUAGUCAGAGAGAGACAAUGAAAGAAGCUUUUACGCCGAGGGAGAGGAAGGACUCAUUCGCCGGAGAGACAGAAAUAGAGUAAAUGACGAGUUUCUCUUUUGGGGGUUUUGGGUUUUCUAAUGAGGAACAAACUCUUGGGCUGCCAGCAUUUAACGACGCAAAUCCCAAGAGUUUCAUAACCGUCUGUUUGAAAUUCAAACGGAGGGGUAGAUUUCUGCCACAUCACCUCAUCCGCAAUUAAAUGCGACACAACUCUUGGCAGCCUUUUUCUACCCUGCGUAAGCCAGAACCGUUGAGUUUCCAAUGUCAGCUCACUACGUUACCCAACACCAGAAACUGGGGGACCGAUGUUUGGGGGAUGUACUUCGACGAGACGAGCCGUGAUGAGCAGAUAGCUAUUAGCAGGGUUCGCACGAACAGGUAUAUCUUGCAGAAGUCUGGUAGCAGGAGAACAGGAGCAUGAAUAUUCUGCUUGUCCACAAAUACGCCAUCGGCGAGGCCGGUCUCCUGCUAAUGGUUGAGCCUCCCGCUAAGGGUUGAGGCGAGGAGACCCGGUCAACGGCAGUUGGCGAGACGUGCGCCCCAACCCGAGAAUCAAGGCACGAAGACCACGCGACCACCCACGAUUACGAAAAUGGAGCAUCCACUUCCGAGAGAUGGGAACGUAAUGGGCGUGGGUUGAAGGAGGGUCUGAACUUAGAAGAAGCCUAUAAAAAGGUGGCCAACGAAGGUAAAAGGGUUAGAACUUUUGAUACUGAAACUGAGAUAAAGAGAGCAUUCAAUAAUCGAUACCAAAAACAAGCCUUAAAAUUAAUGGCUAACGUUCCCAGGAACACAAAACCUUCAUAUCUGACUUGAGCGUCGGAGGGUUUACGCCGGGAAAACAACUGGCUUGCUCUAACUUGUUUCUGUGUACGCAGGAAUUCUUGGAGAAGAAAGCAUACGAGGAGAGAUCCUGAUCGUGGUCGAGUUGAUUGAGCAGAGAUCCUGGUCGCGGUAGAAAGGGUAACCAGAAUCUCGCAUCAACAAUAUGUAAAAUAGAAACGUUUCGCAUACAUCAAUAUUCAGAUGAAUACAAUAGCCUAAAUUCUGAUAUCACCAUUAAAUAUGUCCACAACAAUCUUCUUCCUAAAGUACUGGCCAUGGAUACCACUAAAAUCAAGUGUAAGUCCGAACAUUAAAUAUAUUAUAAACAUCAACCAAAAACCACCGGAAAGUCCUGUAACUAGGCACCACUCUCCGAUCGAUAAACAUGUCAAAUGCUCUCUUAUUUGAAACCACAACUGAUCUUUACUGGUUUCUUCAUGUGUGACUAGCCUAAGCAAUAUGUUGUGGAUUAUAACACCAUUGAACGCAUAACUCUCGAAAUCCAUGAAGUGCCUGAAAAUAUCAUUCUUGAAUAACGAUAAUUGUUUUCGCGUUAACUUACUCUGGAUAGCUUGGACGACUCUCUUAAAUUUCGAUGUCUUUAUAAUACGACCCGGGAAAUGAUCAUCAGAGCCUAACUUCAUCAUGCUUGGAUCUUUUCUUCGUGCGGGUGGAUUACGCUUUGCCAAUUUAUUUUUUCGCCAUGUAUCUAUAACAAAAUCAAAUUUUUAUUCGUUAUUUAAAUUUACAAAAAUAUUACAAUAAAAAUUUAAAAUAAAAUUUAUGAAAAAAAUACAAAUAAACACAAAUUAUGCAACAAAAUACACAAUUUGUGCACAAUCUUUGUUUUUUUACGACGAGAGCCCCUUGCAUGUAAUUUUGUGCGAGGGGCAACCCGUCGCACAAAAACACAUCGAGUGUGAAGUACAUAGGCUCUGUGUUUUUGUGUGACGAGAUGCCAAUUGCAUAAUGCCAUCGCACCAGAUUUUGUGCGAUGGGCUAGCCCAUCGCACCAAGUUGGGGCGAUGGCCAGCCAUCGCACGAAACUCACGCGAUGGGCUGCUGCCCGUGAACGAGUUUGGCGUGAUGGCAGAUGUUGCCCAUCGCACAAAAUUCGCGCGAUGGGCUAUUGCAUGUCGCGCGAAUUCUGUCCAGUGGGCAACAGCAGCCAUCCAACACCCACAAAAUACAUACAUAACAACAACCUCACCCACCAUCGCCAUAAAAAACCAUAAAUAUUCAAUCUAUCACCACUGCCACCAACAGAACACAACAACAGCAACAACAAUAACAACACAAAAUCACAACGCAAAUAAAAAAAAAGUAAUAACUCACCUAGGGUUUUGAAUUUUAACUGUUGAUUUCAGAGAUCUUAGAAGAUUUUGAACGUGAUAUAGCUUAUUUUGGCCACUGACGAUGGACUCAAAUGCUGAUCUACACCACCGACGAUGUGUAAGGGAUUUCAGCGAGAGGGAGAGGAUUUGGUGAGAGAAAAUGGUGAGAAUGAUAGUGGUAGUUUGGUUCUCAAACUUGGUGUUUGGCUAAUUUUAAUUGAAAAAAAAUUGGGAGGUCAAAUUUGAAAAAUGCAAAAGUAUUGUGGCCAAUUUUGUAAAUUUCCCCAAUCAUGGCAAAUACAAACACUAAAACAUCAUCUUCGUUAUCCUUCAGGUUCAUGCAACCUGUCAAGCUAGAUCGAGCUAGUUACCUUGUGUGGAAAACACAGGAUCUUGCAUCAAUAAUUGGAAAUGAUCUUGGAGGUUUCAUCAAUCGUGAUAAACCUUGUCCUACUUAAUUUUGACUGAAUCAUAUGAAGAAUCAAACAAAUUUGAGAUCAUUCCUACAAGGAAAACUGAAAAUCCAGAAUAUAUUGUUUGGAAGAAAAUUGAUAAGUUGAUUUAGAGCUUGAUGUUCUCUUCAAUGGUAGACAAUGUGCUGAUAAUGGUAAUGAGAUGUGAGACUUCACAUGAAGUAGGGAAGAGACUUGUUGAGAUCUUUAUGUCUCAAUCUAAGGCACGUCACAUUCCUCUGUUGAUCCAAAUACGAGCACAAGAAUACAGGGACCACAUUGCUCAAAGGGAUUGCUAGAAAUGGACUUUAUCAAGUGGAGGGUUUAACCACAUUCUAUCAUUCAAAUAAAUCUUAUGCCCUGUCAUCUUCUAAAUCUUUGUCUAUUGUCAAUUCCAAGUUUAAUCCUUUGUCUACGUUUUCACAAUGUACUGUAGCAAAUGCAAUGCUUUCUUUUGAUGUAAACUCAUUUAAAUUCAAUAAAGAUGUCAAAGUGGCCUUGUUUACUCAUCCUGUCAAAUCUUUUAAUUGCAAUGUAAUGUAUAAAUGAUUGGGACAUCCAACCAUUCAUGCUUGAAAUAGGUUAUGAAAAAUCUUGAUCAUACAUUCCACCUAAAUAAACAUAUCACACUUAAUCUUUGUAGUGUACGUUAGUUUGGUGAAAGUCAUAUGCAACAUUUUGUAGUGCACGUUAGUUUGGUAAGAGUCAUAUGCAUAAAUGAUUGGGACAUCCAACAAUUUAUGCCUUGAAAAAGGUUAUGAAAAAUCUUAAUCAUACAUUAAACCUAAAUAAACAUAUCAAACCUAAUCUUUGUAGUACAUGUUAGUUUGGUAAGAGUCAUAUGCAAUAUUUUCCUUCAAUUGCAACAAUAAUACAUCCCUUAGAAAUAAUAUAUACAUAUAUUUAGGGACAAGCCCCUAUUUUGUCAUCCCAAGGUUACCAAUAUUAUCUGUCUAUUCUAGAUUCACUAGGUUCACUUGGAUUUUUCCCCUCUUUGCAAAAUCCAAAGCCCUACAAACAUUCAAAGAAUUCAAGGCAAUGAUUGAAAACAGUCUAUCUAGUAAGAUCAAGUAUUUAGAAACUGGUUUAGAAAACAAUCUUUCACUCCUUUGAGAGGGAUUCGUCAAGGGGACCCCUUAUCACCUUAUAUUUUUGUGUUGUGUGUAGAACGCCUGAGUCAUGGGAUUAAUAGUGAAGUCAAAAAAGGGCGUUGGCAGCCUGUUCGUUUGAAUCGCAAUGGAGUCCCCCUCACUCAUUUGUUCUUUACAGAUGAUCUCUUACUACUUUCGGCGGCGUCUCUAGACCAAGCCCAAGUUAUUUCUGAGGUGCUUGAUUUUUUCUGUCUCGCAUCUGGUGAAAAAGUCAGCAAAGAAAAAAUCAAUAUUUAUUUCUCUAAAAUUGUUAGAGUUGAUGAUAGGCGUGAGAUUGUUUCUGAGCUUGGUUUUUAUGUGACUGAUAACCUAGGCAAUUAUCUUGGUGUUCCCCUUUUACAUAAUAGAGUUAACAAACACACCUAUAAGGGUGUCCUUGAUAAAGUCCAACAGCGCCUCACUGGAUGGAACGCCCUUAAUCUUUAUUUGGCUGGCAGAGUCAUGCUUGUUGUUGAGUGUUAGAAAAUGUAUAUUUAUAGAGGAGAAAAUCAUCAUUUUACAUUUCAAGUCUUACUAACACGCUUACUUUUAUGUAUUUAAGCUUCUUGUGAUUUAAUUACGUGUGUUUUAUUUUAAUUAAGUAUUUUAUAUAUUUUAGGGGCAUCAUGGUCAUUUCACAAUGAACGAGAAAUCAGACGGCAAAACGGACAUCACUUUUGAACUCAGGACAGUCGAAAACCUUAGGAGGAGCAUAAAAGGAAAAAUGUCACCGUUCACAUGUACGAUUGAUAACUCUAGGAAAUGAGAGUUAUUACAUCAAUUCUAGACUUGAAUCAAGAUCAUAUAGAGAACAAAUAAGGUGUUUUUAUUACAUUUUGAUUACAUUUUGCUUAAACAUUCAUUUUAGUUGAGUAUUAGUAAGUUUUGCUAGAAUCAUAGUAAUUUGUGCUAAAAACAUAUGCAUAAUUGUAGGUUCUUAGAAAGUCUUAAUUCAUGAGGGGAUGUUGAGACAUUAGAUGAGCAAGAGGAGGAAAAAAGACGGCCAUAAAAGAAGAAAAGCACAAUCGAGAGCAAUGCAGUGCUGUUGCGGAUGUUAGAGCAACUCGUGCUGUAGCAAUCUGGAAGUAAAUGCGGGAGAAAACUUAGGCGCGGGUCAGCACAUGUUUCCUAAUUGAAUGCAUGCACGUUCAUGGGCUUGUGUUUAACCGAAUUUGCAAUAUAAAAGGGAGGCAAUACUACAAAGAAAGGCGGCAAGGGAAUUAUCAUUGGAAUAAUUACAAAGGAACGAAGAAGAAGAAGAUCAGAAUUAAAGGAGAUUGUUUUGGCAGCAUUGGAGAAUCGGGCAGAAUUACUUGGCUUUGAUCUUCACCGUGCUCAACUUAUAUUUAUCUUCUUCCUCUAAUUGUUUUGAUGUAUUCCGAGAUUCAAAUAUUUAUGUUUAUUUUUCUCAUCCAGAUUAUGAACUAAAUUUACUUGUAGUUGAGUGACAAAUAAUCCAAUGGGUUCUUAACUGUUCUUAUAUGUUGUUAUGGUAUUGCUGUAGCAUUUUACUCUGGUAGUUUUUAUGAAUAUAACUGUUAUUUUGGUUGACCACCCAUUUAAUAGUUUCAGUUAAGAUAGAGCAGCAAAAGGGAAUGUCUUAGCGGACAUUAUUAGAGUAUUACUUGUUCUUAAGUCGAGUUUCCUGGAUUAGGUUAUCUUGAAUCCCAUAAGGGCAAUACUUGACGUUAAGAUUUGUGACACUCUAGACAUAGGUGUUCACCUUGUAGGGUAGAGAGAUUAAAGGAUAUAAUGUCGUACCAUGAAUAUAUGAGCAACUGGUCAUUGUCAGUAGAUUUAAAGGUAUGAGACUUCCAACAUGCGAUAGCUGAGGAUGCAAAUUUAUUCUGCCCAGUGCUACAGCACUUAUUGUAACAACUGAUGCUAAUUUGGUAAACAACAGUCACCCCAUUAGGAGAGUUUGAUCAUUCAACUACUAUAAUCUCAAUUGAAUCUUAGACACAUUUAACUUAGUUUAUUUCUUUACAAUAUUUUUUUAUUUCCAUCUUUCGCAAUUAUUUAUCACGAUAGAAUUAUUAGACAAUUGUUUGUUUUGGUUUUUAAUUGAUUUGCGAUAUCGUGAUUGCUUUAGCAUUUUGAGUAACAUCAAUCCCUGUGGAGACGAUCUUGAAUACUCAUCACUUUAUUACUUGUUGUGUAUACUUGCACAUUGGCAUUGAUAAUAAUUGAUUAUAAAAAUCAACCAACAAGUUUUUGGCGCCGUUGCCGGGGAUUGAUUGUUUAUUUUUGAAGUGUGAAGUAAAUCGUGAUAGCGCCAAAUUUGACUUGAUUCAUUCUAUUGAUUGGUAGAUCAGUACGUGCAUGCGCAAGGACAGAUAUGUGGUAUUCCAAUUCGAUCUUAAGAUUGAAAGGACUGUCAGGAGAUUACGAAGAGAGCAAAGAAAUUCAAAGACUGUUUCAGGCAUGAAUAAUUUGCAGGAUGAGGGAAAUUUGAACCCUCACGUGCCUUUACAACCAGUCAACAUUCAAGAAGAGCUGAACGAACAUGCUAAUGGGAGACAGCUAGGCAAUAACAAUAUUAUUUACAUGGCUGAUGAUAGAGACAGAGCUAUAAGAGAUUAUACUGUGCUAACUCCUCAAGUUGUACAUCCUGGCAUCAUCAGACCUGAAGUAGACGCUGCAAAUUUUGAGUUAAAGCCAGUAAUGUGUCAAAUGUUGCAAACAGUUGGGCAAUUUAAUAGAUUGCCAAAUGAAGAUCCUCAUCUCCAUUUUAAAUUGUUCUUGGAAGUAAGUGAUACUUUCAAGAUUGCUGGAGCAACACAAGAUGCCUUAAGGUUGAGGCUCUUUCCUUAUUCCUUAAGAGAUCGAGCAAGGGCAUGGUUAAAUUUAUUAUCAUCUGAUUCCAUCACUACAUGGAAUGAAUUGGCUGAUAAAUUCCUAAUGAAAUAUUUCCCACCGACAAAGAAUGCAAAAUUAAGAAACGAGAUUACUUCCUUCCAUCAACUUGAAGAUGAGAGUUUGUACGAGGCUUGGGAAAGGUUAAAGGAAUUGCUCAGAAGGUGUCCUCAUCACGGUAUUCCUUGUUGCAUUCAAUUGGAAACUUUCUACAAUGGAUUGAAUCCGAGUACAAGGUUAAUGGUGGAUGCUUCAGCAAAUGGAGCUUUGUUAUCCAAAAAAGAAAACUACUUUCUGUUUGUCAAUUUGUGUGUUAUUUUCUAAGGUCUUCCAUAUCCUUGUCAGUUUGUGUGCCUUUGUUAUCUAUGCUUGUAAGGACACAACACCUCUCAAGUUUGGGGGGGUUGUGUUUCCGAAUGCAUAUGUGUAUGUUUGUAUGCAUGUGUUUAUGUGUGUGUGGUGUAAAGCUCUGUUAUCUAAUAUUUGUGUAUGGAAUUGAAAACCUAAUGAAGAGAAAUUGAGUGCUAUUCAGUAUUUAUAUGCCAAGUAGAGAUAAUUAUAGAUGAAAGUGAAAUUCUGUCCUGACACUUAGACUUUGGUUGAAUUGUAUGAGACUGUUAGAGCAAAGCCAAAAGAAUAGAAAAGAUCCUAAGUUUGGAGGGAAGAAGCAAGUUUGAUUAACUGUGAUAUCUAUGAAAUACAAUUUGUUCCAAUGGCUCAAGUUGCUGGGUAACCAGAUCUGAAUAUGUACCCCAUAUGCAGAAUUGUGUUCAAAGAUAGCGAGAGUUAUGAGCAAUGCUGUAGCAUGUUAUAAAAAAAAAAAUCUUCUGUCUACAAUCACAGUUUGAGUAUGUGAAAUUUAUGCUACCCCAUUUAUGAAUGAAGUGUAUCAUUGCUGAAAGUUAUGCAGUCCUGUGGUGAUGUUAUAGCAUAUUUAGAAUUCAAUCAAAGGAAGCACACACACACUAUGGACAGAAAGAAGCUUGAGUCUAGAACUGAUUUACUAUAGGCAUUUUGUAUGAUUGGAAUUGUUAUCUGAAGGUGGAAGAAACCUUGCAAAUUUGAUAAAAGAGCUAAAAUUAUAUACAUGUUUGUUUGCGGGAAAUGUUAGUAUGUGUCAUUACUUGAGGGCAAGUAAUGGUUUAAGUUUGGGAGUGUGAUAACUCUAGGAAAUGAGAGUUAUUACAUCAAUUCUAGACUUGAAUCAAGAUCAUUUAGAGAACAAAUAAGGUGUUUUUAUUAUAUUUUGAUUACAUUUUGCUUAAACAUUCAUUUUAAUUGAGUAUUAAUAAGUUUUGCUUGAAUCAUAGUAAUUUGUAGGAUGAGGAAAAUCAUGCGCAAAGACAAAUCUGUGGUGUUCCAAUUCGAUCCUGAGAUUAAAAGGACUGUCAGGAGACUGCGAAGAGAACAAAGAAAUUCAAAAAUUGUUUCAGGCAUGAAUAAUUUGUAGGAUGAGGGAAAUUUGAACCCUCACAAGCCCUUACAACCAGUCAACAUUCAAGAGGAGCAGAAUGAACAUGCUAAUGGGAGACAGCCAGGCAACAAAAAUAUUAUUUACAUGGCUGAUGAUAGAGACAGAGCUAUAAGAGAUUAUGCUGUAUUAACUCCGCAAGUUGUACACCCUGGGAUCAUCAGACCUGAGGUAGAAGCGGCGAAUUUUGAGUUGAAACCAGUGAUGUUUCAAAUGUUACAAAUAAAGGGACAAUUCAAUGGAUUGCCAAAUGAAGAUCCUCAUCUCCAUAUUAAAUUGUUCUUGGAAGUAAGUGAUGCUUUCAAGAUUGUUGGAGCAACACAAGAUACCUUAAGGCUGAGACUCUUUCCUUAUUCCUUAAGAAAUCGAGCAAGGGCAUGGUUAAAUUCAUUACCAUCUGAUUCCAUCAUCUCCAUAUUAAAUUGUUCUUGGAAGUAAGUGAUGCUUUCAAGAUUGUUGGAGCAACACAAGAUACCUUAAGGCUGAGACUCUUUCCUUAUUCCUUAAGAAAUCGAGCAAGGGCAUGGUUAAAUUCAUUACCAUCUGAUUCCAUCACUACAUGGAAUGAUUUAGCUGAUAAAUUCCUAAUGAAAUAUUUCCCACCGACAAAGAAUGCAAAAUUGCGAAAUGAGAUUACUUACUUCCAUCAAGUUAAAGAUGAGAGUUUGUACGAGGCUUGGGAAAGGUUCAAGGAAUUGCUCAGAAGGUGUCUUCAUCAUGGUAUUCCUUGUUGCAUUCAAUUGGAAACUUUCUACAAUGGGUUGAAUCCGAGUACAAGGUUAAUGGUGGAUGCUUCAGCAAAUCGAUCCCUGUUAUCAAGAUCUUACACGGAAGCUUAUGAAAUUCUGGAGAGAAUUGCUAAUAAUAAUUAUCAGUGGCCUUCAGCCAAGCAACCAGCAACCAGAGGAUCAGCAGGGGUUCAUAACAUAGAUGCAAUUACAGCCUUAUCAGCACAAGUAACUUCAUUGACUAACAUGGUAAAGGCCAUGACAUCUGCUCCAGCAACAGUAAAGCAAGUUACUGAACUUUCUUGUGUAUACUGUGGUGAAGAACAUGAUUUUGAUAAUUGUCCUGGAAAUCCAUCUUCAGUAAACUAUGUAGGUAAUUUCAAUCGACAACCUCAUAGCAACCCAUAUUCAAAUACUUACAACCCUGGCUGGAAACAGCACCCAAAUUUCUCAUGGAGCAGUCAGAAUCGAACUACUCCAGCAUUAAAUGGACAAAAUAGAAACACACAACCACCUGGCUUUCAUCAGCAGAGUCAAGGGCAAAAGCAUAUCAAUCAAGAUCCAAUCACUUCACUGGAAGCACUGAUUAAGGAGUAUAUUGUUCUCGCUUGGAGAAAUGGGAUUAGAAAUCUAGAAGUGGAAGUUGAUAGCUUAUGUGUAACCCAACUUGUCUUGAAUAAAAUGGUCGCUCCUAAUGAUUAUGGUCCAAUUCUACAUGCCAUUAAAGAAAUCCUGACUCGUGAUUGGAAUGUUAGUCUCCACCAUGUGUAUAGAGAGGCGAAUCACUCUACUGAUUCCUUGCAAAUUUGGCUACGUCUCUCCCCUUAGGUCUUUAUGUACAGGAUUCACCCCUUGUUGGUUUAAAUUACUAGUUGCUUCAUGACAUGUACAGGGUCUCUUACACGCGUUCUGUUCUUCCUUAGCCCUUGCUAAGUGCUCCUCUUGUACCAAAAAAAAAAAAAAAAGAAAUACUUCUCUUACAAGAAGUAAUUACUAUAUAUAAGGAGGUUAAUUUGUUUAUAUAACAUAUGACAACAAUAUGUUUCUCUUCAAGUAGACAAUUUCUAAUAUAAGAGAAACAGUGGGUCUAUUGAGAGAUUGUGUGUUAUUGGGGUUUUGGUACGAGGAAAAUAACAAAGUGAUUGUAAUAAUUUUUCACAUAGUAUAUUUUUCUCUUGUCAUCCUUGGCGACCGUGUUUUUUCUCCAAUAUAAAAUUUUUUACAUAAAUUCUUGUGUUGUGUGAUUAGUUUUAUUCUUCAUCUAUUUUUUAUUUAUUAUUUGUUUGAUAUUUUUGCUUGUAAGAUCUUGAGUGAGAUUAAAAAUUCCUAACAAGUGAUAUCAGAAAAAGGUUAUUCUAUAAAGCAAUAAUGUCUGCAUAUAAAAUUCCCUAAUAGAUUAUAUCUACUCUCGUGUUUAGUAAUGGGACAGAAUUAGAUUACAUUAAUAUUGUCUUAUGUUUGGGGUUACAUAGGAUUGGACAAGAUUUAUAUAAUAUUUGAAAUUACUAAAAUAAAAGUAAAUAAAAAUUUAAUAAAUACUUAGAUAUUAUUGUAAAUUUCAUUACAAAGUUUAUAAAUGUUAUUAGAGUGUAUAUUUUCUUAUUUCUACCUUUAAUUUAACAAAGUUGGAUAUCUCUUAUCGAGAAAUUACUAAUUAAUUUUUGUCUUCAUUCAAGAUUGCCCCGUAGAUCGAACCAGCGUCCGUUAAUAGACGCUACCGUUGUUCUUAACUAAUAUGGAAGCAGCUUUAUUUGGAGGAUAUGUUGUACUUAUGAUUUAGCUCACGUCAUUAACAAAGAAUUUAGUGGUCCAAGUUUUUGCAGUAGAGUAACUAAAUAGCAAUGAUGACCCAGUCAAGUCAAUGUAUAAAUAUUGAAAUGACUAUUACCUCAAAGUUUUCAAAAUGAAAUUGGACCACCAAAAAAUUUCCCACUAAUCACUACCGAUUGCAACUUGUAGAUCGCAAUUUAUAGACAGAUAUAUAUUUAAAAAAUAAAAAAAUAAUAAAAAAGUGUUCCAAGCCCUCUCUGAGGUUCUCACUCAGUUCUACAUGUAAUUUACGAAAAGUUCUUGCGAUUUCACUCGGUUCUACACGUAAUGUAAGAUAGAAAGAUUCCAAUCAAAAUUUUGAUUCUUGUUCAAACAUAACUACGAUAUCCGCGAAGUCUGUGUUGCCACAAGAACCACUUUUAAUGGAGGAUAAAAUAUUUUUCUUACAUUUACAUUAUCUUAGGUGGGACUCCACUUAUUAUCGAAGAUUUUGUUAUGUGUCUCGUUGCCAGGUGUUUAGGUUGUCAUUUUCUCUUUUCUUUCUCAAAAACAUUUUUUUUUAACCAUUAAUUCGGUGACUUUAUGAAUCCGACGGUUUCCUUUUUUUUUUGCAUAUAUAUAUAUAUAUAUAUCUCUACUGAUGCAUCGAUGCAUCUAAUCUAGUGAACAUUGCUGUCGUGGUCAAAUGAAAGAUCGUGUAAUAUUGCCUACAAGAUUUUAUAAUCAUAAUCUUCUUCAUAUGUUCACAGAGAUCUUGAAGUUUCAGGUGCAAGUCAUUGUUUUUCAAGGUCCCAUCACUUUACAACAUUAUUUAACUACUUCGAAAGGGAAUUUGAGCCUAUGCAGGCGGAACAAGCCAAAUUCGGCUACAAGCCCUGACCUGAAGGUCAAUAUGAACUUCCAAUCUAAAUAAGCAUUGACCUCACUCCAAGAUAGAUCAUUAAUUAGGGUGUUUAUAUGUAUUUAACUUGUGAGAGAGAUCUAAAUCCAAGUAGUAGAAACCA